rnacentral:lncRNA from 1 species
AAAAGAGCCUGACCACUACAGAACGGCCAGAUUGGCUUGGGUCACUUCGAUACAUCCUUCCCAAACUCACCAAUCAGGUAAGUGAUUCCUCCCCGACCCCGGUGGUGGAGAGAGCAGGAGUGUUACACUAAUAGAAGUCCCUUCACAUGAAAAGGAAACUCAGUAGUAGAGAAUGAGAGCUCUCCACUGACAGCGGACAAAGCAAUGUUCUAGGCUAUAGAGAUAGCAUGUAUUAAAACGUGGAGGCCUGAUUUGCACAUUCAGAAAAUUAUAUAAAUCAUUCAAUAUUCCUGGGGUAUAAAGGGCAACAGGAGGAAUGGUGGGGGGUGAAAGCAGACAUCAGGGCAGGGAUCUCUCACAAGUCCAUAGAAAAACUUAAGAACCAUCUAGCAAUUCGAAGUAGGGCAAAAACAGGAUAGGAUUUGACUACUAGAAAAAUGGCUUUUUUGGCAGUGUGGGGCAUAGAGUGUAAGGGGAAGACAGCAAGACUAGAAGCAGGGAUACCAAAAAAGUAAGGAAAUCCUGAUGAUGAAAUGGUCUGAUUUAAGACAGUGGAAGAGAGAAGGCAAAGGAGGAAAGAAUGUGAAUGACGUUUAGAAAGGAAAAUUUGGAAAGACCUAGCGAUUGAGGGGAUACAUGAGGCAAGGGAGCAUCUUGAUCCGUUCAGGCUGCUAUAACAGAAUACUAUGGACAGGGUGGUUUAUAAGCCACAGGAAUUUAUUUCUCAUAGUUCUGGAGGCUGGAAAGUCUGAGACCAAGGUGCCAGCAGAUUCAGUGUCUGGUGAGAGCCCACUUCCUGGUUCAUAGAUGGCUGUCUUCUCGCUGUGCCCUCACGCGGCAGGAGAGGUAAGGUAAGAGGCUCUGAGCUCUCUUUUAUAAGGGCACUAAUCCCAUCCAUGAGGGCUCCACCUUCAUGACCUAAUCACCUCCCAUGGCCCCACCUCCUAAUACCAUCACCUUGGGGGUAAGAUUUCAAUACAUGAUUGGGGGUGGGGGCACAAACAUUCAGUCCAAAGCAGGGACAGAGACUUCUAGCGUCAUCUCCAUUUUCAAAGUACACAAGUGGGCACACUUUACAUAGAAGCAUUCAAUCUACAAAUAUUUAUUGAGCAAAUUUAUAGUAGUAACUAUAGGUGGUCGGUUAAAUUUCCAAAGCUGACUACCACAAACACAAAUUUCCCAGGGUAAAAUCCUUCUCUGUAUACUCUGUAUAUAGCGCCCAGAAACCAGGAGCGCCUUAACAUAGGUUUCUUAUGUUCGGUAGAUCAUUAACCUCUGCUUAGGCAGUGCCUGGCAUGUGGUAGUUUCUCAAUAAAUAACCCGCUGAAUAAACAACGGGAGAAAUCUAGAAGAAGCAGAAUACCCCCGUGUGUUAGUUAUCCAUUGCUGUGUAGCAAAUUACCCCACAAGUCAGCAUCUUCAAACAACGAGCAUGUGUUACCUAUCUCAUAGUUCCCGUGAGUAAAGAAUCAGGAAACGGGUUGGCUGGAUGGAUCUGGCCCAAGGGUUCUCACAAGGCUAGAACGGAGGUGUCAGCUGGGACAACAGGAAAACGGGCAUCUGAGACUCGAUGAGGCCAGAGGAUCCCCUUCCAAAAAUACUCACAAGGCAGAAGGGCCCGAGGUCUCAGUUCCUUGUCACGCAGGCUUCUUCACGGGGCUGCUUAUAUGUGGCAACAGCUUCGCCCCGGAGUGGAUGACGGUGAUGGUGAUGGUGAUGAUGGUGAGUGAGAGAGGGACAGAGAAAGGCCUCAUUGCCUCUUACGACCAAGUCUCAAGUCGUCAUCGCUUGUGCAUCAUCCUAUUCAUUAAAAGCAAGUCACUGUUAAGUCCAGCCACCACGCCAGGGGAAAGGAGUGCACAACAUCAGGGGAUCUCACUGGGGACCGUCCUGGAGGCAACCUAUCGUCCCUUGUGAAUUGUUCGCUGACUGCAAAGAGCAGCCUCCAAAUACUCUGACAAAUGUGUUCUUCGCUGUGAAGGUGGUGAUAAAUUAUGUAUCGGCCUUUCUCUCAUACUUUUGCAAACAUGGUAACACUAUCACUUCUUCGCUCUUCAAAGGCAAAGGGCAGUGAUAACCAGCACCUUGGCACCACAAAGGUUCCAGGUAGGCGCCAAUGAAUUGCUCCGAGGCAGUUUUUAUUUCUGUAUUCCAGGCGCAAGAUUGUUCCUUGACUAGAAUGAAAGUCAGGUACGUGUUUCUCAAGCCUGUCUCCAUCACCCCAGCAAAACUAGGUACCGGUUUCAGCAGUAAAAAAAAAAAAAAAAAAAGUAUUGACUAGGAUUGUCCAUUUUAUUUAAACCCUUGUUCUAAGAUAACCUGUGAAGACAAGCAAAGCAUCAGUACAGUCCGGAAUUUUUAAGUGAAAGCACUCAGUGUUUUCCAAAGAACAAAACGUGGACUUGCUUCAGGGGAGGACGUUUCUCCUCUGGGUUUUAAAAAAUUAAAGGAAGAAAAACUAAAUGCUUUGCUUGCUAGUGAAUUUGCUAAGCAGAGAUGUGGGCUGAGUUUGCCAGAGGCAAAAGUGGUCCCCUGUGAAGCUUUUCUAGCUGGUAAGCCCGUAUGGUCAUCCGACGGGCUAGAGAUACGGCCCUUCUGUCUAUUUUUAGCCCAUUAUUCCUGCAGCCUCAGCCCUUCGUUCUGCGGGAUGAGCCUCUUCAUGCCAAUUCCAGAUAAAGCCUCGGAAUAAGCAAUUAAAUGUUCGUGGGAGCACACAUGGAAAAGUGGAAAAAGCGAUUUUCCCUUACAGGACAGUUGAAUCAAACUAUCCCAAUAGAGAACUCAAAUAUGUCCACUUUGUAUCAAGCAAACCAAGACGACUGAAAAGAAUUUUUCCCAAUUAUGCCGUGGGUGUGAGCGUUUUCACACAGCCUUUCCCCGAAAACAGCUCAGUGCAGUGGCCGCCCAGAUGUUUCACAUCAGUCUUCCGAGAUAGCAUCUUUGCCUGGGCUUCCAGAAACUCGCUGUUUACUCGAGCCGACUUUCCCCAAACUCUGUACCUCCGAGACCAAAUGCAUCUUAGACCUCAGAGUUUUGUACCGCCUUGGCAAGCUCUGUGUGGCUGGUAACCUUAGCCAUUGAAAAUGCUUUUGAAUCAUUUCUGUGUCAUAAUGAGAUUAAGAUUCGUCCUUUGAAGUCUGCCUCUAGUUGGCACUUUGGAUAUCGCUUAACAAACUCAGACUCGGCUUUUGUGCUCAUAGGUUGGGCCACGUGGCCAUAGGGCCUAUCGAGUUUUUACUUCAAGGCUGGAUUAGCGGACGGGAGCAAGGCUCUCAACACCAAUACGUCUUGGGAGAGCGGCGCUUUUAUCAGGUAGCACACUCUCCUUUUCUUAGCCAGCUUUCUUUUCUAUCACACGUUUCAAUAGCCAUUCGUGUUGGCCUCACGAGUGCUUCUCAAACGCUAAUAUGGGGAUGAAUCAUGGAACAUCUUGUUAAAAUGCAGAUUCUGAUCCGGUUAGGUCUGGGGUGGGGCCUGAGAGUCUACAUUUCUACUGUGCGUCCAGAUUAUGCCGAUCUUGCUAAUUCCAGACCUACUUUGAGCCUCAGGAACCUAAAACCACACUAAUCGUGACUAGAGGCAAAAAUUGCUUUGCUUUAGUCAAGUGCCAGUUAUUCCUCUUAGGUGAGCUGUCCUUAGGGCUGAGAAACAGCACCUUCUCCCCUAAAGAAUCUCUGUCUCUCCCUCUCUUUCUGUCUUGCAAGGCCAACUCUUGAAUUUCCCUCCAGCUAAACCCCAUCCGAGUAAAGAAAAUACUGUUUGAGCAACUUUAGAUCAAUAAACACAUUCCUUGUUUCUGAUGACUGGAGUAAGUAAUGGAAAUUGGAUGGACAUUUUUAGCAAUUGUUUUUUCUCUUUAAAAUGUCAGCACAUUAGCUGUGGUUUAUUUACUUUGUUUGAAGUGACCUCCGAUGCUGCUCAGGAAACACUCUACAAGCUGCUUUAAGAAAAUUAAUCAUAUUGAAUUAGUGAUUGGUUUUUAAAAGCCUUUCUAACGGCAAUACAUUCUCAAGGACUGUCAGGGUCAUUUCAUAUCUUCUUUCUACCUCUGUCUUUCUGUCAGUCUCCCAGGUUCUACAGACUCUAGAAACCUUCCCAAACUUGUUGAUUAAUAUUAAUAAUCAGAAGUGGUGAGAUAAAGGAACUUCAUUUCUUUAAGUAUGCUCCAUCCAGCUCCAAGAAGCCAACUGGCUAAGAGCCUAGGGGUAGGGCAUCAGCUGUCGGAGGACCAACAGGCUAGAGAACAAUUUCCUUUGCUACUCACUGGAGAGUUUCAGGCAAUUCCAGAGGACUGGCCACACUCGGUUUGACACACACUAUUUAAUUCCAUCCAACACUCUCCCUUUUAGAUCUUUCUUGUCACUUCAAGAAUGUGGGGUCUGCAGAGAGAGAAAGGCAAACGAUUGCCACUGACUCUCUCUCUUGGAUUAUUUUUAUCUGCCAGGAUCUUGUAGACCAAAUACCCAAGACAGAAAUAACGCAAUUUCACAAUUUUUGUCUAAGUUGCUCCGAUGUCUUGGCAGGUUUAGAGCAUUUAGUUUUUUCUUUACUCUAAUAAGGGAGAUGUGUUGGUGACUUUCUUUGAAUUGUAAUUUCAUAGUUCACCACUUCCCUUACUAUUAUUUAAAAAAAAAAAAAAGGUAGCAACUCCCUUCCUGCUAUAGUACCCUAGAUAGAGGAACCCUAGGAACUACACCACCUGGGUUCAGACCCUAGCAACGCUCCGUCUGUAACUACUACUUAACAUAAGAUGACUUAACUCACUUAAUCUCAGUUUCCUCAGCUGAAAAAUGGAGAUAAGUAAAAGUACCUUCUUUAUAAGGAAUCUGUAGGAAUACUACCUGGUACAAUAAAAGUGCUCAGUACAAGUUACCUAUUGUUUUAGUCCCGUUCGGGUCAAGUAACUGCAAAAUGUCCAACAGGGAUCAUUGCAACAUAACCUACUACUAGGUUCUGUCCAAGUGAUUCUAAAACCAACGAAUCGAUUAAGUCAGUCGAGUGGUGUGGUGGUGCGACAGGACGAUCACGCAUGCCCACAACAUCGGAGGACAGCAAAUGUGUUUCUACCCACCCUCCUGACCCACAAGGGCUUGAAUGAGAACGUAAGUGAUGAACACGCUUUGCAAAAUUGAAUGCCCCACACUGAACAAACACACGCGAUAGUAAUAAUUGCUGCAAACUACACUAAUACACUACGACCUGGAUUUUAUUUUUAGCUUCUGCUUUCUAAAACCCUACGUGGUACAGGUCAACUAAUAGUCAAGUGUGUACAAGACCACUGCCCUGAAUUAGGUGCUGGGAAAACUUAAAAGAUGACGUAAGACGAAGUCUCUGCCCUCAAACGUUUGACUACCUCAGAGAUCAAGCGUCUGCAAUUCACCACAAGGAUGGAGAAAGAGAGGUGCUCCAGUAGAUUCAGAGAGCCACGGGGGUUUUCAAAAUGCCGUCAUAAUAAUUAAAUAUCAACGGAGGCACCCCUAUUUAGAACUUGGCUUUACAUCUUUAGAUAAUUCCGCUUCUGGGGGCGCCCGGCGGCUCAGGCGGCUAAGCGUCCGCCUCUUACGUGUGUUAGGAAUUGUGCCCUAUUUAUUCUAGUCACAACUGUAUACACAAGUCCAGAGUCCUUGGGGCAGUAGCUUUACAACAAUGAAUACCGUAAUAAAUUACGGUAAAAAUCUUUCACUCUUCAGUUAAGUAAAAUAUCCGCGUAGGCCAAUUUCAAGGUGCAGGAUUUGUUUUAGAAACAGACGCUGGUAGAGAAAUCUGAAGUCUAGUUAUGCAGAGAUGUCUGCCAAAACCAGAAAUGAUUCUCAAUAUCUUUGAACAUAAAAGCAGAGUUUGUUGCCUGUCUGAAAGUUCCAGCGUCGCUUUGUUGAUACUCAGUCUAUUUUCAGAGUAUUAAUAGCUACCAAAAGAAAGGAGAAUCAGGUUACAAUCAGAUCCUUGCUUCGGGGGCACUGUAAUACUAUCUCACUUUGCUGGGUGCUGCAGGUAAGGUCACCGGGUAGCCGAACAGAUGGGGCCGGUUUAUGUUCACCUAUAUAGCACGCUCGACCUUUGACAUGAGAUCUGUUUCUGAACCAAGAAAUGUUAGCUUAAACCCCAGGGCCUCUUACACGCUUGACCUCUCCGAACAAUGCUGGAGGAUAGAUUGAGGCAAAUAGUUUAGGAAAGUUCAAAAUAGAAAUAAAUGCUUGAUGAACAUAUUUGACCCCUUGACAUUUCAGCCCCGUUGGUCAGGGAAGAUCGCUUUUUCCCUUGAAAUCACUUCGGAGGUGACAUUUUAUUUUUCCCUUGCUGCUCAGAAAAUAUCUUUACUUGUCAUAAAAUGAAGUGAAAAACCUCCAGGCCCAAGUACAUAAAAGGCUUAGAUGCAUGAGCCUUAUUAUUGCCUUUCCUCCUGUAGUUCUGUUAGUCCUGAAAUUUCACCGAAGGUGCUGAAAACGUUCCUUUUGCAUUUCUUUUGUAGAUUGUUCUCUCUCUGAGCAAUGGUUACCAGAGUCUUAAGAAUGACUUAUAUUUGCUAAUUGGAUUAAUGAUGAGAUAAUGGAAGAGAUUUUUUUUUUCAAUAUCCCAGUAACUUUCUUAAUCUGGGAAACAGAUGUUCCCACACCUUUUUUGCAUCUUUGUGUUCAGUGAUUACAAUAAGAAGCUUUCGGAAUCUUCCAAAUGGUUCAAAUUCAUCUUCCACACAGUUGGAAGUGGGAAGUUAUCAAGAUGGAGGCCUUGAACUUUAAAUGUAAUAAGCAGGAGAUGGAAGAAGGUACAAAAGGGAGAAAGGAGCCCAUCGACUUGUUCUUAGUUGUGGUUUCUACAUUUCUCUCAGCACUCAAAGUCAUUCAUUUACUGGCACAAGUUAAUGCUUUCUAUGCUCUCGUGCACGCAGAUAAAAAUAUUAAAACGCAUUUACCAAGCAGAAAACGAAAUAUAAUUCGGACGUAGGUGGUCGUACUACCUUCAUUGUAGAUAGUUCUUGUACCUAAAACAAUAUGAAAAAGCAGUUUAUCAUCCAUCCCUUAGAAAGAAAAAGUGCUAAAUUUAACGCACAGAUUAAACCUUCUCCUGUCCUUCACAAUAAUUUUGUCUUGCUUUUCUUUAUCUAACAACAUUCGUGUAAGUUUUGUAGGCCGUCGGUAUUUGAGAAAAUGGGAAGAAAAUGAUUCAUUAUCAAAAGAGAGGUCGUAAUGAAAAAAUAUGGUUUCUAAUGUUCAGGUUGUAUUUUUUUUCAGCCACAAAAAACUUAUUACAGCAGCACCCUGGUUGAAAGUUCGAACAAAUUUACUUUCUGAAAACGUUUAGUAUUAUUAAUAAUAGGAAAAAUCCUUUGGCUGUGUUUAUCUGUGAGAGUGAUUAAUCUGGCGUUGUAAAAACCUCACAUUUUCCACAACUGAUACUUGGAAUUAAAGAUGUGCAGGGUGUUUGCCUACAUUUGAUCUUACCCUGGGAUCGUGACGGUGCAGCUCAGCCCUGCCCGCCACCCCCUGCUCGCACAGCUGUUACUAAAUAGCCUUCGACAACGUCGGGGGGACGACUGUCACACGGUUUUGAUAUCUUGAAAUCCAUUCUGAAUCAUCCUCAAUUACGACAGUUAUUUUUGGUUAAACACCUUUGAGUUCUUCACUAAAAUCCUCCUGCAGUUAGGGAAAACACAAGGGUCUAUCUGGUUAACUCCACAACUGCACUCCACGUUUGGCCGGAGCCUCUGGUCAGAUAAGAGAGGUGGGGCUGCCUAUUCACCCAGUUUGGAAAGCCGAAUGAAAUGUUAGAAUUCAAAUAAAGGCCUCUUAGCCUACCCCCAGGGGGCUUUUCCAUACUGGAAAAGUGAUUAUGUCAUUUAGAGCAAACACUCCGAGACGGUGCCUAUACCUUAAAGAUACGGCAAAAGGGUAAAGAGGAGGGGCUGAAUUAAGACACAGACCCGGGUAUUUUGACCAUUGGCAUAUGGUAUAGUCUGUUUGGCCGACUUUCCUCAGAUAGUCCUUCUGUUUAUCUUCCUAAAUCAAUUCAGAUGUGUUGCCUCAAGCUCUAUUUGAAAAGGCAUCUGGUGAGUUCUAGACUGCCUCUGAAUAGUUUAUCCGUCAGCACAAACACCUGGAGGAAGGAAACUGCUGCACCGGAGAACGGCUUUUCUGCCCCUGGGUGAAGGCUGGGCCGUCUCGGCAAAGGAGGCCAGACAAGCUCUCGCAAAUCAGGUAUGAGACAGAGUUCCCCCGGGAACCCACUGUUUCCUUCCUUCCCCCUCUUUUGUCCUCUGUUGGCAUCUUGCAGAAAAGAAAGGAAGUGUGGUAGAAUGUAUUAUUUGCUCGCAAUUCUUCCUUUUAUUCCCUUCACCGUGCUAGGUUUCGCUAGAUAGCUUCUGCUUCUCUAGCCCAUUGAUUCUGAGUUUGGCCAUGUGAUUCGCUCUGGCCAAGGGCAAGCGGACAGAGGUGAUCAUGCGUGAGUUCUGAGCCAAGCUGCUAAAAGGCACUGCAAAUUUCUGCCAGGCGUUUCUUGUACUUCUGUUAUCUACCCUCAGAAGAGCGUGCACCGGGAAGCCGCUGAUUCCAGAAUGAGACACACAUGGAACAGGCCUCAGUCUGAUUCGUAGCCUUAAGCAGAGCUGCCAUAACUGACCCGUAGAUGCGGGAGUGGGAACAAUAAGUGCUGUUUUUUAUUAAGCCACUAAGAUUGGGGGGGGGGGGGGGGGAGAGGCUGUCCGUCACGCAGCAGCAUCAUAGCAUUAGCUGACUAAUACAGGGGGGUACCUGCCAUUUACUCAGGACUCAUUCCUUGCCGAACACCAUUUACGUUAACUCCUUUAAUCUACGACGUUUCUUUCUGAGGUCCACUCAUGCUCCAAUCUUUCAUGAAACAUCUGCUCAGAGAGCACAAGGCCCCACAGCUAAAAAGUGGCUGGGCCAGAAAUGCAAAUUCACAUGUUCCCCGGUCCAAAUAUGGAGAUUAUUCCAUUGGUUUUUCCUACCUUCCUGCAGUUGCCACCACAGGUGGUAGCAACAACAGCAACAUAAGAAACAACUUUGCUCUUUUACGAAGGGCCUUACCCUUCAAUACGUUUUCACGUACCUUUUUUCAUCAAUAAGAAAAUGUACAAUUGCAAAUUGGGGUAGCUCUGUUUAGCUCCGCUCUAGAUUCAAUCAUAGCCCAUGAGAUUUGAAAUGGUAAGUCUUCAGUUUGGAAAGUGUUGUGCUUUAGAAACCACAGGAAGGCUUAAAAUAGACUGGAAUAUUCUGAAGUUAUAGGUAUGAGAGAAAAUGUACCAGAUAAAAGCCAACUGAGCCAGUGUUUGGAGCUUUUCUUGACCAAAGCAGACAGACUCCAUAGAAACUACUCGGGACCUUUCCCCUGACCGCACCAGGGGAGACAACCACUCGGAAGGCAUCACCCGUCUUUUCACUAUUGACACUCAGAAGGAACAAUAUUUUCCAACCCUGGCUGCACAUUAGAAUCACUCGGGGAGCUUAAGAAAAACAAAUAUCUGGGUCCUGCUGCCAAGCAGACUCGAUCAGAAUCUCUGUAUUCUAUCUGCAUGUUUUUAAAGUUCCCCAGAUGAUUCUAAUAUACGGCCAGCGUUGCGUCCCACCAAACCAGAAGAUGGGACACAGAAAAUAGAUUUGCCGACAUUUAGCAUUAAAAACCGAUUCUACUCAACGGCCCACACCUGGAAAUUGGGGCGAGCUUCAGCUUUGCGUCUUUGAACUUCCUACACAGUGAUUCCUCUAUUAACGUUCCUUAUCAUCUCUCCUUCCUCUGCUGAAUAUUUUUUGAAUCCAUACUUAUUUGCUGACAUCUGUAUUUAUGUCUGUUUCUAAAACAGUGUUUGCCAAGGGCUAGACUGUAAAAAUUUUGUAAGGAUUUCUAAGAGUUGUAAGGACUUGACUAAAGCUGAGAUGAGCUAACUUAAUAGGAGAGAUGUCACUACCUCCACUAGCCAAAUCAAUAAAUGAAUAAAAGCAAAGGCUGUCAUUUAUAUUGAUUCUGUUACAUGGUUGACACUCUUCUAUAAAUAUUUCAGAGCAGCGACAUUCUGGUUGAAUUUGCACAUUCAAGUUCCCAAGAAUGAGCUUUGAUCUGCGUAGCUAGAGAUUGAGAUCCCGUAUGCUAACUGCUAACGCACUCCUACAUACACACCCUCUUGCGGCACUUAUCUGAUUGCGUCUCCAGGUUAGCUGGAAGACUUUCUAUUUUUUUUCCCUAAGAUUUUAUUAAAAAAAAAUUUUAAUGGUUCCUUUUGAGAGAGAGACAGACAGACAGAGUGUGAGAGGGGGAGGUGCAGAGACAGAGGGAGACACGAUUCCGAAGCAAGCUCCAGGCUCUGAGCUGUCUGCACAGAGCCCGACACGGGGCUCGAACUCAAGAAUUGUGGUAUCAUGACGUGAGCCGAAGUCGGACAUUUAACCGACUGAGCCACCCAGGCGCACCCUAAGAUUUUAUUUUUAAGAAAUCUCUACACUCAACAUGGGGCUCAAACUCACAAACCCAAGAUCGAGAGUCACAUGCUUUCCCAACUGAGCCAGCCAGGUGCCCCGAAACUUUCUAUUCCUUUUCCAGUAAGACACACAACUCUCUUAUGGCACUAGUGGUAAUUAAUUUCAAUACAUUUGAAUGAACAUACUACCUAACAUUUACAGAGUGUGUUCUAUGUGCCAGGCACUAUUUGUAGUGUUCUACAGGCAUUAGCUCAUUUAAUCCCUAACCCUAUGAGGUAGAUAGAUGAUUUAUUUCCCCAUUUUACAGAUGGCACAGAAAAGUUAAGUAAGGUGCCCAAGGUAACAGACUUAUGAAAUGAUAAAGCUGGAAUUUGAACUCGGAAAGUUUACUUCCAGAAUCUAAACUCUGCCGCUAGAAUAUACCGCAUCCCGCAGUAAGUAGAAGGCCACUGUAAGUACGUUUUAGGAGAGGAUACAGACCCACUGGUGCUCUCGUCACUGCUAGUGGAGGUGCAAAUUGGUGCAACUAUGAACAAAUUGUUUGGCAGUAUCUGUGAAAGCCAAACAUACGCAUACCCUGUACCCUCGUAAUUCCUGGGUAUAUACCCCACAAAAAUAUAUACUUAUGUUGAUGAAAAGACCUGAAUUUGGAUGUUUACUACAGCACUACUUGUAAACGUUGAACUGAAAACUACCCAAAUAUCCAUCAACAGGAAAAUGGAGAGAUAAAUUCGGCUGUAUUUGUGCUGCUAUGCGGAAAUGAGAAUAAGCACUCUACAACUACACGGAGUAAGAAAGACGGAUCUCACAAAUGUAAGUAAUGCCUGAAAGAGGUCAGGAAAAAGAGCACAUGCUGUGCGAUCCUCUUAUGUAAAGUUCAAAGGCAGGCAAAAAGAAUCUCCGCUCUUAGGGGUCAGGCUAUCGGUUACCCUUAGGGGUAAGAGUUAUAACUGGAAGGAGUAUAUGGGGAGGGGGCUUCUGGGGGGCAAGUAAAACCCUCUUUCUUGAUCUGAGUACUGGUCACAGCAUGUGUUUAAGUCUCGAGAAUUCAGUGAGCCGUACCUUUAGGUCAUGUGCUCUUUUCUGUAUGUAUACUACAUAUCUAUCACCAGUUUGAAGGGGCACUAUGGGUGAUCAAAUAGUAUCUAGAAUCAGGAGAUUUGGGUAAAUGUUUUCAAACAAACAGGGCAUAUUUAAGGCAAAACAGUCAUUCCAGGCAAUCAAAGAGUAACUUGUUGAUGUCUCUAGUUCUUCGGUGUUUUUCCACUUCUUAUCACAAACGCCAACAUGAUGAGUUAAUAACAGUAAGAGAAAAGGAUCGACUCACUCAGGCGUUUGAGAUGGGCUCAGUGUGCUCAUUCUCCCCUCCAGACAGGAGUUCAAAGGCAGAGUGACUAAUGAGUGUUGCAUGAAGGUACAGUUGGUAGGAGGCAUCAGAACAAAGUGUCCUUGGCUCUCUCGCCUCUGCAUCUUCUGGAGCACCCACUUAAUGGGGUGUGGAGAGCAAGUGAAAGCAGGGGAUGAACUUCUUCUGCAGAAACCUUCAAGAAUGAGGAAAUUGAGGUCUAGGGUGAGAAGCACAUGACAUUCUGCCAAAGGGCAAUCCCUUCUAGGAAGGAUUCAAUGGAAAUGGCUUACCCUAAGAGUUGUCACUGUUCGGGCACACCUGUGGACUCAACCAAUCAGCACACCCCCACUACAUAUCUGAGAGGGACAGCCCAGACCACAAUGCCCCGUUUAUUCCACUUCUGCCUUUGAGAGAGAAAGACCUCAUCCACUGUCACAAAGGCGAUGCUUUGCCAGGGAAAGCACUAACUUUUGUUUGCUUAAGAAGCACGCCUAUAAAAAACUUUCAUCACUCCAGAUGUCUUCAGCCAAGUUCUUUCAAGUAAGUCCCAUAGGGAAGGACUUUUGAAACUGGAUCAAAAAUUAUAAUCAAAACAGCCACAAAAUUCACCUCUCUAUCAGGCAAGACAAUGGUUCCCCUCCUUGUCCCAGGCCGUGAACUCGGCCACCUCACUGGAUAAAUAGAAGCCACGAAGUCAAAACCUCUGUUUUCUCUCUCUUCCUCUGUGCAUGGCACAGAAUUAGAGAUAAUUAAAUAUGAGAUAACUUUUGGCAGACACUUUCUCUAGAGUUCGGUUGAUUAUUCUUUGGGGAAAAUCAUAUUAAAAGUAACUAGGUUGAUUUAAUUACCAAAUUCACUCAUCAGUGAUUUAGUGAAUUUGCUUCCAGAUCUAAUUUCCAGUUGCAUUUUAAAUCUCAAGCUAUUUUCAGAAUCAGAUUUACUCCCCAUCAGAUUUGCCCUUCUGUGUCCCUCUCUCUCUGUCACAUAGACUCACCACUAACCACCUGAAGUCUUUCUUUCCCACAAGGAUUUAGUGGGACUGAGGCUCAGAAUUCCAACAUGGCUUCUGUGGUGGGAAGAAUUUCAAAGAUUUCCCUGUAGAUGGGUCUGGAUAUUUAUUCAAAUAUUGUAAAAAGUUCUUGGCUCCCUUCUGAGCCUGGGAACAUUAUUCACCACCUCAGCCUAAUGGUUUGGUACCCUCAAGUUGGAUAUGAGAACAAUCACCAAUGUUCAAUGCCCUUCUGACAAUAGGGUUAUGUCUUCCAACUCCCAUCAUUACCGUGCACUGGAUUUACUGAGGAGCAUCAGAAAGGGCAUGAAGGGUCCUCUCAAGCAAGGUGUCCCUGCUGAGUCCCAAACCAGGAGUCAGUGUCAGCAGAUUCACUUGGACUGAGGAUUCCUAUCAUCCUGGUCUUCCUUGAGUUGAUUUGAGGUGCUUUUCAUUUGGGGGCAAAAAGAAGAGGAAAGUCUCCUGGAAAGAGGGGCAAAGGGAUACAAAUCCUUGGCCUUGUAUCGGCCUUGUUCCUGAUUGGAUGAGGGUUCUGAGACCAUAGAAAUAAAGGGGUCAGCGUCUAAAGCAUAAGGGACUCCAUUCAUCAGAGACUCUCUGAUAUGCUGGGCCCAAGAAGGAGUCAUGCUCCUCCAGCCCUACUCUGCCACAGAUGACCAUAUAACACUGGCACUGAAAGGCCUGGAGUGGCCACUAAUGGAGAAUGACACCUCGCAGAAGGCAAACAGCUGCCUACUUGGCAACUGUCAGGAACUAGGUACUUGACAACAAGGAUGGCUCAGAAGAAUGUGGGCAAAUACUUUCUUGAAUACCUGUAAGACACUUGUCCUGUGAAGUCCCAGGGAUACUAGAGGGAUUUGGGGUGGGGGGGGGUAGUGAUGUGCUGGGAGUCUAUCAUUUGGGCAUAAAUUCAAUGUGACAUCAUUCGUACCCAAAAUUGUUCAAAGCUAGGACUAUUUUAAUUAUUCUGGAAAAUAGUGUGCUUCCCAGUCUCCCUGAAUAAGAUAAUACAGAUUGUGUUUUGUUGAACCAUUUCCAUAAUAUUCAGGUGUACUGUGAAAAGAAGACUCAGUAGUCAAAAUAGUUUGAGAAAUACUGGAUUUAAUCAUGUUGAACAGAUUUCUGUACUGGAAAACUUCUCAUAUCCUUGAAUGUGCUAAUGGGGUACAUUAAUUGUACCUUGAAUGUGCUAAUGGGGUACAUUAAUUGUACCUUGAAUGUGCUAAUGGGGUACAUUGAUGCAGGGGUAGUGAAUCCCUGCGUCAGUCAAGACGGGCUAGGUUAUACUGCAAUAAAAACAGACUCCAGGGGCACCUGGGCGGCUCAGUCGAUUAAGCGUCCAACUCUUGAUAUUGGUCAUGAUCUUGCAGCCGUGGGAUCUAGCCCCAUGCGGGGCUCUGUGCUGAGUGUGGAGCCUGGUCAGGAUUCUCUCUUUCGUACCGUCUCCGCACCUCCCUCUCAAAAUAAAUAAAUAAACAUUAAAAAAANNNNNNNNNNNNNNCCAAACCUGACUCCAAAAUCUCGGUGGCUUAGAUCAACAAAAGUUUAUUCCUCACUCGCUCUGCUGUACAUCAUCUUCAUUUGGGGACCCAGACUGAAGACACAAACUCUAUUUUUGUUUCUGUUUGUUUGUAGUAAAUGCUAUUUAUUUAUUUAUUUUUAAUGUUUAUUAUUUUUUUGAGAGAGAGAGAGAGAAAGAGAGCAUGAGCUGGGGAGGGGCAGAAUCCGAAGCAGGCUCCGGGNNNNNNCUGUCAGCACAGAGCCCUGCGUGGGGCUCGAACUCACUAACCAUGAGAUCGUGACCUGAGCUGGAGUCGGACACUUAACUGACUGAGCCACUCAGGCGCCCCAAAUGCUCUUUAUUACAUAUCAUAAAAUGCACUGAUUUUAUAUGUAGAAACACAGGGAGGUUAAUGCCUGUGGGGCAAACUUUGACCAAUGGCGAGGUGGAAAGGGGCCAAGAGCCGGCAGAUGACUUCCCCGUCCGCGUCCCCUCUGAUGGACUGUAAUGAGACACAGUUCUUCCAUUUAGCCAUGGGGCCGAAGGGGUGCAUGAGAGAGUCCACUGUGUCUCUCGCAUAGUUUGUUGGGAAGCCGGUGCCACAAGGUAUCAUCUUAUGUUUGAAUCUCACUCUUCUCUGUCCUCACUUCAGCUGCCCUGGGUUAUCCCUCCCAUGAAAGUAGUAGCAUUUAAGCCUCGCCUCAGGCUCUGUUUUCCUGGGCACCCAGAAUAAGCAAUGUGGGUAAAUAUCGGAGAUUUCUGGUCUCCUAGGCAGACCUGCGGAGUUGCUCUCUUAGGCCCCUUAGCCAGCUAUUCUUCCAUCCCACGUAGUACACUCUCAGCUUUUGGCCACGCUAUUUGUCUGCAUGGAACAUUCUUCCCACAGACACAUGCGUGGCCGACUCCCUCGCCUCCUUCAGGUCAUUGCCCAGAUAUUACCUACUCACUGAGGCCUUCCCUGCUCUCCUAUUUAAAAUUGCACAUGCACCCCACUAUAUUCCUCCACCCCCACUUAUUUUCCUUCAUAUCUCCAUAUUAUAUCUUCAUUUAUCUCUCUCUAAGAUUGAUAUGCUUACUUCAUAAGGUCCACGAGAGCAGGAACACGCGGUAAGUAUUUGUGUGUCAGAUGGAUGAACGAAUGGCUGGCUGGACGAUGGAUGAAUGGAUGGACAGACAAUGGAUAAACAGAAGCAUAGCUUGAGCAGUGGGUGAUGAGGAACCGUCCCUCUUCGUGGCUCGGGAUCUCGGUAAACAUGCUCUUCCUAUCUGAUCUAGUUUGAUGUAAGCACCCUGUGUGACCUUGGGCAAGGAGAAUCCUUUACAUCGAACUGGGUUUUAGAGUCUGCAGUGUGCUUUAACUGCCUUGUUUUCUUAGACCUUGAAAAUAACCGUGGGAUGGGUCUUAGCUUUGGUUUACAGAUGAGGACACUGAGGUUCAGAAAAGUUAGGUGGCUGCACCUGAGUGACCCACACAAUGACAGAGAAACAUCAUAUGAGGGAAUAGCUCCCAGAAGCUUUAUGACCCUUUCUGGCUCAUAAAUUAUGAGUGGAUACGUAAGGGAAGGAGGGCACCCUAUACCAGGAGAGCAUUUUAGGGAAACAACUUCCACGGUAAUUUCACAAAACAGUAUCAAGCAUUUCAUGACCACAUUGAUGUUAAUUAAACAAAUUCCCAGAAAAUAUGUAUAACGUUGCUAAAUUCAAAUGAUUUUUACCAGGCAGGAAAUGAAUGUAUUUUGUCUUAACGGUAUUCCAAAUGCGCUCUGUGCAAAGUGAUGUCAUAUUUCAAAUGAUACAGGUUCUCUUUCUGUCAAGUUCAUUGUCUUUGAAAGCUAGAACAAUGGGCUCUCAAAUGCAGAGAGAAGGGCCAGGCAAUCGGGAAACAACAUGGGGUGUAUUUUAUUCCAUAAUUUACUUAUCACAGGAUCCGAUCAAUACUUUUAAAAUGCCUUAGAUGAUGACUGAGAGAAUGGUGGUGUUUGAGGAAGUGUGAGGGGCUCUGCCCCGAGACUGAGUACGGUAUGGGGGAGAUUUAUAGACACUUGACACAGGGGUGGACAGAAAUAAAAGCAGCAGCUACCAGGGUCCUAGCGCCGCCCCUGCCUUGGAACACUGGGCUUGGAAAUCAGCAGAUGUGCUGGAGGUUUGGGGUUGUCAAAACUUUCCAUGAAUCAAUGCGAUCAAAACCCAAAGCUCCCCAUUUCAAAGGCCUAUGAAGAGGGUUAAUUAUGGUCUAGAAAAUUCUGCAUGAAGAGUACUCAAAACAUUCGGGAGGUUUGUUAAUGGAUGAUUUCUUCCCUUCACUCUUGCCACGUGAAGUUUUGGACCCAAAGUAUGAAUUUGGGAUGCGCAGACUUUUAAAAUUCUGCUGUGAAAGAUAAAGUCCAUACCUGCUGGGAAUGGAUUCUCCAUUAAGCAAGCAAGAAACCCACUUAUGUAGAAAGUCAAAAGCGGAUGAAACAUAUAAAUAAGUAUGAGGAAAAUGGCGCUAUGCUGAGACCCAGUAUUUUCAGCUCUGAAUUUCAGCACUGGCUGCUAGCUGACUCGCCAGGGGAUUUAAAAGAAUUUGAUUAGUGUCACUGCUGGAGGACUUCCUUUGGGGACACGUUUGGAGACUACAGCCCACGGGGCUCCAUAGGUGUCUGAUUAGUGCCACCAUACCAGGCCCUGUGCUCAGAAGGGCCCUGACUGUGACUUAAUGUUCUACUGUUGGCACACUGACGUUCUUAAUCGUUUCAUCUUUGGAUUUGUGUUUUGUAAGUGAAGUCCACGCUUUAAGUCUACUUCCUGCCUCAUCCCACCUCCCCCAGUGGGUCCUUGACCACCCUUCUCCUCCACCCACUGGAGCCCCAGCCCUUCUGGCCCCCCCUCUCUGCCCUUUGACCACGGCCACCCUCUACCCCGGUAGAGGUAGCAUUGUGGGGAAGAGGUGGAAUGUAUGGGUAGAGUAGGGUAAGGGACCGGGGGAGGGAGGGAGGCCCACGUUCUACAUGGCACAGGUGCCGGAAUGUUGNNNNNNNNNNNNNNNNNNNNNNNNNNNNNNNNNNNNNNNNNNNNNNNNNNNNNNNNNNNNNNNNNNNNNNNNNNNNNNNNNNNNNNNNNNNNNNNNNNNNNNNNNNNNNNNNNNNNNNNNNNNNNNNNNNNNNNNNNNNNNNNNNNNNNNNNNNNNNNNNNNNNNNNNNNNNNNNNNNNNNNNNNNNNNNNNNNNNNNNNNNNNNNNNNNNNNNNNNNNNNNNNNNNNNNNNNNNNNNNNNNNNNNNNNNNNNNNNNNNNNNNNNNNNNNNNNNNNNNNNNNNNNNNNNNNNNNNNNNNNNNNNNNNNNNNNNNNNNNNNNNNNNNNNNNNNNNNNNNNNNNNNNNNNNNNNNNNNNNNNNNNNNNNNNNNNNNNNNNNNNNNNNNNNNNNNNNNNNNNNNNNNNNNNNNNNNNNNNNNNNNNNNNNNNNNNNNNNNNNNNNNNNNNNNNNNNNNNNNNNNNNNNNNNNNNNNNNNNNNNNNNNNNNNNNNNNNNNNNNNNNNNNNNNNNNNNNNNNNNNNNNNNNNNNNNNNNNNNNNNNNNNNNNNNNNNNNNNNNNNNNNNNNNNNNNNNNNNNNNNNNNNNNNNNNNNNNNNNNNNNNNNNNNNNNNNNNNNNNNNNNNNNNNNNNNNNNNNNNNNNNNNNNNNNNNNNNNNNNNNNNNNNNNNNNNNNNNNNNNNNNNNNNNNNNNNNNNNNNNNNNNNNNNNNNNNNNNNNNNNNNNNNNNNNNNNNNNNNNNNNNNNNNNNNNNNNNNNNNNNNNNNNNNNNNNNNNNNNNNNNNNNNNNNNNNNNNNNNNNNNNNNNNNNNNNNNNNNNNNNNNNNNNNNNNNNNNNNNNNNNNNNNNNNNNNNNNNNNNNNNNNNNNNNNNNNNNNNNNNNNNNNNNNNNNNNNNNNNNNNNNNNNNNNNNNNNNNNNNNNNNNNNNNNNNNNNNNNNNNNNNNNNNNNNNNNNNNNNNNNNNNNNNNNNNNNNNNNNNNNNNNNNNNNNNNNNNNNNNNNNNNNNNNNNNNNNNNNNNNNNNNNNNNNNNNNNNNNNNNNNNNNNNNNNNNNNNNNNNNNNNNNNNNNNNNNNNNNNNNNNNNNNNNNNNNNNNNNNNNNNNNNNNNNNNNNNNNNNNNNNNNNNNNNNNNNNNNNNNNNNNNNNNNNNNNNNNNNNNNNNNNNNNNNNNNNNNNNNNNNNNNNNNNNNNNNNNNNNNNNNNNNNNNNNNNNNNNNNNNNNNNNNNNNNNNNNNNNNNNNNNNNNNNNNNNNNNNNNNNNNNNNNNNNNNNNNNNNNNNNNNNNNNNNNNAAAAAAAAAAAAAAUUACUUUCUGCUUUGAGAGAGAAGCAUUUCCCACUCCAAAUCAAAGGAACAAAACAAAACAAAACAAAACAAAACAAAAAACUCCGAAUGAACUUCAGUUUCAGAAUUCAUGAGUAGCUCGGGAAAGAACAGUUGGGUUAUCUCAGCUGUGCUGAACAUUUUCUUCGGUUACUCCCAUCAACGAUUGAGCUCAUCGAUUUUGGAAGGCAUCCUACUAUGUCUCAUUAGGCUGUUUGAAACUAGUGAUGUCAGAAUAUAGCACUCUUAUUUUUCAUUGCUAAUUAAUGGAUUAAAAGUCCACUAUCUCAGUGUUAGAAUCUAUAGCCCGGGAAGAAGGUGGUCCUGGAUCGGUGCCUAGUUGCACCUGACACCAUCCAGUGCUCUCAGUGCCUGGCCAUCAGUGUGCAUUAUGAGGGAGACGACAAAAACCCACCGAUAAUACAUCUGGAGUGGUUGCUAAAUUUAGAGGCAUCCAUUAGUGAACUCUUGUUUUCAACGAAAUGGAAGUUUGUUAUUUAGAAAAUUUGUUUUGAAUUAUUAAUUUAUGUAGAAAUAAGAAAUGCUUGGGUUUUUAAGCCAGAUCAGCUUGGGUCCACAAAGUCGUUCUGCCCAUUUUAAGAUGAGGAAAGGCCCUCUGUUUGUCCGGAAGAGAAUUGACAAGCCCUUGAGUACCUGGUAAAGUAGCAAACGAUGGACCAUUCUAAGUGGGCCGGUUUAGUUAAGUCUACAGCCUGCUCAAUAUUUUGACUCUCUAUUUAUAGACUUUGCCCAUAAUGUAAAACGAGCAUAAACUGUAGUUCUGGUGAUGUCUGGCUGUGCAUAGCCCUUGCUCAGUACUUUUAAUUCUAACACUAAUAGCUUCCACUUACUCAGGGCUUACUAUAACCCAGGAAUCACACUAAGUGCUUUCAAUGUGCUAUUUUUAUCUUCACAACCAUUUUAUGAGCUAAAUAUCACCAUCCCCGUUCUACAGACCAGGAAACUACCGUUUCACGGAGUUAAGUUACCUGCCUAGGAUCUCACCACCAUUAAGGAACAGAGACAUGACUUUAUCAUGUUUGCAGACUCCUAAAUCCAGGCUCUGCAAGCAGGAUAGGGGAGAGAGAGAGGGAGAGAGAAAAUCCCAAGCAGGCUCUGUGCUGGCAGAGUGGAACCAGGCAGCGCAGAGCCUGAUGCAGGGCUCAAACUCACAGAACUGUGAGAUCAUGACCUGAGCCGAAAUCAAGAGUCAGAAACUUAACCACCCAGUGGAUGACUGAGCCACCCAGGCGCCCCUAGAGUUCUAAACUCUUAAGUGGUAAAACUUAGAUGAUCCUCAUAAGACCAAUCGUUCUGCUGUAUUUCCAUACCUGGGAGAAUCCACCUUGUACAAGAGGAGGGACACACACACACAUACACACACACUUUUUUUUUAGAGAGAGAGAGUGCACAGGAGCAGGGUAGAGGGGCAGGUGGAGAGAGAGAGAGAGAGAGAGAGAGAGAGAGAGAGGGAGAGAAUCCUAAGCAGCUUCCACACUGAGCACAGAGCCUGAUGUGGGGCUCAAACCCACGACCUUGGGAUCAUGACCUGAGCUGAAAUCAACAGUCAGAUGCUCAACCAACUGAGCCUCCCAGGUGUCCCCACAGAUACAUUUUUAUGCAUACACACACACACACACACACACACACACACACACACACAAUGGCCCUCGGCCUGUCACACCGGGGCAAUCAGCAGACACCUGUAUUCUGGGGUCCUUUGUGCUCAGAGCCAAGUAAAAAGGUAAGCCAACUGGAUAAGUGCUCUGAGCACCAAUCUAUAAGGACAAUACUAUUCCUAAUGGAAAUCAGAAAUAUGGUACCACUUAACUCAGAUCUGCAUGUGUGACUACUUCCAUAACCAUCAGAAUAUACUUUGGUCCCAUUCCAGCCCAGUAGACAAUGGAAAUGAAAACAUUAUCUUGGUGCCAGCUCUGCUCCCUGACUAAAUAAUUGUUGCAUUAAUAUUGGAGGUGUAUCAUUUGAGGUACACCAAAUUCUUGGUCUUCCUGGAGCUCCAGCAUGUCUUGGUGCAGACCUGUUUGUGCUAUGGAUGGCAGACCCCACUGCUUAAACCAAGUACCAGAGCCUCAAGCACUGUGUCUAGUCUUCCAUCCCGACUCCGCUGUCCUCUUGCUCUCAUGUGACGGCCAGUGCACGAAGUCCAGUGCUUGUCUCUGCCCUUGAGCUUUCCCUCUGAUCCAGUGUGGAAUUUGGGGGCAGAUCUUGAUUGCCUUGCUGGUCUUUGAGCUCUCCCAAGUUUAACUUUCUUUCUUUCUUUCUUCCUUUCUUUCUUUUUAAUGUUUAUUUUCGAGAGAGAGAGAGAGAGACAGAGAGACAGAGAGAGAGACAGAGAGCAAGCGGGGGAGGGGCAGAGAACAAGGGAGACCCAGAAUCUGAAGCAGGCUCCGGACUCUGAGCCGUCAGCACAGGGCCCAACACAGGGCUUGAACCCACGAACCACGAGAUCAUGACCUGAGCCACAGUUGGACUCUCAACCAACUGAGCCACCCAGGCGCCCCCCAAGUUUAACUUUAUACAUUAGAUUUUCAUUGUGGCUUGGGGUAAAUGCUGCUGAUUGCAUCUAGCCUGGGCCUGGCCUGGCCUGGCCUGGCCUUUGGUCACCUGGAGCCAGCAGCCUUCUCUUGCUUUCUGGGCAUUUCAGGAAUACUCCCAGAAUGUCUCUGCUUGCUGCUUGUUCCAUAUCUGUCCUCUUCUCUGAAUAUGAACUCUGCUUACCACUCUAUCCCCAGAAUCUUGCACCAUACCUGCCAUGAAGAAGGUGAUCAAUAAAUAUGUAUUGAUCAAGUAUAAUUUUAAAAAACACAUCAUAAAUUAUUUGCUUCAACCAGUGAUACGGAGAAAAUAUUAAAAGUAAAAAAAUUUAAGCAUUCACCUCCAUGAUUUCAUUGAGAAACCUCUUGCAAUAAACCUCAUAAUGUCAAUUCCAAAAUAGGUAGAGAGAUAGAUACAUAUCAGUUGAAUAAACAAAUGAAUGGAUAUUUAUUUACUUAUUUAACAGGUACAUGAUACUAUGUGUCUGGCAAUGUCAUAAAGAGUUUAUACAUAUUAAACUCAGUUAAUUUUUUUUUUUACUUGCUGUUCCCCAUCCCCCCAGACUAUACGUUUCUUUCUUUUUCUUUUUUUAUUUAUUUAAAUGAUCUCUACACCCAACAUGGGGCUCAAACUCAUGACCCUGAGAUCAAGAGUCACACGUUCUAACAAUUGAGCCAGCCAGGCACCCCAUAGACUGUUAGGUUUCUUGAGGACAGAAUUUGUGCUGGUCUCUAGCAUAAUAUCUGACAAGAAAUACAUAUUGAUUACAUUAAUAUUUAUAUUAAUAUUUAAUUAGGGUAGCAUCUAGUUCCCAUAUUUGUAAAUUCUCACAUGUAAAUGGGCUGCAUCGUGGCUAUAUUAUUUCUGUUUGAUUCUCUUGCAUGAAAAUUUCUGCUGCGUAGUUUCAUGUUCUGUUCUUUUCUUUCAUUGAACUCUAUUUUGUCAAUAUCCUUUGUUUUGGGUCACUUGCUUUGAAAAAAUGUAAAAUAAAGAAUAUUUUUGGAAGGAACUUCAGCAGCGAGUUGUAAGUAUUGGAACUUCAAAAGAUGUUAUGUUUUCUCCCAUUUUUUUCCUUGUUUGAUAUAUAUACAAGUUCUAGGCCCCAUCAGUCUAGAAAAUUCUUAAGAAAAAUUGCUCUUCUGGCAAGAUACACUGUGCUUCAUCACAGGUCAGUUAUGUUCAAAAUGUGUCAAAAAAGAAAAAAGUAACACCUUAGGUGGGUCGCUCAGUGAAAAACUGAUUAGCUUCUCUUGAAACAUGUUUUUUAGGACAUUGAAACACUGUUUUAUUCAGUUGAAGUUAAGGGUUCCUUUCCUACCCCCAAAGUACCACUGCUGAGAAAACAAGAAGGUAUUGAGUGAGUUCAUGGUCACUACUUUGAGAUAUUGGAAGGAAGGUAACAACUUGAAAUCAAGAACUGUGUUUUUGGAAAAUCAACUGGAACCUGCCUCUUUUUCUUGAGGAAGAAAGUUUUGAAAGGGUAUUAACAUCUUCUGGGGCCAGGAGCCUUUUAGCUUUUGCUAGAAACAAAACUUCUGAGACUUUUUAGAAGGCAGGAUUAUAAAAGAAAAGUGAACAUGACAAAUAAUCCAGCUAUCAAUUGCUGUGUAACAAAUUACUUGCAGAUUUAGGGGCUUAACACAUCCUUUUUCUUUUUGCUCAUCACUUUGUGGGUCAGAAAUUCAGGGAAUCAGCAGAAUGGUUCUCACUGAGGUCUCUCACGCGACUGUGUCCAGAUGUCUGGGUGUCCCUCAACAGGGCUAGACAUCCACCGUGGCUCGUUCACAAGUCUGGCAGGAGAUCCUGGCUGUCAGCUGGGAGUGCAACUGGGGCUCCACGAACUACCUACAUCUGGCCUUUCCAUGUGGCCUGGGCUUCUCACAGCGUGGUGGCUGGGUCCCAACAGGAAGAGUCUGCAGAGCAUGUAUUCAGAGAGAACUAGCGAGAGGCUUCAAGGUCUCUUCUGACAAGGACUUGGAAGUCAUAACACCGCUUCUGUAUGGCUUCCAAGUAAGGCCAGCCCAGAAUCAAGAUGGUAGAAGGGGAGAAUUAGACCCUACCAGUUUAUGGGAGCAGAGUCAAAGAAUUUGUGGCUAUCUUUUCAAACUUCUACAACAAAUCAGCACUGGACACAUACAUGAAUGAAUGAAUGAAUGAAUGAUACCCACCUAAGCAUACCUGGGAGAAAUGCUCUCUAAAAUCCUUACCUCUAUAAAAAAUUUGUGCAUUUAUUCUGAAAUAUUCUUAAGUCCAAUAUUUAAGACAGUGAUUUUAUUAUGAGAAAAGGUCUACUUAUACCAACUUCUCUGCACAGGGUAAAAGGAAGGAAAGAAGAGGAAUAGAAUGAGAGGUAGAGCUGUCAUCUACCCACAUGGAUAGUGUUGUGUUAAGCCCCUAAACCCGCAGCUAUCCACCUUCCCAAAUAUCUCCCUUGUCAUCUAUUUUCAUUCCUGAAACCCCUCCAAUAGAGACUUUUCUUUCUAUUGAGUCUUGAGAGCGUCUCUCUAUAGAAAUCAUGCAUCAUGGUACAGGUACCACUUAGAGAAGAAUAAUACCUUAGUUUCUUUUUUUUUUUUUUAACAUAUCUCACCCUUUGGGGGGUUAUAGCAGGAGUGCAGAGGAAGACGAAAUAUUGGGUAGGUGAGAUAGUAAAGGCAUCAGAGCUUUUCCAACUGUGAUGACUGAUAGUAAGAGCCUCCAGGAAGGGGGAUCGAGAACAGGCUAGAAGUAAGAGGAGACAAAUAAAUGGCAAGGUGAAACGAUUCUAACGAUUAACUUCACAUUUCAAAAUGCCCAGAACUGGCCCAGCAUGGCGAGUUGACAGGUUAUCAAUAGAGUUGUCUUGACCUACCAGGAACCCCUAACAAGGGGAAGGGGGAAGGAAAUCUAGAAGAGCUCCUGUGUACUCAAGCAUGCAUUCACCUAUCAACCAUUCCAACAGCCUUUACAAGAAUAGUAUCACUAUAUCCACCUCACAAAUGAGGGCAGAGCCACAGCGUGGCAGGAGUCUGGGUCCCUGAAGAGUCACAUAGGAGGCUGUUCAAGCAGAGCACUCCUAGUAGAUUGUGAUACGUGUGAGAAAACCACUGCUACCUUUAACUGAUACAGCCUUGGUUGAUUCUGCCUGUCCACUAACCACAUACUCUUAUCGGUAACAAUUCUUCAGGGCUGGAGGGAGACACAGAGAGGAGGACAGGUGCAGAAUGUCUCAGGGAAGGUGUAUGUAUUGUUUUAAGUCCCCCACAGUCGAAUCUUUUCCCACACCAUGCCCCUGCUUUCCAGGUAACGUGUCAUUACAAGCCAUCGCACUUAAGGUUUCAAAGUAGGAACGCCACGUGAUCGGAGGUGUGCAGUGAGGAAAACGAGCCUGGCAGUGAUAUGUUGGAUGUGUUAGGUGGCACGGAAGCAGAGUGGUGGCGCGGUGGGAGGAACAAAGUGACAAGUAAGGAUUAUCCGGGAACCAUUCCAGGGCCAGACGUGCAGGAGACUCUGAGGUGCCCGAUGGGGGAAGCCUAGAGAGAGAACAGGAGCAGGAAAGAUCAGGCAGAUAGAAACACACAGGGGGACUCGGCCAGACUGACUGGAUCUGGGGCCUGAGGAGAUUACAAGAGUCAGUCUUGCUCAAUGUAGUGGUUAUAUUGUGCACGUAAAUGAUUUUGGACCAAGAUUUUACAAAUCAUUUGGCUAAAAGGCAACAGUCAGCCUCUGCAACAGCCGAAGGGAUUUCUUUAAAUCCUUCCCAUGAAAGAGCUGCAAAAUUGCUCUCUUCCCUCUAGGGGGUCCCAAUGGACAGGACCCAGGAUGAGCUACAAGGUCCUCAUCAGAUCCCAGAGAGACACUCCUGUAUCCCUUGACCUGGCAAAGUCUGGAUUUCAAGCUCGUCCAACAUACUAGCCCCUCCAUACCCAGUAGGCCAGCCCUUCUCUGGUGCUCUGGGUGUCCCGGGCCCCAGCGCUCCACGUCAGCUUUCUUACGUGUGAUGUAGGCCCCAUUUCUCCCUAUGUCCACAGGAAAACAAUUCCAAAGCUCCCAAGCGGCCCUCCAGAAGUCUCUCACGAACCAGGUUAAAAGUGAAGGAGGGUGUGAGUCUUUCACCCCCCCCACGCACAGCAAGAGUUGUUCUUUUUCACCAAUCCCCUCCCCCUCCACACCCUGACCUCUUCUGAUAACCUUGUUCUGGUUGAGGGUCCCAGAGCCGCAGAAACAGAACCCGAACACCUCUCCUGUAGUUUCUGCCCGUAGCGGGUUUUGCCUCCCGCUCACGUUCAUACCUGACGACUGCACUGUUGACCUUAGCUGAAACUGAAGAGGAAAAGUUCCAUUCUAACCAACUUCUAGCUAGACAAUAAUUAAUUUUUAAAAAUCAUACUUCCCGCAUUCAAAAAAAAAAAAAAAUCCCGGCCAACAUUUUACCAAGUCAAAUGUUAUUUAAGAUCCUUGCUUCUUCAACUCCAUCCUGUGGAUAUGCUGACAGUCAGUGUAAUUUUUCUCUGAUCCUUGGCAAUUUUUUAGCCAGAGAUCACUUUUCAUUAUGUAACUGAUACAGUCAUUUCCAAGCCAUCUCCGAGAUGUGUAAGGCCAAGUACAAUGAAUUACACUUUUGCAUUUCUUACUCCAACCAAAUUAAUGUAAAUGGAGGAGAAUUCCAUUGGGAAACAAUUUCUGAGGAACAAAAGCAAUUUCUAGUGGCCUAUCUUAACCAGCUCCAGUGCUGACACUACUUUGUAUAAACUCAUUUACCAGUGGAAUGUUUAAUAUAAAUUGUGGUUGUGUCCAUAAAAGUCAUGCUUAAACAGACAUUGUAAUUAUAGAGGGAAGAAUGUUUAUCUCUGGGGAUUCCUCUCUUAGUGGUUUUUACAUAUUCCACUUUUUAAUUUUUUGUUUUAGAGAGAGAAAGAGAGAGAGUGAAAAUGAGCAAAGAAGAAGGGCAGAAGGAGAGAGAGAGAGGAUCUCAAGCAGGCUCCAUGCCCAGCACGGAGCCCGAUGUGGGGCUCGAUCCCACGACCCUGGGAUCAUGACCUGAGCUGAAAUCAAGAGUUGGAUGCUCAAUUGACUGAGCCACACAGAUACCCCCAUAUUCCACUUUUUAAAAGAGAACAUACAUUACUUUGAUAAUCAGAAUAUAUUAUUUACACAUGUAUAGGUUUACAUGCAACACACAGACCCAUUUAAGGAGAGAAUGGCCUGGGGCGGGGGGUGGCACCUGGGUGAAACAGAUGCUUAAGCGCCGACCUGAGCUCAGGUCAUGAUCUUGUGGUCAGUGAGUUCGAGCCCCGUGUCGGGCUCUGUGCUGACAGCUCAGAGCCUGGAGCCCGCUUCGGAUUCUGUGUCUCCCUCUCUCUCUGUCCUUCCCCCACUCACAGUCUGUCUCUCUAAAAACUAAAACCCAUUAAAAACAAUUUUUUGAAGAGAGAAUGGGAUCAAAAAUGCAAAUAGUCUUUAUAGCAAUGUCCACUAGAAAUAUGAUGUUAAACACAUAAUGUAAUUUUAAGUUUUUUAGUAGCCACACUAAAAGAGUGAAUGGAAAGGUGAAAUUGAAACUUAAUUCAACAGUAUAUUUAUUUAACCCAAUGUAUCCAAAACAUGGUCAUUUUGACAUGUAAUCAAUACAAAAAUUAUUAAUGGAAUAUUGUAUGUUCUUUUUUUUUAUAUUAAAUCUUUGAAAUCCAAUGAUUAUAUUAUACUUAUGGCACAUCUCAAUUCAGACUAGCCUCAUUUCAUGUGCUCAAGAGCCCUGUGUUUAUAGCGGCUACCGAGUGGGUCAGCACAGCUCUGUACUCUCAACAAUGAUCUUAUAAGAGACAAAUAUUAAAGAUCUUAUUAGACCUUGUUGAUUGGCCAUGAAUUUGUUCUUGUGUGCUUGAUAAAAAUUCUGGGAAAAUGCAAAAGUUUGCAAAAAAAAAAAAAAGAACUCAGUUAUUUAAGCAGAGCAUUCUUGUAUUUGUCCCCCUAUGAAAGUUAUAUUUAUGAACUGAACCUUUUCCUUCCCUUUAAUGAUUUGUUCAGUCCCAAAGCUGUGUCUAGAUAGCCGAUAAAUUGCAUCUCAAAAGCAUGAGUAAACCCUAAGGAACAUACAUUAGUUCACAUCAUCAUCUGAAAUAUGGUGACCACUGCUCUCCGAUAUUUAUUGGUACUUAUCUCUUGAGGUAACACCUUCGAAUCAAUAGUUCUUGUCUAUUUUUAAUGUCCUGCCAUUAAUCUGUUCUUCUGUCCAUUUUUCUUGCUCAACAAAGAAUGUGCAGAGGCCUGAGUGUUUUUCUAGUUUUUUUUUUUUUCCUCCAUGGGAGCAGAUCGUAUUUCAUCGGGAGUCUGUGUCAGGAUUUAAAGAUUGGCAGUGUACCUCCAUUUUAGACAAAAGGGAAGUAAUUCUAAGGUCUGUUGCAUGAAAAAUAAAACUUAGGUCUUAGGUGUCUUUUAGUAUCCUGCUAAAAAGUACACAACAUUAAGUUUACCAUCUUAACUAUUGUUUAAGUACAUGUUUCAGUAGUGUUAAGUAUAUUCGUAUUACUGUCCAACCUUAUGAAUCUUUGUGUACUUCGUUUGGUGCAUCUGAGAGGAACAAGUAGGCUCUCACCUGUGUAGACAGGUCGAUUUGUGGUCUCAGAUCUCAGAGAUGGUUGGGUGGGGGAUUUAGAGUUAGGUCAUGGACCCGUAAGGAACCAGGGAAGCAUUAACUCCAUCCGACCUGCCGUGAAAUGGAGGCAGACGAGCCCUCCUCUCUCAUCAUUAUGAAGUUACAGGAUGGGGUGACGUUGUGAGAUUACAGGAUGCUCUUUUCUUCAUUACUGCUUGAGUCUCAGAACACUCUGCAAGGGUCAGGACGGUUACCUGUGCCCCUAAUGUUUCUCCUAAUGACACUCUCGGCCAGCUUGCACUCUUGCUUUUAGCUAUCAGUAGAUGUGUCAGCCUCAUCUGACGGUGACAAAGCCAGAAUACACACACCUAGUUCCAAAAGCUCAUGUCUUUCAGUUAAUAGCACCUGUUCAGAGGAACCCAAUAAACUUUUCUUAGGCACUGAUGUUCAGAAAUUUGAAUCUUAAUAGGCUCCCACGUUAAACACUGUUGGCUUGUGACUCUCCUAAAAAGUAAUUUUCACUGCUGGGAACCUUACUGGCCAACGAGGAAAUAGUUGUUACUAUUUUUCACAGGCCAGUGAUCAAACAAUAGCCAAUUUCAGAUUGCUGCCGUUGGCCUCAAUUUAGCAAUCUCAUGAAAUUAUUUCUUAGUUUCCCAAAGAUACUUUAUUGUUAUCAACCUCUUACUUUGAAAAAUCUUAAACCUAACAGAAAAGUUGCUAGAAUAGUACAAGGAACUCCUGAUGGCCUGCACCUAGAUCCAUCGAUUGUUAACAUUUUGCCACAUUUGCUUUUUCCCUCCUGCUAGAGAUCUCUUGUCAUAUUGAGGUGAAAUUUAAUGACAUAAAGUUAACCAUUGUAAAGUGAACAACUCAGUGGCAUUUAGUACAUUCACAAUGUAGUAUAAUCACCACCUCUAUCUAGUUCCAGAACAUUUUCAUUCCCUGAAAAUAAAACCCCGUAUCCAGUAAGCAGUCACCCCCAUUCACCUUCUCCCUAGCCCCUGGCAACCUCCAGUCUGCCUUCUGUCUCCAUGGAUUUGCCUAUUGCGGACAUUUCAUAGAAAUCGAAUCAGACUGUAUGUGACCUUUGGGUGCCUGGCUUCUUUGCAUACUGUGCUCGAGGUUCGUCUGCAAUGUGGCGUGCAUCAACACUUUCAUCACAGAUACUGUUCGUUGAGGUUGUAAAUUGAGUAUGGGGGAGCAUUCCGUCACCUAUGCUCUUUUGCUCCUGCUUCACCCCGCAAACGGGCUGCCUCGGGUCUCCAUAGUGCCUCACGUCCCAUAGUUCCUUUCAAAUCAAGUGCCUCUUUGGGAAAAGGGUGGAUGUUUAUUCACGUAAAUGUGCGUUCACAUCUCAUGAGCUUACUUCAUAGCUUGAAAUGGGCCCAAACAAGAAAAUACCCAAAGAUAACCACAUUAACUAGCUAAAUCACUCUGGAGAUGUCGUGUAAUCUCUCUUGCCCUCAGUUUCUUCAUCUACAGAACGACCAGAUUGGACCCAAGCCCUAAGAGUCAUUGUAAUGAAAAUUGUAUGAUUCUAUUCCCCAGACCAACCAGCUUACACUUUUCCUAGAUCCAUCAUUCCAGAGAGCUACUUUUCCUCUGUGGUAUAUUAGAGCAAAAUUGAUAUUGAUGAACCACUGGAUAUGGGACCCUGGAGUUUACAAACUAUAGCUUGGAUGAGUUUACAAUUCAGUUGGAGCUAAGAGAUAGAUGAACAUGUGACAAGAAGGAUAUUCAUAACCAGAGGACAAAGCUUGUUAAGAGAGAUGAAAUAUUCAACACUGAACCACACAUAUUCCCCGUAGGGAAACUGGUAAGAAGGCCAACAAAAAAUAGCAGCCUGCCCUCACUCGUCUUGUGUCACUGCCCUCCUUGAUUUGACCAGUCAUCUGUGGGUCAAAUGGCUACAGAAUGCUUCUGGAAAGCGAGUGGCACUUUCACAUCAAAGUUCACCUAGCCGCUACACUAGACAGAAUGUUCUUUCUUAAAUUUAUUUUUAGUGCCGGAUUAAAAAAAAUUGUUGCAAUAUUUCAUUACAAAACUUUUCAAGUACAUAGCAAAACUGACAGAAUUUUGCAGCGAAGCCCUGUUCAUUUACCUCCUGGAGUCUACCAUCAACGUUUGACCCUACUUGUUUUAUCACGUAUUUAUCCAUCCUUCUACCCAUUCAUUGAUCCAUCUUAUUUUUGGAAGGAUUUCAAAGUAAAUUACAGACAUCAGCAUGCAUGUUGUUAAUUCGAAUUCAGUAUUUACCAAUAUUUUCUUUUGAUGUAAAAUGUAUAUACAUUGAAAUAUAUACAUUUCAAAGUAUACAUUCACUGAGUUUUAACAAAUGCAUACACACCUGGGUAAUCCAAAAUCCUGUCAAGAUAGCUAACAUAGAAUUUACUUUUUCUUUUAAAUGUUUAUUUAUUCCUGAGAGAGAGAGUGCGCACAUGAGUGGGGAAGGGGGAGAGAGAGAGAGAGAGAGAGAGAGAAUCCCGAGCAGGCUCUGUGCUAUCAGCACAGAGCCCGAUGCAGGGCUCGAUCCCACCAACUGGGAGAUCAUCACCUGAGCCAAUCAAGAGCUGGACGCUUAACCAACUGAGCCACAUAGGCACCCUUAGCAUUUGCUUGUUAAUUUAAAUUUUUGUAUAAGUACAUUGUUUUGAAAAACACAAUAGCAUAAUUGGUCUUAAACUGAAAGACUAUAGUCACGUGUCCUUUCCUCCCAAUCGUGUUUCCUGCUUCUCAAAGGCAACUCCUUUCAAAUCUUUUUACAUGUUUCCUCUGAUAAUUCUUUAUAUAUACUUGUAUAGAAUGUUAUUAUUUUUAUUUCUUAAGUUUUCCAUUUUAGAAUUAUCUAUUGGUUAGCUACUAUGGAGAAUGAUGUUAUGGUUUACACAGAAAACUCCAAAAAAUCUAGAAUUAAUAAGAGAAUUUGGCAGGUUUGUUGUAUUAAAAAAAACAACCUACAGAAAGCAAUUGUAUUUUUUUUAAUUUUUUUAAUGUUUAUUUAUUUUUGAGAGACAGAGAGAGACAGAGUAGGAAUGGGAGAGGGGCAGAGAGUGAGGGAGACACAGAACCUGAAGCAGGUUCCAGGCUCUGAGCCAUCAGCACAGAGCCCGACGUGGGGCUCGAACCCACAAACCACGAGAUCAUGACCUGAGCCGAAGUCGGACGCUCAACCGACUGAGCCACCCAGGCGCCCCAAAAACAAUUGUAUUUAUAUACAAUAGCAAUCAAUGGAAAUUAUAAAAAUAAAAUUGUAGUUCCUAAAAGUGUAACACAUCAGAAAAUAGACAUGACAAAGAAUACAUCUUUAAUGAGAAAGUAAAAAUUCUGCGUCAUAAGUAAGCGAGGGAAGUGCAAAUCAUUGAGGAGCACUACCAUGUUUACGGAGCAGCAAACUCACUCUUGUACAGAUGUUGAUAUACAGGCUGAUGGAGUUCCAAUGAAAAUCCGAAAAGGUGUGUUUGUGGAACCCUACAAGUUAAAAUAUUUGUUGGUGAUCAGAGAAGCAAGAACAGUCAAAACACUGCUAAAAAAAGGAGAACUAAGAGGAGGAACUCAUCUUACCAUUAUCAAGAACUCUUUGAAACUAUUUGAAUUAGGCCAGUGUGAUAUGAACCAAUGGAAAAGAAUGGACAGCCCGGAAAACCGAUCUCUGUGGAGGAAGAACCACUCCAAGGACUUCCUUUGGCCUGCCUAGUAUUGUCACAUAAGCAAGAAGUACAUUUCUAUUGUGUUUUGGCCAUUUUAUGAUUUUGGACCUAUUUUGUAAAGCAGUUAGCCUAUUCUAAUACCACUUCUCUUGCAUUAGUGUGAAUCUUGAUAUGCAAAAAUCACAUCAAUAUUGACCUUCAUAUCUUUGCCUUCUUGUUUAAAAACACAAGAACAUUAGUGUACUUUGGCUUCUUAAUCUAGUGUACUUUAGUGCUUAAUUUACACGCGACUGUUAUUGGAUGUUAUGGUUCUUUUUUUGAACCUUAUAAGGCAUGAUUGCUUCUGUGCUCAGUGACGUUUUAGAUUACCCACCUUUCUACUACUUAAUUUGCUCAUUUUCUCUUCUUAUAUCUCCAACCUUCCAUCUGAGAUUGCUUUCUUUCUGUCCACAGUACAUGCUAGAAAAAGUCUUGGUGGGGACCUCUGUUGGUGUCAAAUUGCCAAUACUUGGAUAUUUCUUUAUUUGGCUUACAGUCUUUUUAUUUGGUGUUGGGGGGUCCGAUUACUCACUGUCCCCGUAAGCGGAGUGAAGUCGAGGCUCGUCAGAGUGCUCUUGUGCCUCAGCACGAGGAAGGCCGCGGGAGAGGAGACGUGGCCUUACCCCUCGGACCCCUCCUUGACAAUCAGGAGCCUAGUGUAGCCGAAAGCAAGAUGGCACGUGCCGAAUCAGGUUACCCAGUCGUCCAGCAGUGAGGAAGAGCUUGCCCUGGGUGGACGCAGACCCCCUUUCGCUUUACCCGGGAGGGAGGGCUCCAGUAUUGCAUGACUUCCGUUUCUCCAACUCACCUGCUCAGGGGCCAGCCCGGAGCCAUGGCUGACAAGAGCUAGUAAAGUUGAGAGACACGAGACAGCAUUUUCAUAAUCUCUCUGAUGGGCUUCUUGCCUUGGCCCAAAGAGAGCUCCUCACAGCACCAAGGAGCAGUAAAACCAUAGAACAAGGCAGAAGGGCUCCUUUUACUAACCCCUUCAGUGUGACUUUCCUCCAUUCUCAGGAACUGUGCAUAGUAAUUUCCAUGUCAAGACCAGGGCGCUAGCGGAGUUCUUAAAAGCCAAGUGGAAAAAUGUGAGGCCUGCCCAGAUUGAUCCUGUUCCAAGAUAAUUUCUUCAUCCAUCUAAUGCCUAUGAGUUCUUAAAGCUGGGAGGUUUGCCUAAAGCUGUGAGGUCUGUUUUGAUUCCUUAAAAGAGUGUUGCCCAAAUAGUGAUGUACCCAAGUAUCACCUGGGUCAGAUGUUAAAAUUAUAGAUUAUGUCAACUUUAGUAGACGUUCUGAAUUCUUACCUCUAGGACAGGGCUAUCCAAUAGAUAUAUUAUGCCAGCCACAUAUAUGAUUUUACAUUUUCUAGUCAUCAUGUUUUAAAAAAUAAAAGAGGAGUGCCUGGGUGGCUCAGUCCGUUGAGCGUCUGACUCUUGAUUUUGGCUUAGGUCAUGAUCUCACAGCCAUGGGAUUGAGCCCCGAGUCAGACUCCAAGCCUGCUUUAGAUUCUCUCUCUCUCCCUUUGCCGUUCUCCCUCUCACGCUCACUCUCUCUCUCUCUAAAAUAAAAAAAAUUUUUGAAUAAUAAAAAGAGAAAACAAAAAAUAAAGAGAAACAGGUAAAAAUAAUUUUAAGAAUAAAUUUUAUACUAUUUAAAUAAUACUGUAUUUAAUUUUAAUAAUAUCUUUUAUUUAAAUAUAUUUGAAAUAAACCUUACUUUACUUAAAUAUAUUUUAUUAAUUUUAAUGAUAUUUUUAUUAUUUUUAUUGUUUAAAAUAGGAGUAUUUUACUUAUAUAGUCAAAAUAUUGUCAUUUCAACGUGUGAGCCGUAAAAAAUUCUUGAAAUGUUUUAUAUUCUUUUUUCAUACCAAAUCUUAAGUUGCUCUGUGUAUUUUAUGCUCAUGGCACAUCUCAAUUUAGACCAACCACAUUUAAAGUGCUAAGUAGGCACAUGUGGCUAGUACGGUGCUAGGGAAAGACCCUAGAAAUUGGCAUGUUUGAAAGCAUGGCAGGGGCACCUGGGUGGCUCAGUCGGUUACACGUCCAACUUCAGCUUAGGUCAUGAUCUCAUAGCUCGUGGAUUCAAGCCCUACAUCGGGCUUCUUGCUGUCAGCACAGAGCCUGCUUUGGAUCCUCUGUCUCCUUCUCUGCUCCUCCCCAGCUCAUUCUCUCUCUCUCUCUCUCUCUCUCUAAAUAAAUAAAUGAACUUAAAAAAAAAAAAGAAAAAGAAAACAUCCCAGGUGUUCUUAUCAAGUGAGUUUGGAAAUGCCACUUUAAGGAAUUGGUGGUCACUAAACAAUGGGCUUUUGAGCCACUUUGAUGACUUCAUAGAUACAUAUGUAAUGUUGGAGGAGAAGGGGCCUUGGAAGGCAUCGGCUACAACUUCCCCUCUUACGGAUGAGAAAACAAAAGUUACUGAUUUGCCAAGGUCACAUGAUCUGCUGAAGUCUGAGCUGGAACUAUAAUCCAAGUCUCUAGAUGUUCUGUUUUAAUUUCUCUCCAGUGGAUUUAUGUGUGUUCUUCACACUGUCUGAAUUAUGAGGGGAAAACACUGUCAAGUGAUAUCUUACCAAUCUGGUGUAUCUCCAACUUCAAUCCACACUUGAUUUUGACGCAAUGAAAACUACCACUUAUUGAGUGCCUACCAUGUGCCAGGCACUGUGUUGUGCGCUAUAUACACAUUACAUUUAAACCCUCACAGCGAACCUAUCAAUAUCAGGCCCAUUUUAAGGAUGAGAAGAGUGGGAACAUGUCCAAGUUCACAAAUGGUAAGUGGCAGGGAGGGAGUUUGAACUAGGGUCUGGCUCCUAGGCCGUGUCCUUUCUGGCCUGCUGUCCACAUAAACAGAAUAUCCCACCUGUACAUGCUGCUGAGGCAAGGGCUGGAGGCUCUGACACAGGACCAACACGGCGUAAAGAUCUUCCACUGGCACGUGACCCAGUCAACACUUCAUGUAUCGGGCCUUUUGUGAUGCUUGGGAGCAUUUCUCUCCCAUGGCCCAUCUCUUCACAAGGGCUGUCCAUCUCCCUCAACUCCCAGCUAUGGACAUGAUCUUCUUCUCCCAGCCAUCAUAACAAGGAUGGAAAAAGUCAGCCUGUCCUUUGCCUUUGCCUUUGCCUUUGCCUUAGCCACAUCUCCACCCAUAACUCUGGUGUCUAAAGCUCUGGAAGUUGGAUUCACAGAUUCUCAGUUCAAAUUGCAGCUGGGGAAGAUUCCUCACAUACAAAUUUGCCAUUACUUGGACUUGGAAAGUACAUCCACUGGAGGAACGUGAUGUGGUUGCCAUGCUUUUGUAUUUGGUUUGGCAAACAUCUAAGAGACCUUUCAAGUAUUUGGGAGUUGGUAUAAUCUAGAACCUAGUCAUUAAUUUGGAAUUGAGUGGGUAUUUCAGGGAAAUGAAAUUGUCAUAUAUACAGAACUCAGGAAAAUGUGUGUGUGUGUGUGUGUGUGUGUGUGUGUGUAUGAGGUUGGUCAAAGUCUUUACAUUGAUAUACUGUGUUCAGAAUAAGCGAGGUCAUUCUCCUUCCACUCCGCAGAAGAAUGAGGAGCUUAGAGCAAAUACAAUUUCUCCUCUUCAUCCAGACCCCAGUGUUAAAAUCAGGCAACAAAUCUGAAACAAAUGAUUAUUAAAAGUAGGCUUUCAAGAGAAAGAAAUUCAAGAACAGUGUACAGAGGGAUGGGUACUGAAAGUGGGGACAACCACAGGCCUUUGCCCUUGAGAAUGAGUGAGCUGACCAUGUGCAUAGCCUUAAGGACAGACCAGCAGUAUCAGCAGCACUGGGGAGCUUGUUAGGAAUGCAAAUUCUUGGACCUCAGACUGCUUCAGGAGCCCUGGGGGGUGGGGUCUGGUGAUCUUUGAUUUAACCAGUCCUCCAGGUGAUUCUAUUACUGCUUUUGGACAGUAGUUCUCAACUCCUAGUAUAUUAGGCUUGUACCAUGGAGACUUUGGGGGGGAAAAAGUCAAUGCCUGGGCCCUACCUCUGAGACUUUCUGGUUUAACUGGUCUGGAGUGGGGCCUGGGUGUGCAUACAUUUAAAAGCUCCUCGGGGGGCGCCUGGGUGGCGCAGUCGGUUAAGCGUCCGACUUCAGCCAGGUCACGAUCUCGCGGUCCAUGAGUUCGAGCCCCGCGUCGGACUCUGGGCUGAUGGCUCAGAGCCUGGAGCCUGUUUCUGAUUCUGUGUCUCCCUCUCUCUCUGCUCCUCCCCCGUUCAUGCUCUCUCUCUGUCCCAAAAAAAUAAAUAAACGUUGAAAAAAAAAAAUUUUUGAAAAAAAAUAAAAGCUCCUCGGGCAAUUCUAAUGUGCCCCUAAGUUGAGAACCACUACUUUAGGGAAUGGUGUCCCAGAUCCUGGGUACAGCCUUGCCCUCACCAGGCGUGUGACCUCAGAUACUUCCAUGGCUGUACCUUAGCUCGUUUAUCUCUCAAAAGGCACCGGGAGGCCAGACAUUGUCACUUAUCUCUAGAGCAUCUUCCAGCUCCAACAAGCUUGGGAGCACCAGCUGGUCACGAACCCUAAAACUUACUCCUAAGUUCCUGCCUAGUGCUGGUAACUGGGGAGUCAUGCCCCAAAAGGGUGGAGUCCAGAGCAACCAAGAAGCACUGGGAAUGAAAGGGCUGACUGACUGCUGAAAAUUGACAGCCCCCAGGAACUGAUGUGAUCUGUUCAGCCUACGGAAAUGACCAUCCAGAGAGCCCCCCAUCUGGUAUCACCUGGAAUGAUAUACCAAUGGGAAGAAUUUAGUUUUAUUUCCCUAAAACUGUUGACAGGCCACUUAGGAAAGGCUUCAAAAACAAAGUCUUGUCAUUGCUGUGGACGGCUUUGCCUUGCCACUCAAAGUGUGGUCCGUGGAUGGGCAAAGUCAAAAUUACCCAGAGCUUGCUAGAAAUGCAGUCUCAGGUUCCACCCUAGACCUACUGAAUCAAAAUCUAUGUUUUAACAAGAUCCUUGGGCGACUCAUAUGUACAUUAAAGCUUGAGAAGUGAUACUUGGAGCGUAUGGGAGACUUCUUAGAUUGGGGUCUGUUGUAGGCUGAACUAUGCUUCCCCUCCAGAAUUCAUAUGUGAAAGUCCUAACCCCCCAUAUCUCAGAAUGUGACUUCAUUUGAAGAUAGGGCCUUUAUAGAGGUAAUUAAGAGUAAAAUGAAGUUCUAAGGGCGGGCCCUAAUCCAAUGUAACUGGAGUCCUUAUAAGAAGAGGAAGAGACACCAGGGAUGCACAGGCACAGAGAAAAGGCCACGUGGGGACACGGCGAGAAGUCAGAUACCUACAAGCCAAGGAGAGAGGCUUUCAGGAGAAACCAAACCUGCUGGCACCUUGAUCUUGGACGUCCAGCCUCUAGCACUGUGAGAAAGAAGUUUCUGUUGUUUAAGUCCCUCAGUCUGGUAUCUUAUUACAGCAGCCCUAGAAAAUUAAUACAGGGCUACUGCUAGAAUCUAAACAUUGGGAGAUUUUGUUCACUGAUGUAUAUCCCCAGGAUCUAGCAAAUAAUAGGAAUUGGGCGAAAAUUUGUUGAAUAAACAUUAAAUAGGGGCACCUGGGCGGCUCAGUCAGUUGAGUGUCUGACUCUUGAUCUCAGCUCAGGUCUUGAUCUCAGGGUCUUGAGUUCAAGCCCCAAGAUGGGCUCUGCACUGGGUGUGGAACCUACUUAAGAUAAGGUGAGAUGAGAUGAGAUGAGAUGAGAUGAGAUGAGAUGAGAUGAGAUGAGAUGAGAUGAAAUGGAUUCCUACUCAGUUGACAUAAUUAAUCCAGGGACAUGUUCCCUAGAAUACAUCUUGAAGAGAGAAUGAUUAUAGGGUAUUCUGCUCAUCUUUUUAAAGAAAUGGCAUAAAAUGCCAAGGCAUAUCCUCUUUCUAAAUAAGACCUUCAAGAAAUCUGAAAAAUUGCACAAAAUCUCUGGUACUUCUUUUCUCUACACUAACCUCUGCAACACAUUUUGCUGUGUGACCAGUGUUGUUUUUGUUUUUGUUUUUUUUAAUCUCAAAAAGGGCUCUGAAGUCUCAAAAUUUUUCCAGCUUUAUUAAGGUAUCAUUCGCUAAAAAAAGGUUUGUGUAUUUAAAUGUACAAUACAAUGACUUCAAAUAUGUAUACCUUGUGAAAUGAUUAUCACAUUCAAGCCAAUUAACAUGUCCAGCACCUCACAUGGUUACCGCUUUUUGUGUGAUAAGAACACCUAAGAUCUACUCUUGUAUCAAAUUUCCAGUAUUGACUAUGGCAUUAUUAACUAUCAUCAUGAUGCUACACAUAAGUUCCACAGAACUUAUUCAUCUCAUAACUGAACAUUUGUACACUUUGACCAACAUCUCCCAUUUUCCCUACCUCCAGCCCCUGGAAACCAUCAUUCUACUCUUUGCUUCUGUGAGUUUGACUGUUAGAUUCCACAUACAAGUGACAGCACACAGUAUUUGUCUUUCUGUGUCUGGCUUUUUUCACUUGGUACAGUGUCCUCCAGGUUCAUCCCACGUUGUUACAAAUGUCAGGAUUUCCUUUUUUUUUUUUAAGAUUUUUAUUUUUUUUUUUUUAAGUAAUCUCUACACCCAGUGUGAGGGUCGAACCCACAACCCCAAGAUCAAGAGUCACCUGCUCUACUGACUGAACCAGCCAGGGGCCCCAGGAUUUCCUUUUUUAUGGCUGGAUAAUAUUCCAAUGUGUGUGUGUGUGUGUGUGUGUGUGUGUGUGUGUGUGUGUCUGUGUAUAUAUAUGCCACUCUUCUUUUUCCAUUCAACCAUCAACAGAUGUUUAGAUUAUUGUGAAUAAUUCUUCAAUAAACAUGGAGGGUGCAGAUAUCUCUUUGAGAUACUGAUUUUGCUUCCUUUGGCUAUAUACCCAGAAGUGAGGUUGGUAGUUUUAUUUUUAAUUUUUUGAGAAAUCUCCUGCUGUUUCCCACAGUGGCUGCACCAAUUUACAUUCCUGCCAGCAGUGCUCAAGUGUUUUCUUUUUCUCUAGAACUUCUCCAACACUUGUUAUUUCUUGACUUUUUGAUAAUAGCCAUCCUAGCAGGCGUGAAGUGAUAUCUCAUUACGGUUUUGAUUUGUAUUUCUCUGAUGAUUACUGAGGGUGAGCACUUUUUCAUGUACCUGGGGGCCGUUUGUAUGUCUUCUUUGAAAAAAUGUCUAUUCAGAUCCUUUGACCAUUUUUUUUAAAUUUUUUUUUCAACGCUUAUUUAUUUUUGGGACAGAGAGAGACAGAGCAUGAACGGGGGAGGGGCAGAGAGAGAGGGAGACACAGAAUCUGAAACAGGCUCCAGGCUCCGAGCCAUCAGCCCAGAGCCCGACGCGGGGCUCGAACUCCCGGACCGCGAGAUCGUGACCUGGCUGAAGUCGGACGCUUAACCGACUGCGCCACCCAGGCGCCCCUCCUUUGACCAUUUUUAAAUUGUAGUGUUCGCUUUUUAUGCUAUUGAGUUGUAUGAAUUCUGUAUAUAUUUUGGAUAUUAACCCCUAAUCAAAUAUAUGUGGUUCCGCCUAGAUCCCUAGGCGGGUAGUGCUGGUGACAACACCAAGGCCAAAUGGGACUGCAGCUAAGUCCACAGGGGAAUGGGGCUGUUUCUGGGUCUGUUGUAAGGACCACCGUCUACGAACCUGCCACCAGGGUGUGGGCCUGCUUUCUCAAAAUGGCCCUCCUCAGUCUUGGAGCUCCACCAGGGUUUUGCAACCUCCUACCUAGAUCCCAAAGCUGCCACAAAGGCACUUUUGUCCCUGGAUGGCUGCCAAAUUUUUGUUGCCAUGUGGGAAUAUGUGGGGAGGUGGGGAUCUCCUAUUCUGCUAUCUUGCUGAUAUUACCCCUCAUUUCUCAAAAUGAUUUUUACAGCUGUGGGUAAUGCCUGCCCAGGGAGUAAGGUAAGCCUUAGAAUUCUUUGCUCACCAAACAUCAGGUUAUCUGAAAUUACAGAGAUAGAAAACAUGCUCAAUACAUGGGCUUAUACCUGAAGUCCACCCAGCUUAAGUGUUCUCAUGGUGAAAGGGCUGUAAAAGGAAGGAAGUGACCCCCAAACCCAAGUGUGACAAACUUGUUAAAUAAAUCACAUCUCAUUCUUACAAUGGAAUACUACGCAGCUGUGAAAAAUUUGAGGCAGCUCCCCACAGUUGACUUGUGAACAGCACAGGUUUGAGCUCUGCGGAUGCCCUUAAACGUGGAUUGUUUUCAACGCAUGCAGGCCGGUACUGUAAAUGCAUUGCCUCUUCCUUACCAUUUUGUAACAUCUUCUUUUCUCUUGCUCACUUUACUGUAAGACGGCAGCUUAUAAUACACACAACAUACACUAUGUGUUAAUCUACGGUUUAUGUUAUCGGUAAGGCUCCUGGUCAUCAGUAGGCUGUCAGUAGUUAAGUUUUGGGGGAGUCAAAAGUUAUACGUGAAUUUUUGACUGCGUGGGGGUCGGUGCCCCUAACCCCUGUGUUGUUCAAGGAUCAACUGUACAGCUUAGAAGUGACAACUUAGUAGGCAUAACAAGAAGAAAAACAGUAAGCCUUUUUGUGUGUCAAAAGGGGAUACACAAACAUAUAUGCUUGUGUAUACACGAGUGGUUGCCUCUGAAGAGAGUCUAGGGUUCUAAGAUAGAAGGAAGAGUUACUUUUCAUUAGAGACCCUUGUGAUCUGUUGUCAUACGUUACUCUGCAGUUGUAUUACAUUUUUAAUUUAAAAUUGACUUAUGUGAAAAAAGGAGUGCCUGGGUGGCUCAGCCGGUUAAGUGACUUCGGCUCAGGUCACGCAUAAUCUCCUGGUUCGUGGGUUCGAGCCUUGCGUCGGGCUCUGUGCUGCCAGCUCAGAGCCUGGAACCUGCUUCAGAUUCUGUGUCUCCCUCUCUCUCUGACCCUCCCCUGCUCAUGUGCUCUCUCUCUCUCUCUCUCCCUCUCUCUCUCUCUCCCUCUCUCUCAAAAAUAAAUAAACAUUAAAAUUUUUUUAAUUUACUUAUGUGAAAAUAAAUAAAAAAUUGAAAAGUGAUUCCAGAGCUUAGAGCAGGCACAGUUCCCACGCUAUCCCUGGAACAGAAAGGGGAAAAAAAAAGAUCAUUUCUUUACCACCAGUGUAGCCUCAGGGGGCACCUUCCCUGCCUUAUAAUUACCCGACCCCGGAGGCCAUGGUUAGUGCACAAUGACACCUGGCCUCUGGGUCCUGUUAACCAGCAAUUUGCUUCUGGCACAGUCUUGCAUUCAGUCAGUCCUCUGACCAUUUUUAAAUGUCUGCAGAAGUUGAGGGCUCCACAAUUGGAAUCAUUCAAAAGAAAGCUAAAAUUACCUCUUCAUCCAUCCGGUAGCUCUCCCAUCCCCCAUCCCUAGCUUGAGAAACUAUUAUUUUUUUGUUCAUAUUUCCUCCCUUCAUGAAAUCAGUACGUUUAAGCCCUUCCUUUUCCACAGAGUCGUAAGAAAUCCGCGUGAGGGUCCAUAGGCCGGAUCCUUGGCAGCCACAACCCCCUAGGACGCAGGGCCCAAAAGUUGGGAACGCGCAACAAGUGACAAACCUCCAGAUGCCCAAAAUAGCAGCUGUCAGCGAGCCCGCUGUCAAUGCUCUGCACUUGGUUCCUCACACUGGUGAUUCUCAAACCUGAGCGUGCUUCGGGCUCACCCAGAGAGCUUGUUAAAACACAGAUGACUACGCCCGGGCUCAGAGUUUGUGAUUCAGUGGGUCUGGGGCAGAGCCCAAGAAUUCUUAUUUCUACCAAGUUCCUAGGUGAGGCUGCUGGCUUUGGUCUGGGGACCACACUGAGAAUCUGGGGAUUCACGGAAUUGGCCUAAGGUGCUAACCUUGACUAGAAGUUUUACUCACUCUUUAAAAUGUGUAUAUUCUUACCAUCUUUAUCAUAAAUAUAGAGCAUAUUCAUUAGAGGGAGUUUGAUUUAAAAAUGAAAAGUAGGGGCGCCUGGGUGGCUCAGUCGGUUGAGCGUCCGACUUCGGCUCAGGUCAUGAUCUCGCAGUUCUUGAGUUCGAGCUCCGCGCCGGGCUCUGUGCUGACAGCUCAGAGACUGGAGCCUGCUUCAGAUUCUGUGUCUCCCUCUCUCUCUGCCCCUUCCCCGCUCAUGCUCUGUUGCUCUCUGUCUCUCAAAAAUGAAUAAACAUUAAAAAAAAUGUUUUUUAAAUGGAAAGUAGAAAGAAAAAUAGGUCACGCAUAGAGCCGACAUCCAGACAUAACCACUCCUGACAUUUUUUUCGGAUCUACAAUUUCUAAUAAACCUGGUUAUCCAGUUCCCCAGGCCACCGCAGACCAGAAGCUGUUAUCCGGAAAUCAGGGGACAUAGGGGGCACCUGAAAAUGUGCCCAAAGAUGGCCUUGCUAAGUGGCUGCUGAGAGCCAGGCAGGGGCAGGAAAACGUGAGUGGACACAGAACUACACCACCACGUGAUUGAACACGUGAACAUGUUCUUCACCUUGACCCCCAUGAUAUGCACGGGGCAUUCUGGGACCUCUGCGGAGCGGCAUCUCUUUCAAUCUAUUUCAGCUGGCAAGCAUGGGCAGAAAAGAAGGAGGACUUUCUGAAGGAAGGGACUGGAGCCCCAGCUGUACCCUACAAUUAGGGAAAGCUGGAACUGAGCACGCAAAGAGAGGGGCGAAAGGUAUUCCGGGUCUGGGAACAGGAGGGGCAAGGCCCAGAGGCUCCGGUGUGCAGGAGCCCAAGCAGAGCUUCGACAGAGAGGUAGGGAAGGUCAGAGAAAAAGCGUGUCACCAGGGGUGUCGUAUGCUCUUUUCCCAAGCUUGGCCUUUAUCCUGCAGGUAAUUGGAAGCCAUCGAAAGAUUCUCAAGCAAAAGCAUGACAUGAGCAGAUGCAUAUUUUAAAUAGACCAUCAGUGAAUGUGCAGAGUAGAGAUGUGACUUUUCCAGUAGCCCAGGCGGAGCUGGUAGUGAGCUCAGGAAAUGGGGCAGAGAUAGUAGAGGUAGAGAUGAAGGAAGGGAACGCUCGGGUGACAAAACCAGCAGAGCUUGGGGACUGACUGGGGCGGGCGAAUCGGAGAUGGAGCCGCGGAGGCUGGUUCUCGGAGGGGCUGUGUGGUUGGGGCUCGCUCCGAGGGGAAGAUGUGUUCGGGCUGAGUCAUGGUGAGUAGAAGUUCGAGAAGAUAUAUACGCCCCUGGAUGAAAUCAUUUCCCAUAUUUCCUAUUAUAGACAACAGCCCAUGGAGAUCACACUUCAGAAUAAUUUCAUUGUUUUGAAAUGAAGAAACUUCAUUUCUUCCAAAACGAAAGAUUUGGGCACCCGAGAGCAUUGGCUUCAAGUGUCCAGAAGUUGUGGGAGGUGAAUUUAUUUCCUCCUCCCCCGAGAAGUCAGAUAAGUGAGGCGUUGCGAUGAUGUGCCUGUGCCUUCACACGAAGUGAACGACGGCAGUCAGGCAGCUCGUCCGUCGCUCGUUCGUAAGAGUCCUCAGGGCUUAGAAGUUGUGUGUUUAUUUUAUGCAUCUGAACCUCUACAAAACUGUUUUGGAGAAGCUUUGGCCUUAGCUCAGCUUUUCAGUGACUUGCUCGGGGGGCAGAGGUGAGUGUAGUCAUCUUCUUAGAACACAAGUGGAUUUCCUAGAAAAAGAGCGGGAGGGAACACCAUGAACAGAAUUGCCUCAUGCUCUUGGGACAAUCUAUUCACCACCCCCAGGUCACUUGAGAAAAAGAAACCAAAAUUCAUGUGCAGACAAUGCAGAAAAUGAAGACAGAGGGAAGGGCAGAAUUAUCAGAGCCUCCGAGCGUGUUGGCAGGUUGGGGCCACUUCAACGUUUGCCACAAACCGUGGUGCAAAAGAAAAUGGGCCUUACAGAGCUCUGUUUGCAAUAUUAUGGGCUGUAGAAGGUCUAAAUGAGUUGGCUAGCCGCGCUUUUUUUACAUUCGGUGACCUUCAGUGAAGUGUUCGCAAAGUCAGUCUACCUGCUAGAAUUCCUUUCAAGGGGGCCUCACCCCCGGAUGCACAUCGGAAUCACCUGGGAGCCUCAAUAAGGUCAGACGCCUGGGCGCCACGCCAAGAGAAUCUGAUGUUAUUGAUCUGGGGUGCAGCCCGGGCGGCAAGAUUUUCUAAAUCUCCCCAGACGAUCGUAACGUGCGUUGAGAAGCAGUGCGUUCAAGUCACAGUGCAGGCGGUUUUGUGUUUUUUCCUUUUCCACAGCAGACACAUCUUAAUGCCCGCUUGGCAGAAAGCUUGUAAUUGAAUCUAUAAGAUGUGGAAACGUUGGAGCUGGGACAAAAGUAAAAUCAGAGAAAAAGAAAAACCCCCAGUUUUGCUCACAGGUUCGCGGUGACGCCAAGCUCACUAGCCAAACAGACAGUGGGCCGCUGGCUACCAGUACGAACCCCAGAGUCAACAGGACAAGAUGUACACGAAGCGCCAAGCACGUGUAAACUCUCUGCUUGUGCUUUUCUUUCGUUAGUUGUGCCGAAAUGGAACUGGAUUUCAAAAAAUAAGAUUACUUGUAACUGUCACUAGGAUAGAUGGAGAAUUUACUGAGCGCUAGGCGCUAUUCUAAGUCCUUUACAUUUGCAAACUCACUUAAUCCCCACACAGUCCCAUAUCACAGAUGAGGGUGUGGAGGUACAGGUCGGUAAAUUGUCCAAAGCCACAACCAAGAAAUGGAAGAACUGAGAUUCAUACCCGGUACCCUUGAGCCUGCACUUUUAACCCCCACAAGAUGCAGCCUCGCCCACAGAGCAGAGACCCUAGGAGAGGAGAGUGGGGAGGGAGAUAACUCAAUGCAUUCACAUUGGGGGUUCGGGCAGUCACUGGGUGGGCAUAGAGGGAAUACACAGAUGAGCCAGAUGUACAGAGUCUGAGCCAGAGUUCACAGGUUUGUAAGAAAGGGUAAGGCAAAGACACAACGGGCACCGCCAAAAAGCAGGGCAAGCAAAGUGUCAUAAGAGAAAUACAAAUCAACGCGAACACGGAAUCACAAGGAGGAGCGAUUUCUUUUUAAAUCAGUAAAGGCUCCCUGGAGGAGGCGGCGUUACAGAGUAAUGCCUCUGACUGCAGCCUAGGUCAGAAGUAGGAAAGCAGCCAGAGAGGAGGUAGGAAGAUAGGCUGGGGCCUUGUUUUGGGGGGCAUAGUUAAAUCCCGGAGUGGAGGCUUCUCCCCUCACUGCACUAGAACCCAGCAUGCUGUUGCACAGACACUCAACUGAGCUCUGGAGGGCGAAUUUCCAGGUGGGCAAGUCAGCUGGCUGGUCUCCCGGUCCUGAAUCUUUCCUCUCCCUUGUACCUUUGUCACACUGAUACUUAUCGCUGCCCCUUACCCGACCCCACCCGUGCCCCGACCCUUCUCCCCCUUUAAAACCCUGGCUAAGCAAGGAGAAAAGCCCCUUUCUUGGUUUCUUUUGGCAAGUUGGGGCAUGCUGUUACUUUCAAGACCUUUGAUAAUUAAGGAAGAGUAAAGGGAAAAGAGCUAUGUUUAAAUAAUGUAUUAGUACGGCCACAGUCAAAUUUCCAACCGGGUUUCUGAACCCAUAUCCUAGUAGAAGGAAGCAUAUGGGUUCUAGAAUCUCAUUAUCCUCAGAUGAUAGCCCCCCUGUAGAUCCAUCUCUAGCUUCUUUCUCUUAUGGCUUCCUCUGAGUUACAACCAGCAACUGGCUUUUCCCUCCCUUCCUUCCUUCCUUCCUUCCUUCCUUCCUUCCUUCCUUCCUUCCUUCCUUCCUUCCUCUACCUACCCACCCAUUCAUCCAGCAUAAAUUUAUUGAACACUUAACAUAUAGCAGCCACUACGCUAAAAAUUAAGUGGUCAAGGGGCACCUGGCUGGCUCAGUCGGUAGAGCACGUGACUCUUGAUCUUGGGGUUGUGAGUGUGAGCCCCAUGUUGGGUGUAAACAGUACUUGAAAGUGGAAUCUUUAAAAAAAAAAAUAAGUGGUCAAUAUCUUCCUGUGCCCCUCACCACCAGGAAUAAGUCUGAUUCUACCCCAGUAUGUUAGGUUGGAUGAUCGUUCUUGGUUCUUCACUCCUUUCUCUGCCAGUAACCUUACUGUGCCUCCCGGGAGAGUAGAAAAAUGAUACUUCCCUGCCCCCACUGACUUUGGGCCUGGUUGUGUGACUUGCUCUGGCUAAUGAAAUGUUAGCAUAUGUGACAUAAGUAAAGGCUUCCAAUGUGCUAGACAUUUGGCUUGUGUGCUUGUACUUCUGUUACCCCUCAAGACAAGAUUAUGCCUGGGUAGCUGCUGCUCCCAUAACGAGGAGACACGGGAGUAGAUGUGACUUCGUCUACAAUCCAGAGCCAAGCCCAGCAGAACCCUAGACAACCCACAGAUGUCGGAGCCAGAAAGGAUACAUGUUUUCAUGGUGAAGCGUUGAAAAUCGGGGAUGGCUUGUUAUACAGCAUUUUUCAGCAAUAGUUUACUAAUAGACCAGAUAAGGACUAGACCAAAAAUCAAAAGGACUCCUCCAUGUACCCCACACCAUUUUUUCAACUACUAAAAUUCUAAUAUUUUUAGUGUGCAUGUCCCAAUCCCGGCGUCCUCAGAGUUGUAGUUUCGUCUGUAAACGAGGGAUAACAUGCAAGGAUUAAAUGGGUAUUAUAGAUAAAGUGCCUAGUACAGGGUCUGGCACACAGUAGGUACUCAACACAUAGUAGCAGUUACUGAGAUGAUUUAAGAAGAUAAUUCUGCACCAGCAUCCACGAUAGUGGGGGAAAGGGAAGCUAAAAGUAACACACGUACUGAGAGCUUACUGUGUGCCAUACACUACACUGUUUUGAGUAAUUUCUGUUUAUUCCGGUAAAUCUUACAACAACCCUCCAAGGCAGGUAUUAUCAUCCCUUUGUAUAUGUGAGGAAAGUGAAGCACAGAAAGAUUAAGUAACUUUUUUGACGCCGCACAGCUAGGAAGCUGCAGGCGAAGAAUUUGAACACAGGCAGUCUGGCUCCGGAGCCUUUGCUCUUUUUGUUUUGAAUUGAAGUAUAAUUGACAAACGACAUCACAUUAGUUUCAGGUGUACAACAUAGUGAUUUGAUACUUGUAUAUAUUCUGAAAUGACCAGCACGAUAAGUCUAGUUAACAUCCACCGCUAUAAUAGUGACCAUUUUUUUCUUGUUAUGAUGACUCUUAGCCAUUUUCUUUUUGUUUUUAAGUUUUUUUGAUCUUUAUUUAUUUUUGAGAGAGAGAGAGAGAGAGAGAGAGCACAAGCAAGGGAGGGGCCGAGAGAGAGGGAGACACAGAACCCGAAGCAGGCUCCAGGCUCCGAGCUGUCAGCACACAGCCCGAUGCAGGGCUUGAACUCACCAACCGUGAGACCAUGACCUGAGCCCAAGUCGGACGCUUAACCGACUGAGCCACCCAGGCGCCCCUCUCUUAGCAAUUUUCAAAUUCGCAAUAUAGUGUUGUUAACUAGACUCGCCACGCUGUACGUUACAUCCCCAUGACUUCAUUAUUUGGGAACUGGAAGUGUGUACAUUUCGAUCCCCUUUGCCCAUUUUGCCUCCUCCCACACACAGAACCCUUGCUCUUAAUCUCCACGUGCACCACUUCUAAGCAGGGAGACCUUUUAGAAGGUAGAUGAGGAGUUCACACGAGCCAGCAGGCAGAGCUGGACCGAUCCAGUGCCCGAGAGCAUGCCAAGUAGGAAACGACCGCAAGGAACAGCGCAGGGAGUAGAGUCCAGCAAGCUGCCUUGGGAACCAGCGGCCAGUGGUGGGUGUUAGACAAAGAAGCGGAGCUCACACUGCUGUGUAUAAUUUUUGGAAAUCGUGAGAAGAUAAAUUCCCAAUCGGUUGUCUGCUUGGAGAAAAUAUGUCAUGUCCCAAGAGGUUAUCAUGAGCUAUUUAUGAAACCUGAGGCGUCUGAUCCGUGGAUGGAGAAUCAAUCUGAUUGUUCAACUACAAAAAGGCAGGUGAACUUCCGUGUGGACUUUUUCAACCCGGGGAUUCCACUUCUUCUGUAGUUAUACGAAGGCAGCCUUGUCAGAAGCGUCUUCUGCACCAGGCCUCGAGUCAGUGAAAAUUAGCAGCGUGCACCUCUGACUCCAAUAUUGAAGGUCUGCCUGAAAGUCGAUCACAACUCUUCACCCCUUCCAAAGAAUGACUCCCUCGCACAUCGGCCGCCAGGACCACGCAUCAGCGGCUCUUCUCUUUUCCUUUGGAAACCUUCCUAAACCUUCCUGACGUUAUGAACACAAAUUUAUCCUUCACAGUUGUUGUUACAUGCAAAAAACACGUUUUCAGUGUUCAAUUGAUGUACUUUUCCACCCGCAAAAAUUGUUUCGGAAUCUGCGCACCUCGUGAUUUCUUCCAUUGAAAUUAAUGGAAAUAUUUUUCAUUCGAUAACUUUUCACUUAGCAGUAGGGCUUUAUUUUUUUUUUAAUUUUAUUUUUUAUUUUUUAAGAUGGCCAUCCAAACUAGUUAGCAUAUAGUGCAACAGUGAUUUCAGGAGUAGAUUCCUUAGUGCCCCUUCCCCGUUUAGCCCAUCCCCCCUCCCACCACCCCUCCAGCAACCCUCAGUUUGUUCUCCAUAUUUAUGAGUCCCUUCAGUUUUGUCCCCCUCCCUGUUUUUAUAUUAUUUUUGUUUCCCUUCCCUUAUGUUCAUCUGUUUUGUCUCUUAAAGUCCUCAUAUGAGUGAAGUCAUGUGAUUUUUGUCUUUCUCUGACUGACUAAUUUCACGUAGCAUAAUACCCUCCAGUUCCAGCAGUAGGGCUUUUAGAAGAAAAUGGAGAAUGGUUUAUUUUGGUCAGGUGGUGGGAAUUCAGUACGUGUUUGAGGAAUGAACGGGUGCGUGCACCAGGGGAAGCCACAGGAGGAAGGAGGUUCGAGAUGGAGAAAGAGGGCUGGUGCCGCUCCCUGUGGCGAGAAUGCAGAAAUGGUGCAUUCUUUCCUUUCCACCGUCUCAUUUCAGUCAGAUGUUUUCUUCUCUGGUCCUUUGAAAUCUGGGAUUAUGAAGUCUAGAGAUCAAUAAUCUUGGAUAUUUAUAGCCUCCUUCUGAAAUGUUAAAAUCACUAAUCCCAGGGUGCCUGGGUGGCUCAGUCUGGUUGAGCGUCUGACUCGGGCUCAGGUCAUGAUCUCACAGUUUGCGGGUUUGAGCCCCGCAUCGGGCUUCGUGCUGACAGUGCCGAGCCUGCUUGGGAUCCUCUGUCCCUCUCUCUCUCUGCCCCUGCCCCUCCCCCACUUGUGCUCUUUGUCUCUCAGAAAAUAAAUAAACGUUAAAAAAAAUUAAAAUGACUAAUCCAUCUCCAAGUUCUUCUAGGCUACCCUCCCUCUUCAACCAGGCCAGUCCUCAAGACCAGAUUAUGUGCCUGGAGGCCUGUGUUCAAAUGUGGACGUUGGCUUGGAAAGGCAGGAAAUGAAUCCCCUCGAAGCCUUAUUAGUGUUGACAUUCCUCAGUGCCCUGGGGGGUGGGUUCUCCUCUGCCCCACUGUCCAGAGGUUGAAACUUAGCCUGGAGAAGUGUACGUGGCUGAAAAGAAGGCCCUGAGAAGGCCGGAGAGGCCACGUGGAGGCACCAGCCAUCUUGCAGCCUUGAGGGGACAAACGCACAGAUUAACGCCAACAUUCCGAGGAUGGCAGAACAAAGAGGACGAAAAAAAAGCUGUGAACCAACCUAAGAACUUCCUUCCUCUGGACUUGUCAGAUGAGGUAAUAAAUGUUCUUACUGUUUAAGCCCCUGCUACUCAAGGGGCUUGUUAGAAAUACAGAAUCUGCAGCCCGCUCUGGACCUACUAGCUCAGAAUCUGCAGCCCCCAGGGAUUCCUAGGCACACUGAAAUUUGAGAAGCGCUGGCUUAAACUCUUUGAUGUUUUUUCCAAAGAUUUUAUUUUUAAGUGAUCUCUACCCCCAACAUGGGGCUCGAACUCACAACCUCAAGAUCAAGAGUCUCAUGCUCCGCAGACUGAGACAGUCAGGCGCCCCUGGUUUAAGCUGUUUCUAAUUAGACUUUUCAGUCUUGGCAGCUAGGAAGCAAACUGAUAUCCUGUCUUACAAACUGAUAGCAAAGAUCUUGUUCUCAUAUCACCACUAAGAAAAGGAUGCGAGAAAAAGACAAAAGUGUUUCUACCUCUGCAAGGCUUUGGGACCUGUGAGUGAAGUUCCCUGGCUCUUUACAUGGCUAUAUUUCCAAAAUGGAGAGGAAACACCGUUUCACAUAGUGAAUGCAUUGUUUGGGCUGCAAAGGGUAGAGAAAACAGUACUUAAACUCACUAAAAGUGCAGGCUGUACGUAUACCUCUUGAGUGGACGUGACCAAAGAAAACUAAAAGGGGCAAGACAUCAAAAGAGAACAAAGCACUAAUAGACAAAAAAAAGUUCAAAACCCUUUACUUGGUUUAGAUCGGUAAGACAUCUCAGAUUUCCUCAUCAAUGUAGUUACUCAAGAGUCACUGUGGUACCCAUCCAGAUUGCAAACAUGUUAAUAACACAAAAUGAAAUAAUUCUAUGUUGUAAGAAAAAACAAGAUACUCUCAUAGCAUUGUUAUUCCUGAAAAGACUACUCGAGUUUCUUGAAGUUGCCCAAAUCAGGCGAUUUCAUAAGUCAUUGUGUGUUUACGCUAAGUUUAAGUAAUUGUUAGAAUAAAAGAGGCCACUAAGUACGAUUAAGCAAACCCAAUUUCAACAAACAAAUUCUGCAGCUUUUUUUGAAGAAACUUCGCUGUUCUGUUUUAAUUGUCUUCUUUUUUGUUUUAUUUUGAUUAUCUUUUGACAACAAGCUAUUGGGAAAUCAUUUAGGUGGUUGCUUAUUAUGAAAACAUUGUUAAGAUUAUUUCAUAGCCUGGGGAGCCUGGGUGGCUCAGUUAAGCAUCUGACUCUUGAUUUCAGCUCAUGUCAUGAUCUCAUGGUUCAUGAGAUCGAGCCGCGAGUAGGGAUCCGUGCUGACAGCACGCAGCCUGCUUGGGAUUCUGUCUGUCUGUCUGUCUGUCUCUCUCCCUCUCUCUCUGCCCCUCCCCCACUUGCUCUCUCUUUCAAAAUACAUAAAUAAACUUUAAAAAAGGUUAUUUCCACAGCCUGAAUUUCUGCCAUCUCCUUCAUUAUAUUUGAGAAGUAAACAGCUGAGCAAAACUUAUGGUGAGGAUUUAAAGGUUAAACCAACGUACUGGUUUGUGAUCAUUCUAAAAAAAUUACAGCUUCGUGUUCACAAAUGUCACUGGCAUUUUACGCUAUAAAGUCACUAUAUUUACAUGAUGGCAUGGCUGGGAGAAACAUGGAGAUACGCUGUUGGACAAUGUGCAUAACAGCAAUCAAGUAAUAUGAUACAAAUCCCAAAAGGACUCCCCUGCAAAAAAACCAAGCCUCUUCAAAUUCUUGCUUUGGUCACUUCAAAUACCUAUGGAGAAUGAUAGCCAAAGUGAAUCAGAAAUAACCCCUGAACUGGCUAUUCGCACAUUUCCCAUUAAAGAACUAAGAGGAACAACCUAAAAAAGUCACUUGGAAGUUCAUGGCUCUAUUUGUACAUUUGUCUCCAUGAUCUUUUCCACUCUGGCUGCCCACUGUGCUUUCCUCUUUAGCAUCUCCAGGCAUGGAAAUGUACCAGAGAAAGGAAAGGAAAAGAGUCGAGACACGUCUUUGAGUGACUUCCAGGGUUGACCAUAAAGUUUGCCUCGAGAGGUGGCAGGAGAUGGAUGGCAUUUUUGCAUGGCAUGUGGAGCUCUCGUACCUGUGACCUCCUGGACUCUGUUUCCAUGGGAACCGGCUCUAUUUCCCCUCGGGGUGCAUCUCUAACCUUCCGUAUUCGGACAAACAGGUGGCUGAAGAGUUUGAUGUGGGAUUAUCAGAUGCUCAUAUCAACUGUAUUCCUGCCGUGAGACCCUCUAGCCUGUGGGGAUGUGGGGAUACAGGUACAUAGGAUUUGUUCCCUAUCCUCAGAAACACUCUCUCUCUCUCUCUGCCCCUCCCCUCCCGUUUGUGUAAAAUAAAUAAUCAUUAAAAAAACAUGAACUACUUACAACUAGGGUAUGUCAGUAGCUCAGUCGGUAGAGCCUGUGACUCUUGAUCUUGGAGUUAUGACUUCGAGUCCUGAAUUGGGUGGAGAGAUUACUUUAAAAAAGAAAAAGUAAAGAAAAAAGUAAGAGACGCUAAAACUGUUUUUUAAAAAACCCCCACAGUCUAGUCGGGGAAUGGAAACUAAGUCACACUGAAGUUUUUGCUUUUGUUUGUUUUUUUUCUUCUAAAAUUCUAGAGCUUGGAGAAAGCUUUUGGAUCAUUGAGCUUAGCUGUCCCCUUCUACAGAAAAACUCUUUGGGCCUCAAUUUUUUUAAUUUUUUCUUAAAAAUUUAUUUAUUUAUUUUGAGAGAGAGAGAGAGAGAGAGAGACCUCGCAGAGGAGCAGGGGGAGGGGCAGAGAGAUGGAGAGAGGAGAGAGAAUUGCAAGCAGGCUCUGUACCCCAUACAGGGCUGGAUCUCAUGAACCUGGGAGAUCAUGACCUGAGCUGAUAUCAAGAGUCACACCCUUAACCGUCUGAGCCACCCACAUGCCCCUGGCCUCAAUUUUAUCAAGAAACUUACUGAAGUUCUCAUGGAUGGAAAUAGCGCCCUGGGUUUUUUGGUUCUUGGAGCAGCACUCCCUUUCUGUCCCUUGGCACCUCCCAGUGACUAAUCUCCUCCUCCUCCUCCUCCUCCUCUUCUUCCUCUUCCUUUUCUUCUUCCUCUUCUUUAAGAUUGUUUUAUUUUUAAGUAAUCUCAACACCCAGCGUGGGGCUCGUACUCACAACCCCCAGAUCAAGAGUCUCGCGCUUUACCAACAGAGUCACCCGGGCAUCCCAAAUAAUCUUCUUGAAAUACUUUUUCCACACAGCUUCCAGGAUGCCGAACUCUCUUGAAUUUCCUCCUACCUCACCAAAGGCUCUUUCUCAGUCACCUCUGCUGGUUCCUUUUCAGCUCCCCAAACUGUAGAUAUUGCCCCAGAUCUCUAUCCUCAUACUACUUCUCCAUUCACCCUCUCUCCCCUGGCGAUCUCAUCCAGUGCAUAGCUUUAAAGAUCAUCUGUGUGCUGGUGCUUCUCCCCUUUCUUUCUAGAUUUACAUAUCCAUCUGUGCCUACCUGGCAUCUCUAUUUGCCUGUGUAAGAAGCACCUUAAAUUUAACAAACUAACUAACCUUUGCUAAACUAACCCUCACUCUUCCCCUUCAAACCUGCUCUUUACGGGAUCUUCCCCAGUUCAAUAAAGGGCCCCUCCUUUCUGCUAAUUUUACAACCCAGAAGUGUGGGCAUCAUCCUUGACUCUUCCGUUUCUCUUAUAGCCCACGUCUGUAAGCUGCAUCAGCAGCUUCUAUGGAAUCUACCUUCAAAAUACAACCGAGGGGUGCCUGGGUGGCUCGGUUGAGCAUCCAACUCUUGAUUUUGGCUCAGGUCAAGAUCUGACCCCAGGGUCGUGGGAUCGAGCCCCGCAUCUGGCUCUGUGCUAAGCAUGGAACCUGCUUAAGAUUCUCUCCCUGCCCUCCCCCAUUUGUGCUCUCUCUUUCUCUCUCUCUCAAAUAAAAUAAAAUAAAAUAAAAUAAAAUAAAAUAAAUAAAAUAAAAUACAGCCAAGCUCUGACGACUCCUCCUCACCACCACUGCUGCCACCCUGAACCAAGCCACCAUCAAUGCUCAACUAGAUUAUUACCAUAGCUUUGUAACUGGUCUCACACUUCCCCCCUCUAUCUCCUUAACGCAGAAGCUGGAAGGAUCCUGUUCAAACGAAGCCGGAUCAUAUUUCUACUCUGGCCCCAAGACCUCCAGUGGUUCCCCUUCCCACUUAGAUUAAAAGGCAAAGUCCUCUGGGGCGCCUGGGCGGCUCAGUCGGUUAAGCAUCUGACUUCAGCUCAGGUCAUGAUCUCGUGGUCUAUGAGUUCUAGCUCCGCAUCCGGCUCUGUACUGACAGUUGGAGCCUGGAGCCUGCUUCGGAUUCUGUUUCUCUCUCUGUCUCUGCCCCUCCCCCACAUUAUUAAUAAUGCUAUUAAUAAAUAAACGUUAAAAAUUAAUUUAAAAUAGGCAACGUCCUCUCAGGGCCCACCAAAAGCCACCCACAGUCUACUUCCUUGCCCUCCUCCUCCCUUCACCACCUCUGUGCCUCCGUCUCAUGCUAGUCUCUCCGUACUCACCGUGUUUCAGCACGCUAACCUCCUUUCAUUCCUCAGAAAUGCCAGACAUAGUCUCACCUCAGGGCUUUUGCACUUGCUAUUUUUCCUGCCAGGAACGCCCUCCCCCAGAUAUCUGUACUGCUUGAUUCUCUCAGCCCCUCACGCUUUCUCUCCAUUGUCACCUCAGUGAGUUCUUCCCCACUUUCCAUCCUGGUGUUCUCCAUUCUCGUUACUCUCUUAGUUUUCUCCAUUGCAUUUCUCCCAUCUCAAUAGUCAUGUUUUCCAUAUUUGUUUAUGGUCUCAGUUGAGGUGUUGCCAAAUGGCUGUCAACAAGAAACCCCAGGAUACCAUGGCUUGAAGAAUAUAGAAGUGACUAGUCUGACCAGUGGGGUAUCUCUGCUCCAGUCACUCAGAGAUCUGAAGCUGGGUCACACCAUACCCAGGUUCCAGCUGGCAGAGAAGGCGAAGAGAACACGAAGGAAGCACAUCCAACAGAGGGGAGGCUGGAAAAUUGUGGUUCGGCCAAGCACCCAUUUUCCAAGGAAGAGGUGGAAAAUGAACUUUUGGUGCACAGCCAUCAGCAGGUAUUAUCUGUAUCCCUUCUUCCCGUUAGAGUAGAAGCUCCGUGAAGGUAGGGAUUUUUGUCGGUCUUACUCAUUUCCAUACUCUGAGCACCCAGAAAGGCUCCCUGCACCUGGAGAAAGUUUGGUGAAUAUUUGUUGAAUAAAUUGAGGAAAUGUGGGUGUAAAGACCUUCUCCUGGGGUUUACAACAACAAACAUAUCUCCCUUAGGACAACCUGACAUUGACUUUCUUGAUUUUAGCACGUGAGAGUCCAGUAGAAUUCUCCACACAGAGAAAUGGGGUCUAAUAUUUUUCACCAGCGGAGCAGUUGCAAGUUCUGCAUCCACUGGUGUCACACACAAGCAGCCCCAGAAGGGGUUCCCUGUAUAUUGAAAGACGAUCUUGGCUAUAGGAAGAAGAGUGUUUUUCCUAGUUCAGUAGGGGGUCCCAGAACUAUGUCUUACAGUGACUCAGAUAGCAGGGGUCAGAAGUUUUUGCACCAAUAAAGGACUUUAUUUGAAAUCUAUACCUGUUCCAUGUUUCAAACACAAUUUUGUAUUAGAAAUACAGCUCUCUGCCCGUAACUAUGGGGGAUAUUUGCCCUGCUAAUUAACCAAAAUUAAAAGCAUCCAAAGAGAUGGAGAGUGACCAAAGAAAGCCUCUGAUGGUGUAUGACCUUGAGCUCCUGUCUCUCAUACUCCUCGUCGGCCCCGGCAGACAGAAGCCUUCCUUAGCUCACUCACCUUCCCAGACAGAGCAUGUUCGCACAACAGUUUUUCUCCAAAUGUUCAAAAUAUAGUUUUUUAAAAAAUCUACUGAGUAACCCAAAGCUCCUUGCAACAACCUUAUAGGGCCAGUCGUAUUUUACCAAAAGUUUCCUAGUGCAAACAGAUGCCUGUGAUGUAAGGGUUGGCUCUGUCGGGCUCCAACAGUGGAGGGGAGGAAAUAACCAUGAAGCCCAGGAACAGAAACAAAGUUUCCUUCCUUCAGGAGAAAACAAGAUCCCAACACCAUUUUCAACUGAAACUAAGCAAUGGAACAAAACACGGGACUGCAAAUUUGGUCUCUGACCAGUCUGUAUCUAUCUAAGGUUCGUAUUAACAUCCUCGAUGGGGGCGGUUGCAAGCGAUCCACACCUCAAGCCCAAAGAAUUCAGCUCCAAAGGGUUCACCUGGCUAAAGUCAUUUAAAACAAAUUAUAGUGAGGUGUUUGGGGUUUUGUUUUGCUCUGCAUAUCUCAGAGUGCGAAGCCUGAAACUCCAAACCCUCCAUGUCAUUUCUAGAACUACAGCUAAGAUUGAGGCAUCACCCCAUCUCCUUUUUGGAGAGUAUGUUGCUGAAUCACAGCAUGUCGAUGAGCUCUGGUGUGGGAUCCUUCUUAGUAAGAAGAUCAAUUGCACAUUUGGUUUUGGAAAUUACUCUGAGAUACUUAUCUAUGGUUCUGAAGCCUUCUUUUUAGGUCUUUUGGAAAAUGAUAAGUGCUUCAAAACUCUUUAGAGAUACCGACAUUUUAAUUUGUAUGCUUCUCUUGUAGAAUAUUCUGGGGCACUGAAUAAAAAUAUUAGGAAAUAGAAUAAAUAGAGAUUCAAGACAGGGUUUUUUAAAGAAAGGGGAGAGGCGCCUGGGUGGCUCAGUCGGUUAAGCCUCCGACUUCAGCUCAGGCCGUGAUCUCACGGUUGGUGGGUUCGGGCCCCACGUCGGGCUCUGUGCUGACAGCUCGGAGCCUGGAGCCUGUUUUGGAUUCUGUCUCCCUCUCUCUCUGCCCCUCCCCACUUCGCACUCUGUCUCUCUGUCUCAAAAAUAAAUAAACGUUAAAAAAAGAAAGGGGAAAUUAAACACAUACACACACGUCAGAAGACCCAUUUUCUGUGGUUAAUGUUUAUUUCUAUCCACUUCCAAAUGAUUAUCUUUUGGCCUGUUCUUAUGUCGUGCUUGGUUAUCUAAUAUAAUUAUCUAUUAUUUUAAUCCAUUUUUUCAAAUGUUUAAAAAGACUCAUCAUAUUCUUCCAUGGGAAUACUGCUGUUACAUUUGUCUUCUAUUUCUGUUUGAAUUUCACAAAAGCCCUGGGUAACACUCCCCGAUUUGGGGGAGCUGGAGGCAGAGGGUGUUCUGUAGACCCGGAUGUAUGCAGAAGCAUUUUACAUUGGUUCCCUACUUGGUUAGAAAUUUGCUAAGACUAUUCGGAAGGGAAAAAAGUCUAACAGCUUCUAGUAAACAUAUUAUAUUUUUAUUUUUCCCCUGGAAACAUAAUUAGCAUUCUCCUUUCUUAGUUUCCUUUUCACACUUCAGUUUAGAUUUUGGGUGGUAAAGGCUGUAUGUUAGCCAUCAAUGGAAAGUCUAAGUCCCCAAUUUCCAACGAGCAUUUAAAAGUUGAACAAUAAAAAAUAAAAAAACCUCGGGGCGCCUGGUGGCUCAGUUGGUCGAGCGUCCGACUCUUGAUUUCAGCUCAGGUCAUGAUCUCAAGGUCGUGGGAUCCAGCCCUGCAUGAGGCUCCACACUGACCGCAUGGAGCCUGCUUGGGAUUCUCUCUCCCUCUCUCUCUGCCUCUUUCUCUCUCUCUCUCAAAAUAAAUAAAUAAACUUAAAAAAAUAAAAAAUUUAAAAAAGCAUCAAUCAUGAAAUGCCCAGAAUGGGCAGAUCUACAGAGACAAGAGAUUGGUGACUGCCUAGACCAUUGGAUGGGGGGCAGAGGGGGGUGGAGGGAAAUGGGAAGUGACCACUAACGGGUGCAUAGUUUCUUUUGGAGGGGGAUGAAAAAGUUCUAGAAUUAGAUUGUGGUGAAGCUUGCACAAUUCUGUGAAUAUACUAAAAAACAUUGAAAUGUAUACUUUACAUGGGUGAAUUGUAUGGUAUGUGAAUUCUAUCUCUAUAAAGCUGGGUUUUUUUCUACUUUUUUAAUGUUUAUUUUUGAGAGAGAGAGUGCAAGCAGGGGAGGGGCAGAGAGAGAGGGAGACACAGAAUCUAAAACAGGCUGCAAGCUUUCAGCACAGAGCCUGACAUGGGGCUUGAACAAAUGAAAACGUGAGAUCAUGACCUGAGCCGAAGUCGGACGCUUGACCGACUGAGCCACCCAGGUGCCCCUAUAAAGCUGUUUUAAAAAAAAAAAAAAAAAAAAAAAAAAAGAAAACCAUGAACAUGACAGGCUUAAAGCAAAGCUUCAGACAGUGCCCCCCCCCCCCACACACACACCUUUCCAGCCUCCCUCUCUUAUCAACCCCAGCCCUAGCCGGAAUAAAAAUCAUAAACCAUUCAAAAUAUUCCAGAGUAAGAUAAUUUAAAAAAAUUAUUUCCUUGAAUAGUGACUGGACAUUUGAUACGAAAUUAGUGCUAAACGUUUUUAAGAAGUGAUAAUGGCAGGGCGCCUGGGUGGCUCCGUAGGUUGAGCGCUCGACUUCGGCUCAGGUCACCAUCUUGUGGUUCGUGAGUUCAAGCCCCACAUCGGUCUCUGUGCUGACAGCUCGGAGCCUGGAGCCUGCUUCUGAUUCUGUGUCUCCCUCUCUCUCUGUUCCUUCCCACCUCAUGCUCUGUCUCUCUUUGUCUCUCAAAAAUAAGUAAAUAUUAAAAAAAGAAGUGAUAAUGGCAUCACGAUUGUACUUUUAAAAAAGAGUCCUUAUGUUCUGAGACACAUGUUGGAAUACUUGUGGAUGAAACAGUAUUAUAUUUGGGAUUUGCUUCAAAAACUUGAGGUGAAGAAGAAGUGGGUGGUUGUGGAGGAUGAAACAAGACUGGCCUGGGGUCCGUUGCUGAAGCAAGUGCAGUUCGUGAAGGGGGUCAUCGUACUCUCCGGUGUACUUGGUAAGUGGUUGAUGUUUUCCAUGAUAACAAGUUUGAACGGUUUUAGGAAACAGAUUUGCACAAACCCUCGGGACAAAAGUUAGGAUCCAUGGCCAAAGAUGCUAAAAGGGGGCACUUAGCAGAAACGAAACACGUGCCAAAAUUAUAGUCUAACAUUACAGUGAAAGAGCUAUUGCCAGGCAGUGUCCGCCCCUGUCACCCAUUUCAGAAGGGAGCUGACCCAAAUAGGAGUUGGCCCAGCUGAGGCUAAUUGGGAAUGGCAGGCGGACGCCGGGCGGGGGACGCUGGCCGGGCGGCCUCUUGGACUGCCCACGCUGUCGAUCCGAUCCGAGAGGAGUUCCCCAGCUGAGAGCAGGAAGGAGGGAUUUCAGAAAAGAACGGAAAAACAACCUUUUUUUUAGGCUGGAAAUAAUUCUGGGUUGUUUUUGUUUUUUUUUUUUUUCCUAAGAGGAAAGACAAGAAUUCAAAACUAAAUUCUUACCUAGCUCAACAACAUAAAAGUCCUCUCUCAUAACAUCUUUAUUCCUUAACUUCACAUUCACGCCGUUUGACUUUUCUAUAGUGUGACACACAUUGGAAUUUCGGCUCCCUGGCACGAGCCUGCUCGGGGAAUUUGUUCUCUGGGAAUUUGCUCUCAUCUCUGUUCAAGAGAAAAUUUAGACUACCAACCAGAAAAAGUAUAGGAGGAUUUGCUCUUUUUCUCAAAGCGGUUUGGUACAUUUUUAUACCUAAUUUGCAUCCAUAGCUAUCGUGUUGUAUUCGUAACUGCACUCUAGAUUGGGGUGUCUUUCGGUACAGAGUCAGUACAUAUUUUCGGCUCUGCCGACCCAACGGUCUCAGCUGCAGCCACACGACUCUGCCAUCGUAGCAGCGAUGGGCAAUAUGUGAGCAAAUGGGUGUGGCUGAUUUCCAAUAAAACUUCAUUUGUAGCCCCAGGUGGCAGGUUACAUUUGGCCUGCAGGCCAUUAUUUGCCACCCCUGAUAAACUUUAUCAGUAAAGGGCCUGUAUCGGUUUUCUAUUGCUGCCGUAACAAAUCGCCGCAAACUUAGCGACUUAAAACAACACAAAUAUGGUUCUGGGAAUUAGACCACGAAUAUCCAUUCACUAAGCACACUCUGGUUGCUCGUUCUCGGCAGUCGGCUCCUGUCGUCGGAUGGACGAGGGUACAUCGGAAGCCGGAGAAUAACAUGUCUGGUUUUACGAGCAAGGCAAGUAGCUCGCUGUGACGCCGAGCACCGUACAUGCCUCGGUGCGUAUCCGAGCCCGGGCGGAAGCAGCAUGGGUCACAAAGGGGAGCGCGGGCUCUGGAGGACAGGGAUUCACAUUCCAGCCCCGGCACGUAUGGGACCCUGAAUCAAUUACCCGCCUUCUUCAUGGCAUCGGUUUCCUCGAGCGUCAAAUGAGAAUUAUAAUUCCUACCUUGCGGGGCAUUGCACGUGUGAUACAAGAUAACGAAUGGGAAGUAACCAGCGCAACGCCUACCCUAUAAUGAAUGCUAUUUCUGCAGAACUACGGGAUUCUACUUUGAGUCAAACCAUGUCCCUUUGAACACAAGAGCCACGUGGAGAAAGCAUACUAGGGGCCUCGUUUCCCUGCAAGGCACAUUUUGGUUUUAACCCCCACUACAGCAUUAUAAUUGGGUUCUAGUUAUGAAGUCUAAAGCAACAUUCAGAGGGCCUUAAAAUGGUACUAUACAUAAGCACCUAGUUAAUAAAAACUUUCUGAGGCUGCUAACACCUCCAAAUAUUUAAAUAUUCUCAAAUUACUCGGCCACACCAUUCGCUGGGGACACUGCUGAGGCCCUUGCCGAGUACGGCACUUGUCAUGUGUUAAAAACAGAUGUCGGGUGCACCUGGGUGGCUCAGUCUGUUAAGCACCUGACUUCGGCCUAGGUCAUGAUCUCACGGUUCGCAAGUUUGAGCCCCGCAUCAGGCUCUGUGCUGACAGUUCAGAGCCUGGAGCCUGCUUCUGAUUCUGUGUCUCCUGCUCUCUCUACCCCUCCCCCGCUCAUGCUGUCUUUCUCUCUCUCAAAGAUAAAUAAACAUUAAGAAAAAAAUAGAUGUCAGAAACAUUCAAUAAAUGCCGCAGCUUUUAUAGUCUUAAGAAAUGGUGUCAAAUUGCUUUAGCCAAGGUAUGGGAUAAAGGUCGUUCAAACUUAAAAGCAGAAUUGUUUUUCUUAUUUUGAGAGUCGAUCAUCAGAUGUUUUCAAUAAGCGAAGUUUCAGCUAUUUGAUGCAUCAUCCAUGACCUCUGCCAGUAAGGUAUUUGUAAAAAUCUUGGCAUAAUUACUCUCUUAAUUGUUUGUGUUUUAGCAUUUUACAGAACCUGAAAAAGGGUCAGCUGCCCAAUGCCACCAAAAAAAAAAAAGACGAGUGGCAAAGCAGAGAGAGGAAUCCUAAAUCCCUAAACACACUCAUUGGUAGUGUUAAAUGAAAACAAAUCAUCCCCUCAUAGAAAACUUCCAUGAUCUCAGGAGAAAUAUUGUCAUAUUGCAUCUGAAGCAUUUUUCGGUGGUCUGUCUGGAUAUCAAAGUCUGAAGCCCUCCGAGAUGCUCCAGAAGCACACCUGGUUUGUGUUUAUCCAGAGGGACAUCCACAGUGAAGAGGGCAUUCUCGAAUGCAUCCUAAUUACGACAUUCCGAUGAUUCUCAUGACAGUUUAUAUAGCAAGGCAUUCUUUUCUUUGAAGAAAAUUAUUACGCCUACUGAUAGUUUUCUCCUUAAUCCCCAGGGCUUCCCGUGUUUUUUGAAUUCUCUAUUUCAGAGUAAAUCCUUAAAGUGAAGCUUACUCAUGUAUCCCACAAUUACCUGCAACUUCUUUUCCUUUCCUCCUUCAGAUCUUUUCCACAAUGUGAAUAUUUCCUGAGGCGGCUAGCCACAAUUCCUGGGCCAGCCAAACUAAGCGAAAGAUGACCGCUUUUUAGUGCAUGAAAAGUCUUUGAGAGCCGCUUCAAGAUCUCCGGUGAACUUGGAGACAGGCCGCUGCCUAAUCAUAUUUUUAAAAAUCGAAUUAUAAUAGCGAUGAGAUUAGGUAAGGGCUUUUAAGUGGAUAAAGUGGUUGUUGACUACUUCACCUAGCUAUUGAAAUCUGUAUCAAUGGGUUUGAUGAUUUGCUUAUAAAAAUAGAUUUAUAAAACAUAAUCAGAAGUUAUGUCUAAGGAGCUUAUGUAAUUCAACCAGAUUCCAAAAUGUAAGCCCUUGGAAGAACUGACCACAGGCAUAAGAGAAUGUCAUUUCAAUGCUAUGAAUAUUAAAGACUCUGUUCCUUUUUCACAUUUAUCACUAUUGUUUCAUAGCAAUAUCUUAUUCUUGUUUCUUUUAGCUGACACAUGUGUUUAGAAGUACGUAAUUGUCAAAAACAAAUUUUAAAUGAUACUACCCAUUGAUGGGAAGAACAUGGAAUGAGCCCCAGACUCACUGUGAUGAGAGUCUGUGAUGGGAGCCAGAACGUCCUUUCUGGUAUUUGGCAAUCGUGUAUCAAAAGCCUUACACCUAUGCCUCGCCUUUAAUCCAGAAAUUCCAUUUCUUGAAAUUUAUUCUAAUAACACCAUCAGUAAGGCGUGGGAAAAUGUACACUUUCGUACAAAGAGGUUCAUCGCACCACUGUUUACAAUAUCAAAAAACUAAAACAAUCCAUCCCCCACAUAGAGAAUCUAUUAAGUACAUUAUAACAUAUGUCCAUAUUAUGGGAUAUACCUAACCACUAAAAAUUACCCUUUUUUUUUUUUAAAGAUUUUAUCUUAUUUUUUAAGGAAUCUCUGCACUCAACGUGGGGCUCAGACACAACCCCGAGAUCAAGAAUUGCGUGCUCCACUGACUGAGUCAGCCAGGCACCCGUAAAAACUAUGUUUUAAAAGAUUUUGUCGAGGGGCGCCUGAGUGGCUCAGUCAGUUAAGCGUCCGACUUCGGCUCCGGUCAUGAUCUCACAGUUCGUGGGUUCGGGCCCUGCGUCGGGCUCUGUGCUGACGGCUCAGAGCCCGGAGCCUGCUUCUGUUUCUGUGUCUCCCUCUCUGCCCCUCCCUUGCUUGCACUCUGUCUCUCUCUCUCUCUCUCUCAAAAAUAAAUAGGCAUAAAAAAAUUUUUUUAAAAAUUUGUUGAAAAGCUUUAAGACAUAGUAUUACGUUAAAAAACAAAUUACAAAUAACAUGCACAGUGUGAUUCAAAUAUACAUGUGCCUUCCUAUGUAACGUCUGUGGGCGUGUUUAUGUGUAUGAAAGAGAAGCAAACGGAAGGGAAGGAUGGAUCCCUAAUGUACCAAAAAUAGUGAUAGAGGUUAUCGCGAGGUGUUUCUGUGCUUUCUGACCUCUCUGCAAAAAAGAUGUAUUACUUUUAAAAUUCAUAAUGCAUGUUGGUGUCUUGAGUUCAGGAAUAAGCUUCUGCAAGAAACAGUCUUUGUCUCCAGUCUGGUUUCUUUUGCUGGCCACUUAGUGCCUCAAGUGUUUACAGAGUGUCUGGUCCUAAGCACUUACACUUGCCAGAUGCCAGGUCCCUGACAGUGUUUGAAGAUGCUGGAGUAUUAGCAGCCGCCAAGGGAAGGACGAAGGGGACGAGGGAGGUAGGGGUGAGGACUGAGAGACAAGCAGCAGCUGUGAUGAACGGAGGGCUGGCGUCUUUUCCCUGGUCCCAGUCAUGCAUGGCCCAGAGGAUACAUGGAGGCAGGACAAGGGGAGAAAGGCCAGAGUGUGAGGCCAGACCUGGCCACUGUGUCGUGACAUGCACUGCCGGGUCACACCUAGUCCCGGGGACGGCCUUCCGGUGAUGUGGAGGAACGGAGGAAUCUGAGCGGCAGGCGUCUGGCUGAGAGACGGGCUCACUCUCAGGGCUGGAGUCAGCCAUGGGCCCAGAGGUGUGCUUGCACCCUAGAAUGACCGACACACAAGAUGAGGGUUCGGAAGCACGGCAUCCAGGCCCCACGACGGCAGGGAAUGGGGGAGUGAGUCUUAGGCACAAGCAGAGGCCCAGUUACCAGAACCAAGACCUAAAGUUGAGGUUUCAACUAGCAGCCAUGGGCGCCUGGCUGGCUCAGUCUGUAAGGCACGCAACUCUUGAUCUCGGGGUCAUGAGUUCCAGCCCCACGUGGGGCAUAGAGCUCACUAAAAACCAAACAAAACAAAACGACCUAGCAGCCUUGGUGACUUCAUGCCCAGUCCCAGAAAGCCAAGCUCCAUUUCCUCAAAUCUCUCCUGAAGACGUCAGGAUUGGCAGGGACGGUGAGCUGGUCUAAUAAAGAGGAAGGACAGCGGACCCUACUUGUGGGGGAAAUCGGGCAGGACUGGAGGCAGAGCACUGGAGCACUGGAGUCCGAGAAUUCUGUCAGAAUUGUGCCCGAAGCAGUCUAUAAUGAGUAAGGCAAGUUAAUGGACGCGGUCCAGGUGGCAAAAACAAGAGGCCCUUGUCAAUGUGAAUCUUAGCCAUUCCUGCCCGAAUCUCUUUAUAGUGUCCCUACUAAAGAUACAGACACACAUCAGGGUGUCUUGAUGAUGUCAACAGUGUUUCAAAAAUAAAAGAUCAGUCCAUAAACAUUUUAUGUUUGCUUUGCCAAAUCAAGGAGAAAUCUGCAUAGGUUGGAAAUCCUAGUGUCACUAUACAAAUGCCUCUAAUAAAAACUCGUAAGUAGAAUUUCUAACUCCAUAAAUUUCAACAAAAAUGUCAUGCUAUACAAAAGAUUGUAGCCAGUCUAUUAUUUUUAUAAAGAUCAUUUGUGCGGCGCCUGGGUGGCUCAGUCGGUUAAGCGUCCGAUCUUGGCUCAGGUCAUGAUCUCAUGGUUUGUGACUUUGAGCCUUGUGUGAUGCUCUGUGCUGACAGUGCAGAGCCUAUGUGGGAUUCUCUCUCUCUCCCUCGCUCUCUGCCCCUCCCCCACUCACACUCUCUAUUUAGAAAUAAAACUUUAAAAGAACGGUUUAAAAGUUUAAAAAAAAAGAGUAUUUGCUAUUUAAAUAAUUUUUUGGAAUAUAAAGUCGAAUUUUACAGUAUGUCUUGCCUUCAGAUUCAAAUGUCGGUAACGUUACAGAAGCAAAGAAACGCUUUUUGAUGAUAGCCCUCGUUUGAUUGGUUUUCCCAAGAGUACAAUUUCUACUCCAAUAAACCCUUAGUUCCAUGGCUUAGAGCCAGAGCAGUGAUUCUCAACCUUGGCCUCCCCCUAGAAUCACUUGAGAGCUUUGUGAGUCCCAGAAUGCAUGUAGCAAACAAAUGAAUCAGAAUCUCUAGACGUGGGACUCAGGCAUCAGGAGUUUGUAAAGCUCCUCGGGUGGUUUAGAUCUGUGGUCAGAGCUGAGAACUGCCGAGCUAGGCUGACCGUAUUAAUCUACUGUCCAAAGCAAGACACUUUUGAGAGCAAAAGCCCGUGCUAUUACUGAUUACCUGGAGGCCAGAGAAUAAACCAGUUAAGUUCUGAAGUCACUUUGGCGGUCAGCUAGUGUCACUCUAUCCCUCAAGAUUUAUAAAGGAGUGAAAAGAUAGGCUCAUAUGAAAGCUCCAUGCCCCUUGGGAAGUCUAAAGGUUUCUGGAAUUCUUUGAGAAUGAUUGUAAUUACUUCUAGUUCUAAUUUCUAAUUUAAGUUGAAUUAUCAUUUUCUACUCAGCUACUUGGAAUUUUUCCCUCAUGUCUACCUUGAGAGUGGCCCAAGCACAGUCCCCAGGCCUCCUCCUGGUUCCCUGCCCCACCCCCAAAAGGAAUCUUCUUAGGCACCUGACUGUGGUGAGAUCUACCUAGAAGAUAGCAUUUAAAUUUUAAUAUUAAGUUUCCUUGUUCCUGAAAAGUCCCUCGGCCAUUUCUGCUGCCCAGGGCUCUAGGCGCUGCCGAAUUUCCCAACAAUUUUUCUUUUUUUCUCCUCUAUGUUCUCACUACACUCCUGAAUUCUUGUUCCUUUCUUCUGUAGGCCAUCUCCUUAGUGCUUCCUUCCAACUUAUGACUUCAGGGCUUCCCUGUCUGCCCAAAUCAGCUUAUCAAGGCCUUUCUCAAACAAAGACAGUUCUUUCUUUUAGAAAAACUCAGGUACCGACUGAAAAGCAUGAUAUUUUUGUUCAUCCCACUGUACAUAGACUUAGAUAUUUUUUGUGUCGAAACCUGCUAGGAACCCACUGGAAUGACUAAAGUGAAAAUGACUGACAACGCUAAGUGUCGGUAAGGCUGUGGAACAAUUGGAACUCUCAUAAGCUGCUAUUGAGAGUAGAGAAUGAUGAAGCACUUUGGAAAACUGACGGUUUCCAUAAAGGUUAAUGCACAUCCAUCCUGUGACUCAACAAUUCCUCCACCAGAUAUUUAUUCAAGAGAAAUAAAAACAUAUGGUCCCAGAAAGCGUUGUACAAGAAUAAUCGUAGCAGCUUUCAUCAUAAUAGCCCAAAACUAGAAACAGCCCUGUGUCCAUCCACAGGAACAUGGACAAACAAACCGAGAUACAUCUAUAUUGUUAUACUACUCGGUGUCAUAACAUGGAUGAAACUUACAGACGUUAUCCUGAGCGAAACACCUGGACACAAGAGCACACAUGGUACAAUUCUAUUUCUAAGAAUUCCUGGAAUAGACAAAACUAAUCUAUGGUGAUAGACACAAGGAAGUGAAGUAAGAGAAACUUCCUCUCUCUUGGGCUGGGUAGUGGCUACAUGGGUGAACAUAAUAGACAAAAACCCUAAUCUAAGUAUGUACUUACAAACUAUGCAUUUUACUGUAUGUAAAUUAUAUCUCAAUUUCUUUUUAAUGAGAAAAAUAACCACUCUGGGGUGCCUGGGUGGUUCAGUCUUUUAAGCGCCUGGACUUCAGCUCAGGUCAUGAUCUCGUAGUUCGGGGGUUCAAGCCCCGCAUUGAGCUCUGUGCUGACAGCGUGGAGCCUGGAUCUUGCUUCAGAGCUGAUUCUGUGUCUCCCUCUCUCUCUCUGCCCCUCGCCUGAUCACGCUGUGUGUGUCUGUCUCUCUUUCGAUAAGUAAAUAAAUAACUAAACAUAAAAAACAGAACCACCCCAAAAUAUAAUCUGCCACGACACAUUGGGACCUUACAGUGAGUCUUUCACACCCACAGGGGAAAAGGUAGAAAUUAAUAUUUGGAUCCUACUGUGUACCAAGCUCUGUGUAAGAUACUUUACAUAGACAAACCAGACUUCCCCCUAAAAUACUAGGCAAUUCCAGGAACCAAAUGCACUUCUGUGACAUUUCUUAUCAGGCCCUUGAAAGAGCAAGCACUUCAAGCAUUUUAAUGGCAGAUGGAACUUUUAGAGAAUUUUCAUUUCUGGACAAACUAAUAGUUUUCCCAAUAAUUCAUCUCAAAAAUGUUAAUACCGACCCAAUUUACUACUAUAGUAAAGAAAGCAUUUCUACAUAAAUGCCUGGUGAAUUCUACUUGUCCCAACAAGAUUGAAGGGCUUAAACUGAGAUUGAAAUGCUAAAUUUACAUAUGACAACCGUAAGUGUUCCACAGACUCGAAAGCACACCAAACAAAAUAAUAAAUUUUCCUUUGAACCACAACAAAUCUUUUAAUAGAAUUUUAUUUCAAGGAUAUAACAAUCCAGGAAAAUUCCAGAUGUUCAUUUUAUAAAGCCAAAAGGAAGAAGAGAACAAGAAUAAUCUAUAAAACAGAAGUUGCUAUUUGGGGGAUGAAAAUGAAGUGUUCAGACAAAGAAAAAUGGAUUUAGGUUUUCUUAAGAGAUAAACAGAAGAUGAAAGGCUCUUGGUGAGUGGAAUCUGUUAUUGCUCUACUUGUUGACUAUGCAGACGUGACCCUUGGCCCCUUCAUUUAGUGCAAAAGACAUCCAUGAUUUCAAGGAAUUUACUUUUUACUGUCAUUCCAUAUUUAUACAACAUCUUUUGGAAAGAAAUUAAAAAUUCUUUACUCUCAACUGCCAGUACUUCUCCCCUAUCCAUAAAAGAAAGUCCAAACGUUAAGCCUGGUAUUUGAAAAUUUUUUUAAUGCAACCCAUUUAUCUAAGCUUUAUCUCCUACUGCUUUUCUACACUUGCGCUUUGGUCCGGCCAAGCCUAUUUACUUGACUCCAGAGUGACUUAACAAUUCUCACCUCCAAAUUCCGUUCAUGCUACUACCCUCGGUAGGAUGGUAAAGUGGAAAGUGCAUGAAUUAUGUUAAUUCUUACUCUCCGGUCAGUUAUUAAUUAGCCACGCGAUUCACUCAUUAGCCAUGUGAGCUUGGGCAGGUGUCUCAACCUUCCUUAACAUCCUUUUCUUAUCGGUAAAAUGAGAAUGCUAGUACCUACCUCUGUUUUGAUAUUUUAGUACUCUAUUUUGAAUUUUAUUUUUAUUUAUUUUAAUGUUUAUUUAUUUUUGAGAGAGAGAGAGAGAGAGAAACAGGGCGUGAGUGUGGGAGGGGCAGAGAGAGAGACACAGAAUCUGAAGCAGACUUCAGGCUCGGAGCUGUCAGCACAGACCCUGACGCGGGGCUCGAACCCACGAACAGUGAGAUCAUGACCUGAGCCGAAGUCGGAUGCUUAACCGACUGAGCCACCCAGGCGCCCCUGUAUUUUGAAUUUUAAAUGAGAUGGUUGACGCGCCUGCCACAUCAGACACAACAAAUACUACUUCGUUAUCAGGCUUCAUCCUCCCUUCUGCCUAGAAUAUACCACCAUCUUGAUGCCUUCCUAAAUCCUGUCCUUCCUUCGGUCCAAACCAACUUCCAUAUCUUGAAACCUUGUCAAACCACCCCAUUACCAUUUUAUUGGCCCUGAAUGCCAUACUGCCUCAUAUUGCUGAAAACUCCCCAAAUGUGAUGAAAGACACGAAUAUAAACAUCCAAGAAGCUCAGCAAACUCCAAGAAAGAGGAACUCAAAGAAACCCACACCAAGAUUCAUUGUAACCAAACUUUUGAAAGACAAAGACAAAGGCAGAAUUAUGAAAGCAGCAAGAGAGAAGCAAUUUGUCCCAUACAACAGAUUCUCCAUAACAGUUAGCAGAUUUCUCAUCGGAAACUUUGGAGGCCAGGAGGCAGUAGGUUGAUGUAUUCAAAAUGCUAAAAGAAAAAAAAAAACCAUCAAUCAGGAAUCCUGUAUCCGGCAAAACCAUCCUUCAAAAGUGAAGAAGAAAUUAAGACAUUACUAGGUAAACAACAGCUGAGGGAGUUUGUUAUCACUAGACCUGCCCUGCAAGAAACACUCAACACUCAAGGGAAUCCUGCAGGGUGAAAUGAAAGCACACUGGACAGUAACCUGAAGCUGCACGAAGAAAUGAAAUUCUCAAGAAGGGUAAAUACGUGGGCAAUUAUAAAAGCUAGUGUCACUGUAACAAUGGUUUAUAACUCCACUUUUUGUUUUCUACAUGACUUAAGAGACUAACGCAUUUUUUUUUGAUGAAUCUAAAAACUAAUAUUAUUGUAACCUUGGUUUGUAACUCCACCUUUUGUUCUCUACAUAAUUUAAGAAACUAAUCCAUUAAGAAAAUUAGUAGCUUAUGUUUUAGGGCACACAAUGUCUAAAGAUGUAAUUUUGUGACAUCAACAACCAGGAGAGUUGGGGACAGAGCUGUAAAGGCACAGAGUUUUUGUAUGUUAUUGGAGUUAAGGUGGUGUCAAUUCAAAUCAGUGUUAUAACUUCAGGAUGUUAAACAUUAUCCCCAUAGUAACUAUAACAAAUAGCUAUAGAAUAUACACAAAAGGAAAUUAGUAACGAAUUUAAGCAUUUCACUGUAAAAAAAAAAAAAAAGAUCAACUAAAUACGAAAGAAGACAGUAAUACAGGAAAUGAAGGAUGAAAAAGCUAUAAGUCACGUAGAAAACAAAUAGCAAAAUGACAGAAGUCCCUCCUUAUCAGUAAUUAAUUUAAAUGUAAAUGGUUUAAACUUGCCAAUAAAAAGAGAUUAUGUGAAGGGAGCAAAGAAGGAGGCUUAGGUAAGACAUUCCCCCUCACCCAAAAUGCACCCUCCAGACUACUCUGCAGGCACAGGUACCCACAUUCGAAGUAUGACACCCCAAUUCCUCGGCCUUUUUCUAAACUCAGAAGCAGUGACAGCCGGGGAAGAAGCACAUUCCCCGCACCUUCCCCUCAUCUAAGAGGCUGCAAGGGAAAAACUGCAGUCAGUCAGAGCUUGACCCACAUGCCAGCCUCCCCUCUCCACCCUCAAAGCUGUUGAAAUGACAGGAAAAAAUACACACACACACAGUUUUACAAAUGAUUAAUACAUGUCAGUGCUAGAAAAUAGGAAUCUUUGAAAGACAGGGCAAAUGAGAUUGACUAGAAAGUGGGAAGCAAGAAUAAAUUAGAGAUUUCAGAAACAAAAUGUAGGUUUGUUAAAUUUUUCUGCCCUGCAGCUCCUAGCUAUUCAUAAGAAGUUUGGAUAGAAGAAAUAAAGGGCCCUAAGCCCUAUGUGUCAAGCAAUGGGCACCUUAUAGUUAAAAAAUCACAGACACCAGCUCUUUAAAGAGGAAGAGAAAGAGAAAGAUUAGGAUAGAACUGUUACCAAAGUUUUGGACUUGGAAGGGAUUUUGGCAAUUCUGAAAGAAUGAGGCAAGUCUGACCAAUUUGCUAGCCCAGCACAAAAGAAGAUGUUACCUAUAUAGUGCUGGAGUGAUUUUUUAGCAAAUCACUCCUUCCUAGGGGUGAAAAACCACCAUGACAUUUCAUAUAGUCCAAACAAAGACUUCGAUUGUUAGACGAAUGCCAAAACUAUACUGGAAGCCUUGAGAGAACCACCUGACUUUUUCGUACAGUUUCCAGCCCCUAGGCUUUUCAAGUCUUAGCAGGAAAUACUAGAAGCAAUUUCUCCUGGUGUUUUGAAGUUUACCUACCUAAAUCACAGAGUGAUUCUGGUGAUUAAAAGAGAGAGAGAGAGAGAGAGAGAGAGUUUGAAUGUGAUCCUAUAAAACAAAUUAGUGUAUAAGGAACUGAUUUGAAAUAAUCUAGUAAAUUCAUUAUCUGCUCAUGAUAUUUGGCAUGAUUACAAUAAAAUUGCAUUAAAGUACAGGAUGUCUAAGAGAAAUAUGGAACGGUCAGGAUUCAGAAUUAUCUGAUUUCCUAAUGAAGAACAAUAGGGCAUUUAGUCGGUUGAGAAACAACAGUUCCUUUGAAUUACAAAUGAACUCGAUAUUAGCUUAUUGUGGUUUUGGUGUAUUUAAUAUUUCAUCUGAGUAGGAAGUCUACCAGGCUUGAGACGGGAAAUCUGAAUUCUAAUUUCAGAUCUGUUGCUACAUACCUCUUAGCUCUGGACAAAUCAGUUCCUCUCUCUGAGCCUCAGUUUCCUCAUUUGUAGUAUGAAGGGAUUGGACUUAAACCUUCUCAAAGGUUUCUUCAGCUCUCAAAUUCUGUGGCUCUGGUUCUUUUCUCUCCUCCAGGGCCCUUGUCGAUUCUCACCCCUCCUUCCUCUACCCCAGGCUCCUAGGCUACCUGCUGCCCCCACCUGCCCCACUGCUCACGGUUGUUCACCGCGACAUUCACCCAUUCUAGACGGCAGCACCUGGCCCAGGCUUCUUCCGCUGGGACCCAAAACAAAACUUACUCUCGUGUGUCCCAGGGCCGUACUACUCGUGGCCUUGAGUGAAAUGAGGCUGAAGAGUUGAGCUACUGUGGCCAGGUCAGGAUGGGGGCNNNNNNNNNNNNNNNNNNNNNNNNNNNNNNNNNNNNNNNNNNNNNNNNNNNNNNNNNNNNNNNNNNNNNNNNNNNNNNNNNNNNNNNNNNNNNNNNNNNNNNNNNNNNNNNNNNNNNNNNNNNNNNNNNNNNNNNNNNNNNNNNNNNNNNNNNNNNNNNNNNNNNNNNNNNNNNNNNNNNNNNNNNNNNNNNNNNNNNNNNNNNNNNNNNNNNNNNNNNNNNNNNNNNNNNNNNNNNNNNNNNNNNNNNNNNNNNNNNNNNNNNNNNNNNNNNNNNNNNNNNNNNNNNNNNNNNNNNNNNNNNNNNNNNNNNNNNNNNNNNNNNNNNNNNNNNNNNNNNNNNNNNNNNNNNNNNNNNNNNNNNNNNNNNNNNNNNNNNNNNNNNNNNNNNNNNNNNNNNNNNNNNNNNNNNNNNNNNNNNNNNNNNNNNNNNNNNNNNNNNNNNNNNNNNNNNNNNNNNNNNNNNNNNNNNNNNNNNNNNNNGUCUCACCCCAAAUCCGUGUGUGUUGGUCUGAUCCCCUCUCUCAGCUUGUGACCCUGACACAAGGUUGCAAAGUGCGUGCGUGAUAUUCGUAAGCUCUCCUCAACCCCAAAUCUUCUUCCUCCAAAAACCUGUUACCCUGAGCGUCUCUCUCCUGGCUGCCUUGACACGGAAGUGGCUCUUGAAAACCUAAAUGUCCGUGUGCAUUUGUGAGCCUGCGUGUGUUCACCCCACAGCCCAGGGGAUUGCAUCUUUUCUCCUAACACAGUGAGGUGAGAAAUGUCUCCAGCACGUAGCCUAAAACUUGAUUUUUCAUUUUAACUGAAACAAUGAGCUCUCACCUAUCAAUAUCUUGGCCACGUGUGGUUGUGCUAAGGCAGAAAUACCGAGUCUGAGAAAAACCACGGUCAAGGAAAUUCUGUGUCGUCUCCCUUGGUGCCCCACCUCCCAACCCCCACCCUCAUGUCUAGACAUUCCCCCAGGCCUUGCGGUUACCACCCUUUCUUUUCCACAUUUCAUUAAUAAUUGUACAAGUCAAACAAUAGCUAAUCUGGCAAUUAUGCGCAAGUUAAAACAUUGGAACACGUUACCCGGCAUCGCCUGCCAAAUCACACUAAAAUUUGGAUCGAUGAAGGUGCCGAAAGAUUUUUCAAAAGUUUGUCCUGCCUUUCGGGCAGACUUCUAAAAUGCAGCAGAGUGAGUGGUUCUAAAACCAAAUCAACAACAACAGCAGGAAACCUGUCUCCUAGCGUCUCUGUUUUUCACAGUGACGCCACAGUUUGAAACUCAGUGUUUGGGGGGGGCGGGGAAGAGAAAAGGGGCGUGAGGCGGAGAGUACCCACACCCUGAGCUAGCUGCGUCAGGGUGAAAGAAUGAGCACCGCACCCCAGGCGGUCGCAUUUCUGGGGUCACUUAAUCAUGCUCUGUACACCUGUGCUAUGAGGGCAGCACAGCUGCAAGACAAACGCUCUUCGGCUCCGGGGCCAACAUGCCUGUUCCCCUCUAGAUUUAGCUACUUCCAACUGUCCAAGAUCAGCCGCAGAAUUUUUGAGGAGUGAAGUAAAGCAGAAAGCAAGACUGGGUCGGCAGUGUGCUCUUCCAGAAUCAGUCUCGGGGCCAAAGCUUCUCUUCCACGCUUCUCCAAGCUGCGCUCGGGCUUCCAAAUGCCCACAGGACUUCAGUUCCCUUCAGAGGCUCUGCGCACUGGGCAACCUGCAUAGACGAGGGUCUCCAGCGGCCUCCAGAAUCACCUUCAGAACUCAAGUUCAGCCCCUAAAAACAGCAUCAGCUCUGCCCACACCUCCUCCUCCUGGGUUUCCUCGCUACUCGUACUCCCAGUGGGUAUUACUAAGAGGUGAGAACACGAACGCUUGCAGGAAGCGGAACAUCAAUCAUUCCUUCAUUACUGAUUAAAAGAAAAAGAAAGGAAGUCAACUGGAGGACUGCUUUAGGCUUGAAGUCUGGUUCUCAUGAAAGGUCAGUGAGGGGACCUCCGUAGUCCAUCUCAAAGGCGCCUUCAGACCUGAAAUGCUUUAAUUCCUUGCCUGCACACCUGGCUGGGAUUUGGAUCUGGACUGGGAACAGGAUACCAAGGUCAUGCUGAGCCCCACGUGCAGGCAGUGGAGGCUCGCUGCUGAACUUCCUGGGUUCAAAGGACAUACUUGGUAGCCGGGAUGGUUUUGAAAGCGCCCUUAAUGAUCUCAAACCUACCUUGAAAGUCUGCAAAGGACCCAUCUAUCCCUUCUCUCUAGGGCACUUAGAAGAGGACCUGGGGUCGGCUGGAGCCUCUGGAAGCAGAGCCCCGUUCCCACAGGAAUUGACUUCAAUCCUUACACUUCUCUCUCACAUCCAAUACGUCGCCUGUUCACUCAGUGACUAUCUCUCUCUGCAAAGGAAAAGCGUCACGUUAGUUGGUAAAGAUACAAGGAUGAAGAAAAUAUGACCUGUGUCCCUAAAGAUCUCAAAGUCUAGACGGAAACAACCACUCCAAAGUGUGAGGAGUCUCUCAUGCAGGCAGGAAGAAAAGGUGGAAGCAGAGAAGGAAAACUAUUGACCUGACUUGGAAGCUGGAAGGACAUCACAUCAGAUCCUUCUCUUCCUCAAGCUUCUACGUAUCCCCUGGGAUGAGCUCACCUGUUACCUCCUCCUUAUCUUCCCCUCCCUAUCCCUUUCUGAAGCUCCCUCAGCUCUACACAGAGUAAAUCCAACCAUGGUCCCACAGCACACUUCCCUCAUUGAAUACCUGUCAAGUUCUUUGAGUCUGAGGAAAUGCCUACAAAGGCAGGUAAAGCGGGAGUCUGGCCCACCAGAUGCCUGAUGUGUGCAGGCAAAGGAGCCCUCUGAGACAGGACUCUAUCUUGGGCACAAAAGGGUUGAGCCAGUGGGAAACCUUGGUAAUCAGGCAGGAGAGGCACUCCAAGAGCCAGAGGAUAAGAAGCAAUUCUGAGCACAGCAUGAUGUCUGUUACUCAGAUUUUCUUACCUCUAAAGUCCCAGUGAAAACACAGCUUCUCGAGCUGGAGAGCUAUAAAUGGAAGCCAAAAGAGAUGUUUCGGUGAGAAGCUUUUUUAAAGGACUCAGAGAUCAGCUGCAUGCUUUGGAAGCCUUCUAACGUGCGGAAGUACAGAGGGGAGACAGGCAUUCUCCCCUUCGUUGCUGCAGACCACGGCUCCGUACACAGGAGGUCUGAAGAGCCUGGUCAAGCAGCGGUGGCACUCAGCAAAGACUUCAGUGCCUAAAGUAGAAUGAUAAGCACUCCAUGGCACAAGACAGCUCUGUAGGGGUAGUAGCGAUUGCCAAAUUGUGGCGCCUGAUGCAUUAGUGGGUCGUGGCCAGCAGUUGUUUUUUUUUUUUUUUUUUGAUAGACUAGAAUAGUAUAAAAAGCAUCAGAGUUUCUCAUAAGUAGUAAGAAGACAUAUAUGUGUACGUGAGUGUGUGUACAUGGGAGUGAGUAUAUGUGUAUAUAUACUGGGUCAUUGUGUAAAAUAUAUCUCUUCCUGUGGGCCAUGGUCUAAAUCACAAAGAGAUUGCCAGUGGAGCAGAAGUAGUAGCUGAUGUAAGUAGUAGUUGUCUUGUAGUUAAGUUCAUAAAGAUUCCCGGAUGUAAUCAAGUAGGGAUUGCAAGGGCUAGCUGCACCGUCCAUUACAGUAGCCACUAGCACGUGUGGCUAUUUAAAUGCAUUAAAAUUAACUAACAGUAAAAAUUGUGUUCCUUUUUAAUACCAGCCACAUUUCAAGUGUUCAAUAGACCCAUGUGGCUAAUGGCUACUGUAUUGGCCAGUGCAGAUGUAAAUUAUUUCCAAUGUCUCAGAAAGCUCUAGUGGAUAUCACUGGCCUUGAUCUAAAUCUGGUGGACCAAAAUUGUCAAGGAUGGGCAUGGACACCAUACAUUUUUAAAGGUCUACAGUGGGGCGCCUGGGUGGCGCAGUCGGUUAAGCGUCCGACUUCAGCCAGGUCACGAUCUCGCGGUCCGUGAGUUCGAGCCCCGCGUCGGGCUCUGGGCUGAUGGCUCAGAGCCUGGAGCCUGUUUCCGAUUCUGUGUCUCCCUCUCUCUCUGCCCCUCCCCCGUUCAUGCUCUGUCUCUCUCUGUCCCCAAAAUAAAUAAACGUUGAAAAAAAAAUUUUUUUAAAAAAUAAAGGUCUACAGUAAUUGUGAAGUGCAGUCGAGAUUGAUUUCAUUAUUGAUCCCAAACAGCAGAAAAUAUAGAUAUGGAGCUUGAGAAAGAGGGUGAACUGGAAAUUCAGACCUGGAAGCCAGUCGACAUUGUAAACUGUAGUUGAAGCAAAAGAAGUGGAUGAGCUAGCUGACUCAUAGAGAUUGGGGAGCGAAAGAAGAGGACCAAGUACAAAACCCUAAGAUCGAAAGAAGCAAAAUCAAUGAAAAGGAGCCCAANNNNNNNNNNNNNNNNNNNNNNNNNNNNNNNNNNNNNNNNNNNNNNNNNNNNNNNNNNNNNNNNNNNNNNNNNNNNNNNNNNNNNNNNNNNNNNNNNNNNNNNNNNNNNNNNNNNNNNNNNNNNNNNNNNNNNNNNNNNNNNNNNNNNNNNNNNNNNNNNNNNNNNNNNNNNNNNNNNNNNNNNNNNNNNNNNNNNNNNNNNNNNNNNNNNNNNNNNNNNNNNNNNNNNNNNNNNNNNNNNNNNNNNNNNNNNNNNNNNNNNNNNNNNNNNNNNNNNNNNNNNNNNNNNNNNNNNNNNNNNNNNNNNNNNNNNNNNNNNNNNNNNNNNNNNNNNNNNNNNNNNNNNNNNNNNNNNNNNNNNNNNNNNNNNNNNNNNNNNNNNNNNNNNNNNNNNNNNNNNNNNNNNNNNNNNNNNNNNNNNNNNNNNNNNNNNNNNNNNNNNNNNNNNNNNNNNNNNNNNNNNNNNNNNNNNNNNNNNNNNNNNNNNNNNNNNGUCCCAAAAAUAAAAAAAAAAAAAAUUAUUUUAGAGACAGAAAGCACGAGCAGGGGAGAGGGGAAGAGAGAAGAGAGAGAGAGAAUAUUAAGCAGGCUCCAUGGAGCCUGAUGCAGGGCUCGAUCCCUUGACCCUGGGAUUGUGACCUGAGCUGAAAUCAAGAGUGAGACGUCAACCGAAUGAGCCACCCAGGCACCCCUAUUUUAUAUUUUUAUUUUUUUUUUACUUAAGCCUCACGCCCAGUGCAGGGCCCAACACGGGGCUUCAACUCACGACCUGGAGAUCAAGACCGGGGCUGAGAUCAAGAGUCGGACACUUCACCAACGGAGUCACCCAGUAAGUGUGUUUUUAGAUGCAAGCAGCAGAAUAUCCUAGCUCACAUCAGCUUAAACAAUAAGAAAACUAAUUAUGUCAUGUAACAGGAAGUUCAGAACUAGCAUGGGCUCCAGGCACACUACAUCAGAGCUCCAACUUCAUUUCUUUGUAACUUGUCCAGAUUAGUGUUGGCUUCCUCCUCAGGCUGGAGGAAAAAUGGCUGCAGAAGUUCUUAAAGCAAUCAUUCAUUGUCAAAAAUAAUAGAACCACUACGAUUGGCUCAGACUAGUCAUAUUUGGGUUUGAAUGAAUGUUGAGGUGUCAAUCACUGGGGCCGUGACAAAAGAGAAGCAAGAGAGAUGGGUGUCAGAGAAGCCAAAGAAGAAAGUAGGGUGACCAACAAGAGUCAAAAUGCUACUUUGAGAUCAGAGUGUAUACCUCGCACAUAGUAGAAUUGAAUUGUUUUCAGUAACGUAUUGCUUGGUGGUUGAUCAUGAUGAACUCGCCAAAUCCAUUUGGAGCCAUGUAUAUAUAAGAGCUCAAAAUUCUAGCAGGUCACUCAAAGGAAAGAUCAAGAGACAAAGAGGAUUAUAGUAAAAGAGGACAAGGAAAGAAGAAGGGAAGGUCAAGAGCAAGGAGAAUCAAAAGGUGUUUUGAGUUGCCAUUUACAACAUGGAAGGCAUGCCCUCACCACAUCCAGCCAAGACAAAAAAGUUAAAUCAACCAGAGAACACAUAUUCCCAAGAUCUGGAAUUAAGAGCAAGUGUAACUUGUGACUUAUGGUAAAUUUAAAGAACUUCAGUGUCUUGUUUUACUCAGUGUUGUCAAGGCAAUAUCAUAGCCUUAAGAACUUUGGCAAAGCGCUCCUUGGCCAAUGGAGAAACCAUCUCUCAGAGGCCUCAGUUGGCCACUGCCCACUAUGUAGAUCAGCUCCUUGAUGCUAUUCUCAGAAUAAAUUUUCCAACAGAUGCUAAGGCAAUGAAAACACACCGAGAAUUGUAAGAUGAUUUAUUUUCCAUCUGUUUUCACCUGUACUCAAUUGAGGAUACCAGCUCAUAGCCCAAGCAAUAUAUAACAGAGGCCAGGGGCUACUCCACCCAUAUUUUAUAAAGUGCCUAUGGUGCCACUUUUAGCACUGCAGCUGUAAAUAACAAGACCCUCGAGUCACAGGGAGUGAUCUCAUCUCUUACAUACAUCCAGAGCUUACAGAGGCCAAUAUGUCCUUAUGGAUCAUUGCGUUACUGGUGUCGCUGAGCUCACCGAAGCUCAUGUGGCCCAGCUUAAUUUCCUCGGGGCUCCUCUGUACACUCUCCCCUCCCUUCUCCAUCUGGGAAUUGUGUACGCUGUUUCCCAGGGACCACAGUAUGAGAACCAUGGCCUAGGAAAUUUGGUAGUGGGGGAGCCACAUCACCUCCACUGACAUAAUCAGGUAGUUUUAUUUUUGUGUUACGCAGGGGGAGACUUAACAGGAAGACAUACUAGAGACAUAAAUGGAACACUCUCCUUAAAAUCUGUCAACAGCUUGCCAUGGCCUUUGAAAUAAAGAUCAAUUUCCUAAUGUGGCUUAUGAAGCCCUCGGGGUCUGCCAGCCUCUCCAGCACCCACCAUGCUGCCCCCCCCCCCCCCCCCACUUCUCACUGCCCUUUGGCCCCUGGUUCCUUGUCAGAGGAGGCCCAGGCCCCUCUGUCUGGAAUCCUCUCUACCUCACACCCAGUCUUCAUCCAGCGUAUUCUUGAUAAUCCUCAAGAGCUCAACUCAAACAUCACUUCUUCAAAGAAGCCCCCCUCCCUUCCCAGAUUAGAUUGGGACCCUCCAGUGACCUUUUCCUACUAUCUGGAUUUUUCUCCUAGGGCAUUUAUUCAGUUGUGUAAUUUGUAAUUUAAUGUAUGUCUUUGAAGUACACUCUGACUACUGUCAGUAUGACAACCAUGCUUGUCUUGUUCACUGUCCUCAGCCCCCAGCCCAGUGCCUGGCACAUAGUAACUCAGUAAACAUCUUGCUGAGCAAUUGACUGCCAGAGUGAAUUGCCAUUCCUUGUGUCCAUUAGCGCUAAGGUGGGGUGAUUCUAAAUUCUGAUCUGUUAAACAACCAAAAUAGCACAAAAGUUUUUUCUUAUGCUAGUUAAAUCCCAUGCUAUGUCUUUCCCCUUUGUUCAAAUCUUUUUUAAUGACAGUUUUACUGAAAUAUAAUUCACAUUCCAUACAAUUUACCCAUUGAAAGCCUACAAUUCAAUGGUUUUUAGUAUAUUCACAGUUGAACAACUAUCACCACAGUCAAUUUUAGAACAUUUUCACCAUCGCCCCCAAAAGGAAACCCUGUACCCAUUAUUUAAAUGUGUAUUUAUUUUUUAUUUUUAUUUUUAUUUAUUUAUUUUUUUUAAAUCUUUUUAACGUUUAUUUGUUUUUUUUUUCAAAUUUUUUUUUUCAACGUUUUUAUUUAUUUUUGGGACAGAGAGAGACAGAGCAUGAAUUGGGGAGGGGCAGAGAGAGAGGGAGACACAGAAUCGGAAACAGGCUCCAGGCUCCGAGCCAUCAGCCCAGAGCCCGACGCGGGGCUCGAACUCACGGACCGCGAGAUCGUGACCUGGCUGAAGUCGGACGCUUAACCGACUGCGCCACCCAGGCGCCCCAAAUGUGUAUUUAUUUUUGAGACAAAGAGAGAGAGACAGAGACAGAGACAGAGAGAGAAUCCCAAGCAGGCACUACACCAUCAGCACAGACACAAACCACGAGAUCAUGACCUGAGCUGAAAUCAAGAGUUGGACGCUUAACCAACUGAGCCAUCCGGGCGUCCCUGCUCAUUUUUUAAUUGGGUUGUUUUUAUUGUUGAGUUGUAAGCGUUCUUUAUAUAUGGUAAAUGCAAAUCUCUUAUCAGAUACAUGACGUACAAAAAUUUUCUUCCAUUUUGUGGGUUGUCUUUUCACUGUCUUGCUGCUAUUCUUUGAAACAUAAAAUGUUGAUGGGACCAAAAUUAUCUGCUUUUUCUUUUGUUGCAUGUAGCUUCACGUGAUGGAAGGGGUGAGCUGGCUCUCUGGGGCUGCUCUUAGAAGACACUGAUCUCGUUCAUGAGAGUUCUGUCUUCAUGAACAAACUGUCUCCCGACGGCCUCACCUCCUAACACCAUCAUCUUGGGCGUUAGGCUUUCAACGUAUGAAUAUUGGGGGCACACAAACAUUCAGGCAAGAACACUGGUCAUCCUCUUCAGUCCCCUUAGGUAUGGAUCAAUUCCUCAGCAUUUGUCUUUUAUGACACUGACAUCUUAAAAGAAUACAGACCUUUUUCUCUUUUUAAUAGAAUGCUUCUUAGAUUCCAGUUUUACACUCCCAGCCAGAAUUCCAUAUAAAUGUUGUGUCCUUCUCAGGGUAUCACACCCAUCUGAUGUCUAUCUGCCCCUCAUUUGUGAUGUUAAUUCUGAUCCCCUAGUUGAGGUGUUACCAAAUUCUAUUUAGUUACUAAUAUUCUAAAAUUGGACAUUUGUCUCUACCUCUGUUCUAACUGUAUACCCCAAACCUUUUCUGUCAAUAAUGUGAUAUUUCACCUGGUGUCCAUUCUUCUUGCUGUUUCCAAUCAAUUCAUUCAACCCAUAAUUGUAUUGUGCUGGUCUUCAACUUGUUUUCUUAACUCUGACUUCGCCCUUUUUAGCCCCAUCUGCUGUUUUAGCAUUUCAUCUUGGUUUUUUAUCUUAUUUUUACUUUCUCAUUCUCCAUGUUGGCAGCUGACUGGACGUUUUUGUUUUCCCUGACAUGUGUGAGCGAAAUCUUGACCCCAUUCUAACCUGCCUAAAACUCAUUUGUCUUCCUCUAAGAGCUCCAAUUUGGGUCCUAAAUGAAGUGUUUUAUAUACUUUUCUCUACACUGAUGAUAUGGCCAGAGGGGCAGAGAUAGAGUUCAACUGGGGUUGUGUGCCCCCUUUGUUGGUGGACACGAGCUCUCUUUAAAGAAUGUCUUCUGUGUUCUGCACUAGGAAUUCAGACCUCAUACUUGGAGACAAAUCCUCUUCUUAAUAUGUUAGGCUUGGAAUUAUGCCCUCAAUUCCGUAUGAAUCCCUAGUAAAUGGCAUACACUGAGGAUGUUUUCUUCUGUCCCUGAUGAAAUACUCAGUUCUUUUCCUUGAUUUUUUCCCUAGGGUUUCUGAUUCUCCUCAUCAAUUCACUUCUCUCUAAAUUGAGAGUGAGUGGUGAGAAUAUGGCUUUUUGUCAACUGGCUUUUUUUUCUCCCCCCAGUACCAUAUCAGGUGAUGGUCAGUGGAACAUGGGGGUGAGGUUAAGAGCAGUAGUGUGGUGGUAAAUGUUUAAAGACUGGCUCUCAAAAAUAAAAAUCCCUAAUGUAGAGUGUAUGCCAGUUUCCACAGCAUAAGUAUUCCCCCCGUAGCCAAUUUCAAGCCACCAAUGUGACAUGACUAAGUGUGGAAUUGGAACACACAUCGCUAUAUAGCGUAGCACGUUGUUAAACAGUAUUUCCACCUUGCGGAUACACAGAUAACCUCAAAGGCAUAAAUAAGAGUAAAAUGAAGUGCAAUAAUUAGAAAGCGGUGUUUUUGAGCAUUUACUAUCUUUGUUUUAAGUAAAAUUUGUUUAAUUGUAAGUGUAAUUUUUAAGAACUGCUCUAUUUAAUCCCUGGCUUGAAAAAUCCCUGAAAACUGGACUAUCAGCAGGCUCUCCUGAGCCAGUGGGAACCUGCUCCAGCACACCAGUGAGCCAGAAUAAGCGCCCGAAUUAUCCAGUCCUUCCUCCGGCCACCGUUUCUUAUUUUCGCAAGGUCAUGCCACUUUUCUUCCAUGGUGGCUGUUGGUCACUUUUUGCUAUUUUUAAAAACCCCUUUUUGCUCAUAUUAAAGGAAAGAGAUUCUGUGAUUGGCUUCAUCCUGUCACCUUUACCUCAAGAUCUUACUCUUUCUCGCGUGCUCUGCAAGUUUCUCUGGGUCAUUUGAGGUUUUACGUACUAUUCCGAACCAAAAAGAUAGUAUCCCCUGAGACGGUAAUCACGAGUCUUCCUCUAAGUCUAAGCGCCAUGAGCUGGAGUUGGGGGAAUAGUAAGUGAGCUCUGUCUUCGGGCAAGUUAACCAAGGAUCAGUUGCAGAACUAUGCAAUUUCAAACAGACAAUAUUCGAGGAUAAUAACGGAUAUAAUUCACCUUGAAGAAAGGAAGAAUGAUGUUCCAACACAUGGAAAGUAGUCGGCCUCUUACAUAUUUCUUUGAAAGGUAACUUUGAAGGAUCAGGUUUGGUGAGAGGUGCCUCCAUAGACCCAAGAGCGUAAGUGAGUUCUCAAACACGUACAAUGUAUUUCCUGUGUGUGUGAGUGUGUGUAUGUGCAUAAUUUUUUAAACUCUGUUUUGAGAAAUUAAGGGUGUUUCCAAAGUAUUCCUUAUUAAACGAUUCCUUGCUGAAACAAAUCAUAGAUUGUAGUCAAUAUUUCCAAUAAUACAGUUGUUCUCAGCUCUGGCUGGACAUUAAAAUCACCUGGGGAGCUUUUAAAAAACACCAGUGCCAGAACCCUACUCCAAAAAUUUCUAAUUCAAUUAGUCUAGGGUGGGGCCAUGCCAUUAAUAUUUUUGAAAAGCUCCCCAGGUGAUUCCCCUAGGCAGCCAGAGUUGAGAAUCCUUGUCAUAAUGUAACAUUUAGGAUUUUAUUAAUAGUCCAGGAAAUCUACUAAAGUAAAUAUACUAACCCCCUAAGAUGCAUGACAAUGAAUAGGAAAAUUUGUAAAGUUCUUGAAGAUGUUUAAAGAAAAACAAGAUAAUAAUUGUAUGUUGUUAAAGUCUUUUUUUGGCUGGGACUCCAAAUGUUUUAUACUUUUUUUUUUAUUUAUUUUUUUUCAACGUUUAUUUAUUUUUGGGACAGAGAGAGACAGAGCAUGAAGGGGGGAGGGGCAGAGAGAGAGGGAGACGCAGAAUCGGAAACAGGCUCCAGGCUCCGAGCCAUCAGCCCAGAGCCCGACGCGGGGCUCGAACUCACGGACCGCGAGAUCGUGACCUGGCUGAAGUCGGACGCUUAACCGACUGCGCCACCCAGGCGCCCCUGUUUUAUACUUUUAAAAAAGCAACUGUGCAGUGCCUAACGGAGCAAAAGCUAAUUAAAUGUAACAAUGCCUUGAAGCUGAAGACUAAAAAAACAGUAUGUUUUCAGUUUUUCUUUAGGAAGUUCAGGAUUGUCUGUGAUCAGGGUAUCCACACGUCCGGUGCCCGCCACNNNCCCCGCCACAAUAAAAUCCCGCUGAUGGGUUCCAGUUAACAUGGGAGCCAAAAUGUAGCCUUUCUGAGAAACCUAUUUUUCAGGAGCACAAAUUAAAAUCAUAAAUAAGAUUGUAAGGGGAGAUCUCUAAAAUGUUUAAGCAAAUAAAGUUCCCCCAAGGGACUGAUUUCAGGGGAAUUCAUUAGGCUUAUUAGAUGACAUAAUUAUCUAAUCACUGAAACAGGGUCCCUGGAGAUCUCUUCUACUUUGUAGCUUAGAUUUAAUCAUUGCAUUUAAGAUAAUGCAGAUCUUGGCACAGCGGAGUGGUCGCCAGAGAUGCCCGACCGUCUGUUCUGAGGGGCGGCUAGCAGCGCGGUGGAGCGAGCCAGGGACGGCUUACUUACACCUGAGACGGACUGCGGAACCGCACGUGCCCGAGGUGCAAGUCCAAGUCAAAUGUCGAAGGAGAGCCUCCCUGAGCAACCAAGAGUGUCAGCUGUACCCAAGGCGGUCUCGGCAGCAGCAAGUACCUGUGGUGGAUUUCCAGGCCGAACUGGGACCGCGAUUCUUCGCUGGGACACCAAGCAGUGGUGAAAGCAGCACUGGAACAUCCAGCUUAGCCGAUUGCCAGGGGAAGAAGCAGCCUCGGUCUCCUGUUGGAAGCUUCUGCCCCAAGCUUGCACUGUGUGUAGGAGAGCCGCCGUCACACCUUUAUGUGUAGCCUUCCCCCAGGUCUUAAGGAUCCUGAAACCUUACCGCGGACGGUGGAUUGGGUGCAACAGCAGCNCCGCGACUGUGGGAAAGAGCAGCAAGAUGCCACGGCACACGGACUAUAGACCCACGCGUAUCCUGCGAGAUGAUCGAACAUUCAUUGGCACCUCUAAGGCUUUUGACAAACGUAGGAACGUGAUCCUCCGGAAUUAUGAUGAAUCCAGCAAGAUCAGGCCAAAGAAUGCGAAGCGGCCAGANNNNNNNNNNNNNNNNNNNNNNNNNNNNNNNNNNNNNNNNNNNNNNNNNNNNNNNNNNNNNNNNNNNNNNNNNNNNNNNNNNNNNNNNNNNNNNNNNNNNNNNNNNNNNNNNNNNNNNNNNNNNNNNNNNNNNNNNNNNNNNNNNNNNNNNNNNNNNNNNNNNNNNNNNNNNNNNNNNNNNNNNNNNNNNNNNNNNNNNNNNNNNNNNNNNNNNNNNNNNNNNNNNNNNNNNNNNNNNNNNNNNNNNNNNNNNNNNNNNNNNNNNNNNNNNNNNNNNNNNNNNNNNNNNNNNNNNNNNNNNNNNNNNNNNNNNNNNNNNNNNNNNNNNNNNNNNNNNNNNNNNNNNNNNNNNNNNNNNNNNNNNNNNNNNNNNNNNNNNNNNNNNNNNNNNNNNNNNNNNNNNNNNNNNNNNNNNNNNNNNNNNNNNNNNNNNNNNNNNNNNNNNNNAGGAAUGAGACCCCCUCCGCCAGGUAUUAGAGGUCCCCCUCCCCCAGGAGUGUGUCCACCAGAACACAAUACUGUCAAUCCUUCUCAAGUCACUCCUUUCUCUGCGAUGUGUCCUGUGAAACUACAUACAGUGUUUGUGAGCUUUUGUGCCCUCUUUGCUGCAUUAAUAAUAUUAGCGAAUAAAUGCACAGAGCAAUUCAACAAAAAAAUAAAAUAAAAUAAUAUACAUCUUUUUUCUCUAUUGAUCAGGACUUUUUUGGUUGUAAAUAACAAAUCCAACUGAACUAAAGUUAAGGAGAAAAGGAAUCUAUCGGUCAAAUAGCCAAAAAGUCCAGAGACGGACUUCAGGCAAGGCUUGAUUCAGGGGCUCAAACAAUGUCAUUGGAAAUUGGGUCUUACUCUUUCCAUCUGUCUUCUGGUUUCCCUCUAAGUAGAUUCCGUUCUCAGGUUACUAUUUCCUCUUGGUAGCAAGAUCGUUGCCAGUGGCUCUAGGCUUUCAUACACCUGUUCAGCAACCCCAAAGAUCAUCCCUCUGUCCCAAGAACUCCAACAAAAAUUGUGGAAUUCGGGCACCUGGUUGGCUCAGUCGGUGGAGCGAGAGACUCUUGCUCUCCGGGUUGUGAGUUCGAGCCCCACAUGGGGUAUCGAGAUUACUUAAAAACAAAAUCUUAAAAACAAAACCAAAUAAAAUUGUGGAAUUGCAUCUUAUUGGCUUAGAUCAGCCUGACUUUGGUCACGUGCCUUUCCUUGAACUAAUCUCCAUAUUCAAUGGGACACAUUACUCCGAUCGCCCAGGCUUGUGUUACAUGUGCAUUCCUGGAACUGGGGUGGGGUCAACUGUACCUGAGUUACAUGCCUGAAGUCGGGGUAGAGGGUGGCUCCCCAAAGAGAGUCAGAGUGUUGUUGGAAGAUUUGGGGAUGACCACUGAGCAAAGAAAAACAGGUUCACUACAAUUCAGAAAAACUAUUUCAAAUUAAACUUCCCCACCUCUCUUUCCUCCAAUUUCCCAUUUAGCUAUAACCAACGAGGUUUUAUGGUGUCUUAGAAAUUAUCUUCUUUUUUGCGGUGCCUGGGUGGCUCAGUCGGUUAAGCUUCCAACUCCUGACUUCGACUCAGGUCAUGAUCUCACGGUUUGUGAGUUCCAGCCCCACAUCGGGCUCCGUGCUGACAGUGCGGAGUCUGCUUCAGAUUCUCUCUCUUUCUGCCCCUCCCCUGCUCUUGCUCUCUCUCUUUCUCAAAAUAAAUAAAUAAAUUUUUAAAAAUUGUCUUGUUUUCCAAAAUUCAAACAUAUCAUCUUAUAGGCUUUUGCUAUGGUGAAUAAACAUCUUCUGAUAGGAGCUGGGUGCUUAAGUAAUAAAUGCUAUAGGGGUUUUGCUAUACCAAGCCAUUACUAAUCUUCAGUGUAUUCAUUUUUUUGCCUCAACCUGAGGCAAAACCUUUAUUCGGUAUGAGAAAUGCAAGUUUUUAAAAAAUAGAAUAUCAUGGCUGAAGACACUGCUCUCCAAACACUCUUUCACCACAGAGACAAAAAAAAAAACAACAAAAAACCUUAUGUCCAAGUUAUCUUUGAACCCAAAGCAGAUGUCUCGAGGUUCUGUUCAAAUGUGAAAGAGGAACCCUCUGGAAUGAAUGGAGAUAUGAAUAUAUACUCCCUCGGAAGCACCAUCAGCUUCCACUGUUCUGAGGUGGACUGUUAGAAGUGAGUUAGUGACCAGGAUUGAAAAAGUUCAUGGUUUGUAUUUUGUUAGUACUGGUCGUCAUGGCAACCAACGGGUUCUACAUAAAGCCUGAAGCCAGCGGACUUGUAAUGGAAUACAUUCCUCUGAGUGAGUCAAAGCCUUGUUGAAAAGGAAGCAAUCACGCUGCUGUGGAAAUAAAUUAUGAACUGCUCAGGGUUGAAAUAAGCAACUUUUUUGGAAUCCCAUUUCCCCCUCCUCCCACAUACUUUUGAUGAUAAGUAACUUGGCAAUGCUUCAUUUCUGAUGGGACUGCCUAUCAUAUCUUUGAGAAGAGGCCUGGUAAUAUGUGGCUUGCCUACCUCACAAGGUUUCAGUGAGCAUCAGAUGAGAAAGUGUGUGUGAAAGUGCAAUGGGCUACACUAAUAUGGCCAGUGCUGUGGAUUAAGAGUUCUUAACAUUCAGAAAUGGAAGUUGCAGAUAUUAUUUUAAUCCACCCUGAGCCAUUAGAGAUUACUUCCUAUGACACACAUACUAAUAUUUUGUUCAGUCUGAAAACCCAAGUGAUGAAACUUCCGCUGUUCCCCUGGGGCAUCCUACUCCACCACAGAGCCAGAACGUUUAUGCUAGUAGAAUAUAGUGUUUAAUAGCUCGGAUUUUGGAGUCAGGCAGACAUGGAUUCAAAUCCCGGCUCUACUGCUUUGUAGUUAAGGAAACUUGGGCACAUCACUUAAAGUCUUUGCAUCUCAGAAUCUCAUCUACAAAAGGGGGGUAAUGGUACCUACUCUAUAGAGCUGUGAGAAAGAUUUCAUACAAUAAUGUUAAUAGAAGCACCUAACAAUGUCUCGUGCGGAGUAAGGGGCAAAUGAGUGUUAGGUGUUAUUGUCAUUAGUAUUGUUCCGGUUGGGGCAUGACCAUCUUUGCUUUCUUGCUAAUCCUUGUUGGAAUUGUUUCUACCACCUUAAAUUCUUUUUUCUUCUUGAUUUACUCUGGUGCUUUCAAAUACUAAGUCAAUACUUUCUGCUCUUUUGAUCCCCACCUUUUGUGAUCAUCUCGUUGAUUAGGAUAAGCCACUGAUUGGUUUACCUUCAAAAAGUGGAUUCGAUAACAAAGAUUGUCAGCACUUUUAGUUACUUAUUGUUCAGUAUUAUUAUUGGCUUUGCUGGAGUGUGUUGACCCCAACUCACCACCAUAUUUUCACGGGCCCUCUUGACUUGGAAAUGAGAAUGUUCUUAAAGUAUCGGUGGAAUAGCCUGCUUCUGGCACGCUGCACAGUAGGGAGCCAGCCACGACAGCCGCACGCUCCCCCGUACCCUCACCUGGCAGGGAGCUGGCCUUGGAUGAUCCACAAAGUCAAGUUGCACAACUUUGGCCGGGAGCUUCAUCCGCUACGUAUCCAUCACUUGGACAACCUUGUUAAAUUCCUGCAGCUUGGGCCUAUCUGAGCUCUUCAUCAUUUUAGUAUUGUCAGCCUAAGCAGACCAAUUUCUGCUUCUAGGAACAUUCCUUUGGAGAAGAGCAGAAAUUUCAACAAACUCUCAAGUGCUCUUCAAACUCCUGGAUCGGCGAGGCCCUUGAGCCCAUUCUUGUAAUAGACUCAGAAGAAUGGUAUUUGGAGCUGCAAGUUUGCAUAGGGUCAGUUUUUCCAAGAAAUGUAGUCCUUCUUUGGAUAGUUCAUUUGGAGGGGUUGGCAUUUCCUUCUACCUGGCCUCAUGUGUUUUCCCCAUCUUCUUGGAGACUGACCUUAAAAUAGUUGCUCUAUCUUCAUCCUUCCAGCACUUUCGUCUCUGCUCUUCCAGCAUCUUCAUUAAUUUUAACACCAGGCUGAUUUUUCUUUGCCACGAAAGGCUUUUAGCUUCUUUGAUAGCUCUUUGAUUCCUCCUGAGCCUGCUUCUCCAGCACAGGGUAAAGUUUAACAAAAGGGUUUUUGGAUUGUUUUUUUUUUUUUAAACCAGCAGGCCAUGUCCCUCAGUGACAAACAUUAUUUAAGUAAGACACUCUUGGCCUCUUCUUUGACCAGCAAACCUCAAUGGUUGGUAAUUGUCAAUGCCCAGAACAGAUUUUUUCCUCCUUACUCGAAGAUACCUUGAGGACCUCAUGUUCAGGCCAGAACUAUUUUGGGUGGAAGGGAGACAGGACAUUUGAUACCUUUGUGUCUGGUAAAAUCUUUCCCACAGAGCCCUGGAUUCUCAUCUCUUCUUUACGGUGGCUAAUGGUUAAGAUGCUAAUUCCACUAUCUUCGCCUUGGGUACUCUGAACCUCAGGCCACUUCCUUUCGGGCUGGGCAUCUCUUUAGUUAGAACCACAAUCUGAAGGGGAAAUGCUUUUGAUUAGCGAGGCAAUUAAAAAUAAAAUUCUGUGUCUUCCGAAACGAUUUUCUUCCAUCUGACCAAUUAGCCUGGUUUCUAUUUUGGAAAACAUCGAUUACACACCGAAAAAAUGCAAUAAACUUGCCAUUUUCAAAACUCCACAAACUCCAAGCAAAUGAUAUUUAAUGAGUGAUUUAUAGUGAUAUCAGUACAGUAGGGGCACCUAACUUUAAAAACAGUGGCUUUUAAAUUGCAAAGCUAUGAAGAUUAUUGAACACCAACUUCCUUGCUAAUAGAGCUGUAAUUUUAAGGCAGAGAAGGUUCUCUCGGCCUCAGCACUCUGGACAUUUGGGGCUAGAUCAUUCUCCCUUGUGGAAGCUGUCUUGUGCACUGUGGGAUGUCGAGCAGCAUCUCUGGUCUCUACCCAUUAGAUGCCAGUAGAAUCCUCACUCCAGGGGUGAUCGCCAGAACUGUCUCCAGACAAAUUCCAAGUGUCCCCUGGGGGUCACAAUUGCCCCUGGGUGAGAACCUCUGAUGUAGAAGACAUGGUGAAGCAGUUUUUCCCUUGUUUGCUUUUCUGGACUAUGAAAGUGGGAGAGGCCAAUGAAAAAUAAGAACACAGUAGGUCUUAGAAUGUACUAUUUUCACUCUAUUAUCAAAUCCUCAACUUUUCUCAACUGAGAUUUUUAGAAAAACAAUUAAAUUUCCAAACCUAGCUCGGAUAUACAAACAUUGGUCCCCGGCGUGUCUCACCUCUCUGCUAACGGGUCAACAAGAACAGGACUUUUCACGAGGUGUUCCAAGAGUUUGCAGGGCCCCUCUCUGGCCUAGUUCACGGAGAGCCAGGGUAAAACUACUCAUUAGCAAAGUGACUAAUGCAUAGGCCUAUUAGUUGAAAUAGUCAGCGAGGGGAAAAGGAGAGUAAUGUUUCCUGUGUGCCGUUUCCUCUUUUAAAGCAGAAUAUGCUGUAGACUAAUGAGUGGCCACAUCCAAGUUGCUCUUACAAAUUGGUAAGUUUCGUCUUUGCCGUCCAGUACUUGCUUCCAGACUAGUCGGGAUUUUCAAAGACCCUGAUGUGAAAAGAAAAUGGUGAUAUCCCAGGCAUUCUCUGCUUUAAUAACUGCUCCUCUCUUGGCCUCAGCCUCUCCUUUCCUUCCACCCCCCUCCUUCUUCCACCUUCCCUGCUUCCUGCUACUUUGAAGAGGGCCUGGGAAGAGUGGCCCCUGAAGGCAGGGAAGUGAAUGGGAAUUAGAAUCAUCUGCGGGCACCUGGGCGACUCAGCUGGUUGAGGAUCCUUCCAGGUCCCCAUCUCACAGUUCUUGAGUCGGGCUCUCUGCUGACAGCGCAGAGCCUGAAGCCUGCGUCAGAUUCUGUGUCUCCCUCGCUGUCUGCCCCUCCCCCCUCGCGCUCUGUCUCUUUCUCAAAAAUAAAUUUAAAAACACAUUCAAAACAUUUAAAAUCACCUGGAGAGCUUUUCACCCCGCACAGUUAUGAAGGCCAGCCAACUAUCCCAUCCACUCCCUACCCAGCGCCCACCAACAGCGUACUGGCUGGAAACAAAAGCCACACACAAUUAGGAGGCAUUGAAGAGAUUAAGGAAGGGAUGCUUUGCAGAGAUGCGGUCAGGGUUUAGGGAAAUCCCUGGGAGGGUGCAGUACAGCAGAGUAACAGCAGGGAGCUGGUACCCCCCUCUGCUGGAAGGGCAAAGAAGAGCGCGGUAGCUGGAACUCAGACGGCAGCGGUGGGAGCGGUCAUCUUGUGGGAGCUGUUUCUGGCGCCACACAAGCCAGCAAGCCAGGCUGACCCGGCAAGGGGAGUAAUAUUUGACUUAAUACCGGAGUCGCAUGUGGAACCAGUUUCCGGGCAGAGGCAGUGGCAAGUGCAAAGGCCCAGAGGUGAGAAUCGCCACUUUGUUCUUAAGAGGAUUUUUUGUAAGUAGACUUUGGCAUCUAUCGGGGUCUGCACUGUCUCACCUCUCAUUGAACUUGAAACAGUAUUUGGGGGCUAUUUUGAAACACUGAACACUGUGUAGUUCUUUAGGAGGUGUCUCCUCAGACACCUCAUCCUAUCCCCUGAAGCCCCCAGCUUCUGUGGCUGGGAGACACGGAAGUUCACCCUAAAAACAGCUCUGAAGCGUAAACCGCUACUUCUCAAACUUCAGCAGGUUUGGGGUUCUGGUUCAGCAGGUCUGGGAUGCAGCCCGAGAGUCUGCAUUUCUAUCAGAUUGCCAGAAAGGCCAGUGCUGCCUGGCCAUACUUUGGAGAGCGAGGACCUCAAGAACUCGGAACAGGGCAGUGUGGGAAACAGAAACCACCCACCAGAAGUUAGAAGACCUGGGUCCAAUCUAAACUAUGACCUUAACCAGUCACAUGACUUCAGGCAAGCCGCUUAGCCAUUUCUUCAUCUAUAAAAAUGGAGGUGUUAGGCAAGGCUCCUCCUGCUGUCCCUUACGUGUCUGCAGAUGAUGACUAGGCCUUUCAGACCAAAUGCUGUGACAUUUGCAGUCACUCUAAGUUUGGGAGUUCUGACAUCAGCCCUACGGCCAUUUUAUUUCUUCUGUGCUAUUGUGAGGACACAGAAAACAGUAAUGUCUGAGCCCAGAGGUGGAAUCCCUCAGACUCGGACAAUAGAAGUUGGGAGAGGGAGUCAUCACACACUUCAGUCAAUGGAGGAUUUUCUCUCAAAAUUAGUAGAGGAGAUACCUAGCAAUCACUACUUUAAGCUGAUUAGAAUUGUCGUUAAAUGGAAGUAAGCUAAAUAUCAACCAACAAGUGACUGGUGAAAUUAAACAUUCUAGGCAACCAUUAAAAAUGAUUAUGUUUGGACAAUUUUACUGAUAUGGGAAGUUGACAUGAUGUAUCAUAGAGUGAAAAAAAAAUGGGAGGUUACGUUACAGCGUGUGUACAGCAAAGAGUACAUGAGCUUAGGUAUUCACCAAGAAAUGUCUAAUUUUCUUUAAAUGGAAACAAUCUAAACAACUAAAUGCAAUGCCUGAUCCUAAAGUAGAUCCUUAUGAGAGGUGAAAAAUGCUGUAAAAGACACUAUUGGGUCAACUGACAAAAUUGAAACUCAAAUGGUAAAUUAAAUUAAAAUAUUGUAUCAACAUUAAAUUUCCUGAUGUUGAUAACUGUACUGUGAUUACUUAAGAAGAUCCUUUUUCUACAAAUAAUCCAGUGAAGGAAUGGGCAAAAGGCAUGGAUAGACACUUCUCCAAAGAAGACAUCCAGAUGGCCAACCGACACAUGGAAAACUGCUCAACAUCACUCAUCAUCAGGGAAAUACAAGUCAAAACCACAGUGAGAUACCACCUUACACCUGUCAGAAUGGCUAACAUGAACAACUCAGGCAACAACAGAUGUUGGCAAGGAUGCGGAGAAAGAGGAUCUCUUUUGCAUCGUUGGUGGGAAUGCAAGCUGGUGCAGCCACUCUGGAAAACAGCAUGGAGGUUCCUCAAAAAACUAAAAAUAGAACUACCCUACGACCCAGGAAUUGCACUACUAGGCAUUUAUCCAAGGGAUACAGGUGUGCUGUUUCGAAGGGACACAGGCACCCCCAUGUUUAUAGCAGCACCAUCCACAAUAGCCAAAGUAUGGAAAGAUCCCAAAUGUCCAUCGAUGGAUGAAUGGAUAAAGAAGAUGUGGUAUAUAUAUACAACAGAGCAUUACUCGGCAAUCAAAAAGAAUGAAAUCUUGCCAUUUGCAACUACGUGGAUGGAACUGGAGGGUAUUAUGCUAAGUGAAAUUAGUCAGAGAAAGACAAAAAUCAUAUGACUUCACUCAUAUGAGGACUUUAAGAGACAAAACAGAUGAACAUAAGGGAAGGGAAACAAAAAUAAUAUAAAAACAGGGAGGGGGACACAACAGAAGAGACUCAUAAAUACGGAGAACAAACUGAGGGCUGCUGGAGGGGUUGUGGGAGGGGGGGAUGGGCUAAAUGGGUAAGGGGCACUAAGGAAUCUACUCCUGAAAUCAUUGUUGCACUAUAUGCUAAUUUGGAUGUAAAUUAAAGAAAAUAAAAAACAAAACAAGUUAAUAAAAAUAAUUUUUUAAAUAAAUCCAAAUAUUAAAUAUUCAAAAAAAAAAGAAGAUCCUUUUUCUUAGGAAAUGUGCACUGAACUUUUUCCUAAGCAUAAAAUUAUUUCCAAAUAAAGAAAGUUUCUUAAAAAGAAUAUUUAGGAAGCUCACAGAACCUGGGGGUGGGGAUAGGGUGUGACACAGAGAGUCAGGCUCAAACACAAGGCAGCCAGGAACAUUCCCCGAACCAUCACUGGUCUGCUCCAGCCAAGAGUAGAUUACUUCUCGGGGCACCUGGGUUGGUUAAGUGACUGACUUUAGCUUGAGUCGUGAUCUCACAGUUUGUGAGUUCGAGCCCCACAUUGGUCUCUGCCCUGGCAGCACGGAGCCUGCUGUGAUUCUCUCUCUCUCUCUCUCUCUCUGCCCCUUCCCCACUUGCUCUCUCUCAAAAAUAAAUAAACAUUUUUUUUUAAGUUUAAAGAGUGACUACUUCUCAAACAGACACUGCAGCUCUCACAGAUGAUAGCGGGGACCAGAUGCCUGAAACUCAUUCACUGCUGCCUCUAAAGAAAAGAGAGCUUCCUACUUCCCUCAGCAGAAAACAGUUCCUCAUAGCACUUGUUCCCAUGCAUAACUGGCUUUCAAAUCCAUGUCUUCCCAAGGUGCAUCUGAUCAGUGGGAAAUAGCUGCAGGGGUUUCUGGGAAAGCAAAUUUAUGAUUUCAAUCUUUAAAAAGUCAGCAUCCGUGUACGAAGUGCUCCAAACAUAAGAUGGGUGUUCAAAAGAUGUCAGGUGGCCACAGAUGGGACAAAUGCUACCACCAUCACACUCACAAAAAGUUACCCCUAAUGAUGACUUCUGUGGAGUCACCCCAGCUUGGGUCUGGGAAGCCUUCCUUGCGCACUUCUAGUCACUUCCUUGUGAAAGCAGCUGCCUAACGUUGGCCCUGAUACAGCAGACAUGACCUAGUUACUGUGCACUUCAAAUAUGUCAGACAUGCAAACAGAACCCAAUGAGACAUCACUAUAUACCCACCAAAACGGCUAACGUGUAAAAGGAAGACUGACACACCAAGUGACAGUUAAGAUGUGCAAACCUAGGACUCUCACUCAUCGUCAGUGGGAGCGUAAACAGGUACAAGCACUUUGGAAAAGCUGAAUAUAUGUACACUCUAUGACUGAGCAAUUCCGCUCCUGGUAUCUAACCGACAACAAUGAGCCCUUAUGUCGAUCAGAAGACGUGCACAAAAGUAUUCAUGACAUCAUUAUUCAUAAUAGCUCCAAACUAGAAACGACACAAGUGUCCAUCAACAGUAAAAUGAGUAAAUAAAUAUCGCAAUACGUACAAUAUGGAAUACUACACAACAAUCGAGAAAAUAAUGAACUAGCCUUACACACAGUAUUAUGGAUGAAUUUCGCCAACAGUGCUGAAAAAGACACCAGAUACAAAAAAGCACAUCCUGUAUGAUUCCAUUUACAUGAAGCUCAAGAGCAAAGAAACAAAUCUAUGACAACAUGUCAGAAUAGCAGUUUCUGUUAGUGUGAAAUUGAGGGGUACCAAGAAGGGGCAUGAGGGUGCCUUUUAGGAUAAUGAAAAUGUUCUGUAUCCUGAUCUGUGUGCAGGUGUCACAGGUGUUUACCCAUACAAUUCAAACUAUGCCCUAAGAUACACACUUUACUGUGUGAAACUUAUACCUCAAUUUUUGGGAGAAAGAAUAAAGACUAUGGAAAUAGGAUCACAGAUUCUUAGAGCAUUAAGGGAACUUUUCUAGAAGGAAGGAAGGAAGGGAGGAAGGAAAGAGGAAGGAAGGAAGGAAGGAAGGAAGGAAGGAAGGAAGGAAGGAAGGAAGGAAAGAACUGUCAUCAGAGGAAUACGAAGUCUCCUAAAGUUCUGAAAUGACUGGUGGCAUGCUAUGAUUUCCGCCAGGUUUAGCUGUUGACAGCAUUUUCCUGACUCCGCCUCACACUUUCCCAUGUCUUCAGAAAGUAACUUUUUGCAAUUAAGCACUAAGAAACUAGCUGAAAAUGUGUGUAUGGAGCAGUUCUACAUAACUGCACAGUGCUUUGCCAUUCACAGAGAAUAGGGUACCUCAUUUGACCCUUGCAACAACCCUGGGAAGUGGGCAGGGUGAAUGUUCAUUUUCAUUACCAUUGCAUUUCAAAGAGGCUAAAUGGUCAUAUGGAGUCACUGCUUCUGACUUUCAAUCUAAUGCUUUUCUAGUGGUGUUUGUAAGUGCUGAUUUCUAUACGACAACUAAAUACAGCAAAUAAUUCUGGAUUGGAUCCUGGAAAGGAAAAAAAUGCUAUAAAGGACGUUAUUGAGAAAAUUGGUGAAAUUUGAACACAGACCACAUGUAGAGGAUAAUAGUGUAUCCACCAUUUCUAAAUUUCUUGACUUUGAUCAUUAUACUGUAGUUUCAUAAAAGUGUCCUGGUUCACAAGAAAUGCAUGCAGGAAGUAUGCAGAGUGAAAGGUCACCAUGCCCAUAACUGACUCUCAAAUAGUUCUUUAAAAAUUAGAGAGAAAGAGGGGGCGCCUGGGUGGCUCAAUCGGUUAAGCGGCCGACUUCAGCUCAGGUUACAAUCUCGCGGUCCGGGAGUUCGAGCCCCGCGUCGGGCUCUGGGCUGAUGGCUCAGAGCCUGGAGCCUGCUUCCGAUUCUGUGUCUCCCUCUCUCUCUGCCCCUCCCCCGUUCAUGCUCUGUCUCUCUCUGUCUCAAAAAUAAAUACAACGUUAAAAAAAUUUUUUUAAAAAUUAGAGAGAAAGAGAGGGGAAGCAAAUGUGGCAAAAUGUCAAUAACAUGUGAAUCUCGGUGAGUGGCGUUCAAGUAUUUGUUGUAUUGUUCUUGCAACUUCCAUGGAGGGAUUAAAUUUUUCUCAAAAAAAUCUAAAACAUUCAAGAAAAAACUACUUUCGGAUAAAAUCAAGUUAUGCCUUCUGUUGUGCAUAUCACAUGAAACCAUAGUCAUCUUGGGCACUGUAGAAGAAAAAUGACAGCACUAUAAUUUCUAACAGAUUUAUUAAUUGCUUCAUUUCAUCAUCACACAGGCAAAACAUCCUUUCUCUUAUUUAGUUAACAUAAUCUAUGAACUUAAUAGAAAGACUUGCUCUGCAGGGAACAGUUGUAGCUUUUAUAGAAUACUUUAGAAUGUUCUUUUUAAAUGUUUAUUUCUUUAUUUUGAGGGGAGGAGGGGCAGAGAGAGAAGGAGAGAGAGAACUCCAAGCAGACUCCGUGCUAUUGACGUGAAACCUGACACAAGGUUCAAUCCCAUGCCCGCGAGAUCACAACCUGAGCUGAUAUCAAGAGUCGGAUGCUCAGCUGACUGAGCUACCCAGGCACCCCUAGACUACCUUAGAAUGUUCUAUUAUGAAGCCCUGAGAGAGGGAAAGAAUCUGCAGCCUCAUGGUCCCUGCUGCUUUGUUGAUGCCUCAUGAAGAUGGCAAGACUUUGCAAGGCAGAGACUUGUGGCAUACUCAGGGAUACUGGGUCCCUGGGGCAGGGGCUCCAGCUUUGCCUGAGUCCUAUCACCCAAGUGUAUCUUGGAGGCAGCAGAACUGCUGGACUGAAAAGGGAACCAGGACCCUGUCCAUUAUGAGGAAAAUGGGCGAUGACGUAAACAACUGCAGAGCGCUGGCCUAGAAAAGACUCAAUAAUUGAGUUCAAAUUUCCCUCCACCUCAUGGGUGUCCCAAAUGGAACUUAAGUUAAAAUAAAUAAUAAGAUAAUGUUUCUAUAUUUGAAUGUUUGGACUGAGAUUCAUUCCUAUUACGUUAAGUAACAUGUAUUGAAAUGUAUGAUAUGCUGGCCAUGUUAUAAUGGUUGUUUUAUUUCGUUCUCACAACAACUCUACGACUUAGGUAAAAUAGUCCCCAUUUUACAAAUGGGGAAACCGAAGCUUAGAGGGGUUAUUAACUACUUGCCUGAAGUCACGCGGCAGGUAACUGGUGGAGAUAGGUGAACUCGGACAGGCUGACUCCAGAGUCUCGGUGCUUAGCCCUUCCACCAUGCUUACAGGUGGCUACCCACCUAUCCAUAAGGCCAGUCCUCCCCCUAGCAAUACCCGCUACAGACUAGGGCCUGUGAUCUAUUAAGGGAAGAUGCUACUCUGCGGUGUAACAGAAAUGUAAGAAAUCUAUCCCAGCUCAACAGAACACAAGAAAAUCAUUAAUUCCAUCCCUUUCAAUAGGCAGCCAAAUUUUCCACACUGCGGAUGACUAAAAGAUGGAGCUGAUUGUGCCCAGGAGGGUGUGACAGUACUGGUACUGCCAAACGUCCUGGCUGGUGAUGCCCUCCUCCCCUGCAAAGAGUGGGGCUCUUCCAAACGACAUUGGUGUUCUCC